rnacentral:lncRNA from 1 species
AAAACUUUGGACACAAUGAUUUAUUGCAUAUUAAGAUUGCUAUACAAAAUAUAAUAUUAGCAUUACGAGACCGCACCAAAGCAUACCGAAUUGAAUGUGCCUUUUCACAGCCAUUUUACAAGCUUUGAAGCUUUACCACAAAUGCUUUUUCCAACCCGUGAACAUGAUGCACCCGGGAGAUGCAAGCUACGAAAUUGGUACUACAGCAAGCGUUGGAACAUUUGUUAAAAAUGGAAGUUUAAGAAAAUAUGCCAUUGGAUACCUGUCUUCAGGAAUCAAUUCAUCCGUAAUAAUAAUUUUCAAGAAGUAUCAACUGCUUUAAGCUCAUCGACAUCACAGAGAUCUUCAACUAAAAUAGAGCAGAUCCGGCCAUCACUAUCCCUUCUACUGCUCUUUUCCUUUAGAGAAUGCUUGAAUUACAGAAUGCGUGUAAGGCAUUCUUCUUCAAGGUCCAAUGAUCAAACUGUUGGGGAAAAUUAGUUUUUUAAAUUUUUUAUAAAACCUUUUGAAGAUCGCUCUCAUAUAAUAUAUAAGAAUUUGUAUUCUAGAAAUCGUACCUUGAAAAUCCGAGUUGGCUUUUUCCGCUGAAGUGAUUUAGGCUCCUAGAUCAUGAUCCGCCACCACCACUCCUGUUAGAUCACGAUCCAUCACCACCACGCUUGUUAGAUCACGAACUGUCACCACCACGCUUGUUAGAUCACGAACUGUCACCAAUGAUCUUCCAGGUUAUGACUCAGGUUCGAUCUGCACUUGACGUGUGGGCGCCUUUAUCACUACCAAAGCAACUAGCACGAGAAAAAAAUUUUCUCAACAAUAGAGAGAAAAAAAUUUUCUCAACGAUCUUAUUCUCAGAUCUGUAUAAAGUGGCUUCACUCUUUUCUUUAGAGAAAAUAAGUCUUUUAUAUCACCCUUUAGUGAAAACCCUAGGCUCCAAAUAAUCAAAAAACAAAACCCACGUUAUUUGCUUUUUCAAUAGGGGACCCACCUUGUAAAAUAACAUAAGGCCCCUUACACAAAAGCUAAUUAAAUGGAGCCUCCCACUAAAUGAUAUAUUUAGGCUUUUGACCCAAAUAGCUAGUUAUCUUACUUAUUAGUCCAGUAGUGGUGCAGUCAAUUAAAUGAGCUAACCCGGGGAUCAUUUGGGAACAUACAAUAGUGGCUACAAUAAUUAGGCCUAUAAUUAAACUAGCCCAAUUAUUUAAUUCCAAAUCUACUCCACUAAAAGAUUGGAAUUGACUUCCAUUUUUGUAUGCUCGAAUAAUAAUUCGUCCCAAGCCACAUUGAUUUCUUUAUUGCACAAUCAUUUGUACCACAUCGUUAAUUAAAUUGAUAUCUCAACUGUCCAAUCAAUUUAAUAACAUCUUAUUCCUUGAUACUUACUGGUUUUCUCUAAUGAUCAUUUUCAACAUACUAAAUAUGUUGACACACUCUGGCCAGAGAAUUCUAUGAUCAAGUGCCGAAAACCCAUCAAGAGAUGUGUUGUACAAAUUCUAUAUUGUUAAUCUAUAACUCCAAUACUCAUAAAUGCUCCCACCAAGAUACCGGGUAAUCUAGACUACAAGUAUGUGUCAUGCCCAUUGGUAACUCAAAUGGAAUAACAAUUACAAUCAUGAAAUCAUAAUUAACUCAAGAUUAAGAUUACAGUAAAAUCAAUGCCUAUGAGAUUUAAUAAGUCUGACAGUUAUUACAAAGUUAAUUAAAUCUCAUAUGUGAUCCUGUUCAAUGUAGUCGUACUACAUCAAUAAAUUCAUAUAUGAUUAAGACAAAUCAUUUAAUGAAUUUAUUACAGUCUAUACCUAAAUAAAGUGCCCAACUUUAUUUAUCAACUGCGAACAAAAUUUAUUUAAUCAUAAGAUAACUUGUAUUUAUGUCUUCUGUGAAUCCACAUGGUGAUCACAUAAAUACAUAUAAUAUGAUUAAAUGGACUUUAAUAAAAAUAUUAAUGCAAUUAAGAUAUUUGAAUAAAAUACCUCAUUAAUUUUAUUAAUCAGAAAAAAUAUUUAUUACAAUUAAAUAAACACAUAUGCUUUUAAAGAGCAUAUUUUCCCAACACAAACCUUUCACAAUAAAAACAGAGGUAGUAGUUCCUUCGCCAGCCUAAUCCUUGGUCUCAGGAAUGUCCUCAACAGAGUUCUCGAAAUCAAGCUAAAAAUUAAGAAUGAGUUGGAAAACUGUUUAUGGCCCUAAAGAACUUGAAAAUCAGAAAAGAUUAAGAAUGAGUGACUAAACAUUUUGAUCGCAACUAAACAUACAAACCUUGAAAAUCUAAUUUUGAAGUACUCUUAAAUGAAUGAGCAAUUGCAGGAGCUGGUGACAACUAAGGUUACUGUGAAGUGUCUUACAAAUCCUUAAAGAUGAUACUUUACAUACCACGAUAACCUGAUAACACAUAGGAACACAAGGAACAUUAAAGUGUAUUCUGACAAUGCAAAUUUGUGGAAAUUAUCAGCUGUGGUUACCUAGACAAUAUUGCCAACACCAAACUCCUUCCUCAAUUGAAACAUAUGAUCAGCCCACAAAUGCUUUGCUUUGUAGCUUUUGAGAGCCUGAAAUUGUUUUCACAACCAACAAUGAAAAUUGGGUGAAAAUUUUGAUAAUAUUAGCAUAAUUCCAUAUGUUUAUAUAGGAUAAACCGAUCAAAGAAUGAAACAAGAUAGAAAUGAUGAUCUUAGCACCUUAACAUCAUGCAAUAAUAAUCAUCAUGUCUUUCAGGCAGCUAUCCAUCCUCAAUUGAAACAGAGCGGACCCGCCCAUCACUUCCUUCUUCAAAGUCCAGCAACCAAACGUUGCACAAUAACCACAGUGAUAAUCCUUGGUUACCCCAAUGUUCUCCGUAGAGUCUUCAAAGUCAACCUAAAAAUGAAAUAAAAAUGCAAUGCAGAUGGAAAUUGAAAAUUCUAUAAAUUAAAUAAAAUAAAAAUGCAAUGCUUUAGCAUCAUCAUAAUAGUAAAUUUUUAUAUACCUUUACUUCUCUGUUCUUGUUUAUACACAACAAGAUAUCAAUAGAAGAAGAUGGAAAUGAAAUUCUAUAAAAUAAAGCAAGUGAAUUACCAGCAGAACAUUUUAGCAAUCCUUUGGCUAAACUUUUCAUUUUCAUAGUUUUGCUCUCCUGCCUGCAUCAUUAGAACCAAAUUAGCUUGGACCUGCGAAUUGCUAGUGUAGUUCUGACAUUUCCUCGAAUCCCUGGUGAACAUAAUUACACUCGUAUGAAAUAAAACAAAGUGGGCUAAUGUACUACCAAAAACAAUUAUACAAUUACUUUAAAGAAUUAAUGUCACAUAAAUUAUAUAUAUAAAAAAAAUAUGAUUAUCAUUAUACAAGAUAAAAUUGAUAAUUUAGUUUUCAACAUUACUGCAAAUGUAUCACAGAGAUUUUGUCUCUCAAGAAGUUACACAUAACAAAUUUUCGUACAUUAAAAAAUAAAUUACAUUGGGAUUUUCUAUGAUGUUGUAUGAAAUUUUACAAAAGACUGCAUAUUUUUUAGAAGAAAAUAUAAAAAUUUCAAUAGACUAUACUUUUUUUUUAAUUAUUAUUAUAUAACCUUGAUAAUACAAGUUUAAUAGAUUUGAUAACUAGGAAGUUUAAAUUUUAAAUAACUGAAAUUAAAAUAUUAUCUUAAUUAACUUUUGACUUUAUGAAUUAUUGAUUAACUCUAACAGUACAUAUAUAUACCAUGAUUGAUUUUAUAAUUUUUAUAACAGCAUCAUAGAGUGACCCAUUAAAUUAAUGGUUGAAGUAAACAAAAUUCAAUAUGCAAAUCAAAAUAUUAGAAAAAUAUUAUAUAUUCCUGUCAGACAUUGGCAAUAUAUAGAAUUUUAAUUCAAAAUAUAAUUAUUUUUAUUACCGGCGAGUGAUAUCUUACGCCGACAGAAUGAUGUGGGGAAUGUGAGAUAUUUUAUGCCACUUUUCUCCUUUCCCCUCUCUAUAAUGGUUUUCCAGAAGAGGACAUCUGUCAAUAGUCAAUUCCUGCAGCGUCGACGUUCGAAGGAGGUAAUCCGACAGCACCUUUAAUUUGGGGCAAUACCAAAUUCGUAAGGAAGAAAGAUGUGGUCCUGCGAUCUUCUAGAAUGGGCAGUUCUUCUAGAAGAUCACAAGAAUAAAUACUUAGUUCCUACAAAAUUUAACUUUAAGCGACGGACUUUGUCACCAAAAGAAUUUAUGACUGAUUCCUUAGUACCAUUAAUUUCUAGCCACAGGCAUUCUUUGCUACUUACAAACUGAGCAAAAUCAUGUACUAUGUCAUGCAUCUUGAAACUCAUAAUAUUUCUUAAACUCUUGAAAGAAAGAGCGUGCUGCUAAAAUGUUGAAAUACUCUUCUCCAAUCAUCUCCAUUUCUUCGUCUUCUUCUGCAUUAAGGUAAUCUUGAGCCAUCCACAGAUUAAUCAAUUCCUCUUUAUCCAUAUUGCAGUCUUUUGGAAAGACAGUACAAUAUGAGAAACACCGUUUUACCAUAGAAUUGGAGGGUAAAUCGUUAUAACUCAACAACAAAGGAGUCAAAAGACCUUGCCCAAUCUCUUGUACUUUCCACAUUUCACUCCCUAAAAUUCUUUGUCACUCUUUUACUGUACUUUUAGACCGCAAGAGAUUCCCUAUUACCUUUGCAGCAACAGGCAAGCCUUUGCACUUGUGUGCAAUUUUUCGCCCCAUUGGUUCUAAUUUUUCACGAUCCUCAAAAGAACGACCGAAAAAUGCUAACCGCUCGAGCAACGACCAGCAUUCCUCUUCAGCCAAUUGCUCAAUGAAGAUAAUAUUUGUUGAUCCCAUCAUAUGUGCAACUGACUCAUUACGUGUGGUAACCAAAAUUUUACUUCCGUGGAGACCAUUCUUUAGAUAAAGGAAAAAUGGUUCCCAUUUGUUGUAAUCCCCAUCCCAUACAUCAUCUAAAACCAGAAAAAACUUUUUUCCUUCGAUUGAUCUAUGGAUAUGGCUCAUAAGAGAUUGGAAUUCGCUUAAACUAGAAGCUAACUCGCCUAAACCUUCAAUGAUUGCUUUGGCAACCCUAAUCUCCUCAAAAGUGUCUGAUACACACACCCAUAUAACUUUUUCAAAAUUUCUUUUCACCUCAUCAUUAUUAUAGGCCAGUUGUGCAAGAAUAGUUUUACCUAUACCCCCUAAUCCAACUAGUGAGAUGACAUAAAGGCCUUGUUGUUGUUCACUACUUUCACACAACAACUUGCUUAAGAGCUCAUUUUUCUCAUCAACUCUACCGCAAACCUCCCCCUCAUCAAUCAAGGAGGUGGUUCGCACUCGCUCUGGUUUCUUAACAUUGUUGCUCACAUUCUCAACAAAUUUAAACGUAUCUUUUUGGGAGGCAAUAUCAUCUAGCUUUCCAUUGAUUUCCCUAAUCUUGACGGCAAUGUCAUGACGAAGACUAAGUUGUUUGAUACAGCACAAAAGAAGGAGCGUACCUUCUUCUUAUGAGGAGCAAGAGCAAGAGCAUUGUCAUCAUCAACGCCCUCAAUCUGCAAUUUGAGCCUUGCAGUGGUCCACUCCUCCAGCAUGUCUUCCAUGUCGUAAGAUGCGUCUUUGAGCUGAUCCAGCCAAAAAGUAACAGCUUUGUCUUGCUGCAUUUGCCUUUGCUCUGCAUCCUCCAGCACAGCUCGAAUGGCCUGAAGAUUUCUGGUAAGCUUUUUCACUUCUUCUCGGACACCAGUCAGAAGCCUCACCUGUUGUUUCACUUCAUCAGCCGCAACAGAGAUCAGCUGCUCCAGGAGAGAGGAAACGAUCGCAUCAACCAUUCUAACAAAGAAGACGAGAAUUCUAAAGAGUUAUUAGAUGUGCUUUUGUUGCGAUGAUACUGAAAAUGUUUAUACUGCAUAGAAAAUGUUUAUGCUUAUCCCCACCCCACACGUCAAUGAUUGUAGAAUGUUUAAUUUUCCUGAUUCUACUCCACUGGUUAUGAUGCGUAAUUAUAAAUAUUCUCAAGUUAUGUAUGAAAAUAGCACAAAUUUGGACCUACUAAUGAUUUUUAUGAUUUUUGUGUCUUUACUUUUUCAUAAUCUUCUACUGUAAGAGUUCAGAUUUAAUUACUACUUUAAAAACUGAGCAAAAAAAAAUAUCAAGCAUUAAUUAAAAUUCACAAAGGAAUAAAUAACGAAAGAAAAAAAGAUUGGAAAAGUCAUAGAUGUAAAAUAGCACAUUGUUUUUUUAAUAAUCUAAAUAAAAUUAUUAAUAUUCAUGUUAGUCCCUAAAAAAUUAAUAAAUAUAACUAAAAAAAUCUUAUUAGUCUCCAUGAUCAAAAUUUAUUGAAAUAUUUUUAGCCUGGGUUCAAAAAAAAAUAAAUUUCCCAACUUCACACUAGCUAAAUCUAAAAUACACGUUCAUAUAUAGAUAUAUUCUUUCUCGCAGACGUCCGUACAAAAUAAAGUGCGAAUACGACAUUUUCCAGUCUAUCAAAAUGAUUUUUAUUAUUGUAAAAAUAUUAAUAAUAAACUAAAAUAAUAUAUCUACACGUUAUUUCGUCCAGAAAUAUGUAGAGAGAAUAUCUUAAUUUCUAGGGCCCGGCUACGGUGCAACUGUGGUACCGUGCCAUAAUUGCAUCUUACCGUUGGAUGCACUUACAUGGAUGGGGUUCACUGACAUCCAACGGCUGGAUGCAACUAUGGCACGAUACCACAGUUCCACCACAGGUUUUCCCUAAUUUCUAGUAACAUCAUAGUCAAAAUUUUAUCAACAUUUAUGCGAAGGAGUCCCCACUCUCCACCUGGGGGAAUUUGGCAUUUGAUGAAAAAAGUUAUGCUUAUACCCACCCACACGUUAGUGGUUGUAGCAGCAUCUUUGAUUUCCCCGAUUCUACUCCGCCGAUGAACACAUGUUUUGUAGUAACAUCUUUAAAUUCCCACACGUUAGGAAUUUGGCACAUAAUCACAAACUUGUCGCAUCUUUAACGUAUGAGGUUGAUGAAUAUAUUCUUUUCUCAUGUCAAUUUAAAACUCCGAGUGUGUUUCCAACAAUUGCUUUUCUUUUUCUAUUUUUGGAUUUUUGAAUCAUAAUUUUUCAAUUCAAUAAUGGCCUCUUCAAUUAUAAAAUAUGGUAGAAGGGGAUGGGGUGUAGUGUCUAGGCCCCCGCGACAACGGCAUCUUUGGACGUGGGCUUCAUCAUUUCUCCUUUUUUAUUUAAAAAAAAAUUACUUCUUGCAUGAUCUAAUUGGUCUUGUUUCAAAAGAAACAAAAAAAUAAUAAUAAAAAUAACUAAAAUAAAAUAAAAUAAAUCAUAUUCUUUAUCUUAAUUGCUUUCAUUUGUGAUUGACAUGUACUCAUGCAUUGUGUUUUUGUAUAUUUUAUUGAUAUGUUUCCUUAAGGGAUAAACUAAUUAUGUAGCAAAAUUUUAUUAGAGCUAGGAUUAUUUAUAUGUGUUCUAAUACUUUGAACAUCUUACUAUACACUUGUCUAUCAAAUUUUAACAUUAAUUUUUCCUACUCAUUAAAAUAUCAAAAUAGUCAUUGAUAAACAUCUUUCAUUAUUAUUAUUUUUUUUUAUAUAUUGAUAUAUUACAAUUAAAAUUCUAUUCCAAAAUAGUCAUUAACUAGACAUCUUUUAUUAAUGUUCAUUUUUUUAUACACUCAUAUAUUACAAUUAGAAUUCUAUCAAGACUAUCCUUGAUAAUUCUAACAUAGUACAACCAAAAAAUUCUACCCUUGCAAGAUACUAGAGAGAUAUUUAUUCUACUCUUAUUAAUCGAGAGAUAAUUUUACCUCUACCUAAUUUAAUUGGGAGGAAAAUCGAGAGAGAUAUCUAUUCUAUCCUUAUUAAUUGAGAAAUAAUUUUAUCCUUACCCAAUUUAAUUGGUAAGAAAAUUGAAUUCCAACAAUAACUAGGACUCGAACCCAUGCACUUAAGCUAACGUUAAAUGCUUCGACGCAUGGUUAUAAUGUUCUUUAUUUAAAUCCUAAUAAGAGGUGGGACUUGAACUUGUGCCUACAAACAUUGAGUGCUCAGGGCUGCAAAAUUUCACAACUUAAUUUUAAUUCAUGUGGCAUGUGCCCUAUCACAUAAACGUAGAUAAUAAUAAUUAAUACAUUAACAAAAUGAAAAAUAUUAGUUUACAAAAUACAAAUCCUAAUUUUUUGUGUGUGAGAGGGAACCUAAAAAGGGAGAGACUAAACAAAUAUGGUGACAAAUGACAUGUAUUACCAAAACUAAAAACACGAAGUCUAGGCAACUGAAAACAUCUCUGUCAAUUGCAAUGAACAGAUCACAACCCUUCAUAAUUAAUCAAAAUUAAACUUUAAAAAAAAAAAUCACACACACACAAAACAAUCACAACACACUAUUUGUUCUGAUCAUCCCUGCUUUUUCUUAGCGUAGCUCUUGGAAUGAAAAUUAACAAAAAGUGUCAAGAGAGAAGCAUUAAACACAGCAUUGAAGCACCAACCCAAAAUCCCUGACCAUCCAAAUCCCGUAAAAUGAUAAUACAGCAUCAAAACCGAAACAACAAAACUAAACACAAAUUGAACAAUCUGACAAUCAUGAGUGACCAAUCUCUUCCACUUUGGCCGCAACUCCAUCACACACAAUAGAUAGUGCCCGUACAUGAUCACGUGCACACUUGCAUUGGUGACAAGUGCCAUACGAAACAAAGACUGCUUCGUCUGUAACCAAAGGUAGCACAUUACGACGACGGUUGCAUGGUGGUAGACGUGGAGGAACGUGAGCCGUUGGACGGAGUUUUAUUUGAAUCAAUAAGGUGUUUGGCACGAGAGAAAGUGAAAGAAAAUUAAGAAAGAAAAUUUGACUAUGAAGUUUCUGGAACAAUCACAGAUUCUUAUUGAUUAAAGCUGAAAUCAUACAUUAUGAGCGUACUAGUCACUAUUUAUAGUCACACUCAAACUGAUUACAGAAACAAAGCUCAAAGCUGCAAUAUUAACAAACUAAUUAGCCUUCCAAUCAUAACAAGCCAGCUGGACAAUUCGUUACAACUUAUUCAGUGCAAAUAACAGCCCAAUCCAGCUCAGCAACUUAGUUACAAAACAUCAGUCAACUCAGCACCUUCAGCACGUCACCAGCCAGCUCAGCAGCUUCAGCUUAUACUCUUAACAUCCCCCCUCAAGCUCAGCCUAGUGAAGUCAGGGUGAGCUUGUCUCUCAGAUAAUGAAAAGGGUGAUAAGCUAAAGCUUUAGUAAGGAUAUCAGCUGAGUUAUGAGAACUUGGAACAUAACUAACUUGGAAGCUUUUAUUAGAGUUAAAUUUAAGUUCUUGGAACAUAAAUAACCUUUUUCUCGCAAGAAAUGAACAUCAAGUUCUAUGUGUUUAGUUCGGGAGUGGAAUUUAGGAUUACUUGCUAAGGCAGCUGCACUUUGGUUAUCACACCAAAUCAAGAGAAAUGCCAAUUUCAGCCAACAAGGACUUGACUGUUUCUGUAUAAACAUCAAAUUCAGUAAAAAAAGUUGUUAUCUAAUGACAAAAGAAUUUGUCUAAAAUUCCAAUUGAACGCAUAUUAAGUAUUUAAUACCAAGUAAAAUCUGAGAUCAAAGGAAAUUCUAAUAUGACAUCUAAUAGCUAAGUAGAAAAUAAAUAUAUUUAAUGAGGGUAUCUGUGAGAAGAAAACUGAUUUUCUAUUCAGAUAUUUUAUCAUUUAGAUAAAAUUGAAGAGAUUUUACUUUUUCUAUUCAGAUAAAAAUGUCUUACAAUAAAACUCCACGUAAAUUUUUCAAUUUAGCGAUAGCAUAUGGAUCCGAUCCAUUUCUUGUCUAUAUGGCGGAUAAGUUUUAUUAUCGGGUAGACAAAAGCAAAAGCCAUUAUCUUACUAAUUCAUUUGGUCUAUUGAAACUCCAAGAUCUAAUUCAAAGAGCGCGACUCAAAUAAUGGCAAUUAGUAAUUUAUUACAUCUGCAGUUAGACACUUUGUUUGAGAAAAAAGAAUAAAAUCAGUUCCAUAAUGAUUUUAAUUACAAUAAAUAUCAUACUAUGGUCUAUGGACACGCCUCAUAUUACAAAGAAAAUACGUGAAAUAUGAUUAAGGGAUAAAGCUUUCGACAACCAUUUAUAAAAUUGCUUUUGAAAAAUUGUUCUGAUGAAAUGAAAUUAUAUGAAAUUACUAAGAAUUUAAUCUGCCUCUGAAGGAGGAUUAAUUUUAGAUGAUUUUUCUAUUUAUAGCUAUUAUGUAGUCGUUAGAAAUUUCAAAUUUUGAGAAUUUUGCUUGUAGCUACAGGUUGCAGUCAUUUUGAUUUGGAGACUGAUUGAUAAUUAAAGCUAAUGUUGCAAGUAAAAAACAAAAUGAAAAAUAAUUAAAAAAAUAAAAAUCAAGGAGUUAGGCCCAAACUUUAUUAAACUUUUAAUAAAGUCUAUUUCUCAUUUUGUCAUAAUGAAAAAUAAUUAAUAAAAAAUGAAACAACCAGUUUACUUUGACUUUAUUUCACAGAAUAUAAUGUCUGAAAUUUAUAUAUCAUGUAUUCUAGGGUCAAAUCAGUCUUUUUGCACAUAACAUUUAAUAUUUCAUUAAGAAACCGCAAAGAUUAUUUCAAAGCCUUUAGGGUCAUGGUCUCCUCCGGAAGUGGCAAAUUCAGGUUCGGAUCAACCCGAUCAAGUUUCAAUUUGAUUGGGUUGGAAUAUUUGGAUUGGAUCGUAUUGAAUUAAAAAUUCAGGUUGAGUUUGGAUAUGAUCGGAUUAUAAUUAUAUGCGGGCCAUGUCAAGUUUGGAUUAAAAUUAGAUUUGGGUCAAUUAGGCUGAAUUCGAAUAAUGUUCGGAUUAGGGGUAAAUUUUGAGCUUGUUUACUUUUAUUUAUAUUUUUUCAAAUUACUUUAGUCAUUGAAGAUUGUUUUAAUGUAAUCAUCUCAUUUUAGUUCGUUUUUACCAAUUUUCAGCAAAAAAUGAAAAAAAUUACUGCUAUGAAAUCAAAUGAAUAAAAAUUAAAAUAAACUACUAUUAUCGAAUCGAAUCUCCAUCUCUUUGCCCUCUUCUGCAUUAAGGUAACCUUGAGCCACUGAUAGUGUAAUUAGUUCGUCUUUAUACAUAUUGUGGUCUUUUGAAAAGCCUCACUUGUUCCCUUCAUCAGCAACAAAGGAGUUCAGCAGCUCCAGGAGAGGGGAAGCGAAUCAAGCGAUCAAAGAAAAGGAGAAAUAAUUUGAUGAGUUAUUAAGCGUGCUUUUGUUGCGAAAAUACCGAAAGAAAAGGAGUUGUCACAUUCUUUUUAUACUGCAUGAAAAAUGUUUACUCCUAUCCUCUUGUAUAUAAUAGUUUAAAUCUCCAAAAUUUUUCUUUAUUUGAGUUUUAAAAAAGUUAUGUGAAUUUACUGUAAUUAUUUCUUGGGAGUGGGGGUGGAUUUACAAAAAUUGCAGGGUGAAAAUAUCACUACCCUUUUUGUUUAUUAAUUAUUGUAAAAUGCACAUCUUUCAUAUGAACACAUGUUUUUUUUUUUUAAAUUUACCUCCUACUUAGAAUGACAGUCUUUAAUUUUUUUUUUAGAAACGUGAAACAUCAAUUUAAAUUGUUUACAUUAAGAAGACAAUAUGUAUGUGUGUGUGUGUGUAUUCCUUAUCUUUUGAACAAAUAUAAGGACAAAUUGAUGUUUUUACCCUUUAAGAAGUAAAUUAAAGUUUGUUAUUCUAGUUUGGCAUUAAAAGAAGCUUAGCCCUGUAAUAUAUAUCAUGUAGACCAAGGUGACUUCGUCGUGAAUUCUUGUAAUCAAUUUCUUUUGUUCUUUUAUCUAACUAGAAAAGAAAAUUAAGGGGAGCAUUGUCUAUCGAAUUGAGCUUCUCUCAAGAAAAAUACGUACGGAUGAUUUAUAUAUAACCAUUAAAUAUGUUAAGACAUUUUGUUAUUUUUUUAGUCCUAAAAGUAUGAGAGAAAUUAACAUUUUUUGAAUUUAUUUAUAUACCAUAAAUUAAAGAAUGAAAUUAUUUACAAAAUUAUUUCAACUUUCAUGAUUUAAACAAGCAAUCAUCAUUGAUUUCAAUACAAAGAAGUAUUUCGGGUAGAACCGAUUUCUUUACCAAGAUAUGAUGUACAUGUAUUUGGGACUUCUUACUCUAUUAGCUUAAAUAACUACAUAACAAAUAUGACAUAAUCUAAUUGGUCUUGUUAUUGACAUGUACUAAUGCAUUCUAUUUUUGUAUAUUUUAUUGAUAGGUUUCUCUUGAGGUUGAGGAUAAUAUUCACUGUGUGGCAAAAUUUUAUUAAAACUAAGAUUAUUUAUGUUCUAAUACUUUGAACAUCUUAAUAUACACUCAUCUAUAAUAUUUUAACACUAAUUUUUGGAUAAAUUAUAUUUUAACCCCUUAUGAGAUUUACAUAUUUUAAUUUACUCAAAAAUAAAAAAUAAAAACUUCAAUUUACUCUCUAAAAUCUGUUAAAUUUAACUAUCAACCAAUAUUGACUCACUAAAAUACGAUAAUACCCCUGUUAAUUAUAGAAUAACUUAUGUUACUGAUAUAUUUAUGUUGGAAAGAUAUAUCACUUAUAUCCCUACUAUUUCUAAAAUAUAACUAAUUCAAACUUUAUGUGUGUCAUUAAUGAAAAUCAUCCUCUAAUCUAUUUUUUAAAAAAUAAAACAAAACCUCAAUAAUAUAUUUCAUAAAACAAGCAUAUUUCGGAAAGAGCUUGCCUCUUUGGUUGUUUUAAAUAACCAACGUAAUCAGUAGUAGUGCUCUAAUAAUACAUAAACCCAUAGACAUGCCAAGUAUACAUUGAUCCAAGCAAAUGGUUGUUAAUAAUUUUAAUGAUUAGUCUGGUUUUGGGGUUCAUUGAUGAAUUUGGGAAGAAGCUAAAGACUGCUUCGUCUGUAACCAAAGGAAGCACAUAACGACGACGGUUGCAUGGUGGAAGACGUGGAGGAACGUGAGCCGUUGGUCGGAGUUUGACAAAAUGAUCAAAAGGGUGUCUAAGAAUUCGAGUAUUUUGGAGAGGUAGAAGAUGUAAGCGUAGAAGAAGAGGGGGCCAGACGGAGAAAUGGUAGGGGGGAAACAGAGGGUGCAAUCGAGGUGGGGUAAAUGGAGGAUGAUGGAGAGAGUGCAACCAACGGCCAUGAUGACGGACAGGAGGAGGAGGGUAAGGUUAUGGACGGCUGUGAUGGGCUUGAGGAUGUGGGGUCCAAUGAAAGGUGAUGAUGGUGGUGAUGUUGAUGUUGAUGUGUGGUAGAGGAUGAAUGUGAGGGAGAGGUAAGUGAGGAUGGAGAGAAUGAGGAAGUGAGGGGAGGAAGCUAGUGUUUGGUUCUGAGUCCAUGUGAAGUUGAGGAUUUGGGGGUGGUUUAUAGCCAAUAUUGGAGUGUUGCGGUAAUUGAAUAUGAAGCCAUGGCUGGUUUUUUGGGGGAGAAAGAUUUGGAAGAGAUGAUGUUGAGAGGAACGGGGGAGUUUAUAAAGUUUUGGGAUAAUGCGGAGGGUAUUUUGGACAUAUUGUUAUCUUAGCUUAAAUUUUCGGAAAAAGAUAAUCAAUAAUAAGCUCUUUUUUCAUGUCAAUUUAAAACUCCGAGUGUGACUCCAAAAAUUGUUUUCGUUUUUCUAUUUUGGAUUUUAAAUCGUAAAUUUAGUAAAGGAAGUUAAAUCAAGUGAUCACUUUUUUUUUUUAAUGUAAAGCAAUUAUUUUUUUUUAUGAUUUAAGCAAAUAUUGAGCUUCGUACUUUAACGAUAUUAAUAUUUGAUUCAAAAUUUCAUCUACUGAAACUACAAAAAUUAAUAUUUUCUAAUAAAUCAAAACUAAAAUUAAAAGAUGACUCAUUGUCUGCCAACUGUCAUUAAACGAAGCCAUCACCCACGCCAAAAAAAAAAAGUGAUAUAUGCAUUUUAACGUAAUUUCAUACCAACAAAUCAUUCUUUUCUUUCGAACAAUGAUCUCUUUAAUUAUCCAGGGCUUUGUGAUAACGGCAUCUUUGGAUGUGAGUGUCAUUAAACUUUUGGCUCAAUCAGACUUGUGGAUUACAUGCACUCAACGUUGAUAAUAUAGAAAUGGGAGAAAAUUAUGUCAGAAAAAUCAAGUCAGUCAAAUAAGAAUUGUGUAUUUUUGAAAAAGUUGAAAAAAAUGGAUUGACGGUGCAUAAUUUCCUAACUCACUAGAAUUUCCUAAAGUAGGAGUAAAAAAGACUCCAAAGGAACAUGGCAAUUAUUAUUAUCUAGGAAAUAAUUCAUAGCUAAAACAAAAUUAAAUUUCCUAACUCACUAGAAUUUAACUGGAGAAAAAUUGGAAUAUACAACGUUGUAUCACAUAUAGUACUUAGACAUCAAGAAAAGAAUCCAUGUAUCAGUGAACCAUACUUGCCAGGAAACACCAGGCGAAUACCACCACCUGGGGUUUUUAAAUAAAGAUGCCUUAAAAGUAGGGUAUUUAGUUAAAUAUACCCCAUGUUUGAAAAUUAUCUAGAUAUACCUUUUUCUAUGGUACAUUGUCUAAAAUAUCCCUAAAGAAAAAUAUAAAACACACACAACUCACCUCCAACACUCUUUACUUCUCACUCUUUUUAACUCCACACAACAAAAACUCACUCCACACUCAAAAUCACUCACGAACAGCCAAUGCACUGAGAUUUUAAUUUGCAGCUGGGUGCAUUAUUCAUCACAUGAAUAAGGUAUUUGAAACUUUAUUUUUAUUUUGUGUUAUUUAUUUAUUUUGUUGACAUUAUAUUAUUUUUAGGGUUUUGUUUGGUUUGUGAUAAACAAUAAAGCAACUCACAUUUUCAUUAUAUUUGCAUCAUAUGACUGUUAUUUGAUGGAUUUUAUAACUACAUUCGUUAAAACCUGAAGUUGCUGCCAAAAUUUUGUUCUGCACCCCGACAUACACGACAGCAGUCGUGUAUGUAUGGAUUUACACGACAACAGUCGUGUAUGUAUGGAUUUACACGACAACAGUCGUGUAUGUAUGGAUUUACACGACUGUAGUCGUGAAAAUGUGCAAAAGAUUCAAAUUAUUAUGACACCCUAUCAUUUUAUUGGUGCAAAAAAUAUAUUAUUUUCAUUAGAUAUAUCAUUUUACUAUUACUAGACUAUAGUAGUGUGUUUUAAUAAGUUACACGACUACUAUCGUGUACGUAUGAACUUACAUAUUAUAAUUGUACAUAUAUGUAAAAUGUUCCAACUAUUAUGAGAUCCCAACAUUUUAUCAGUGCAAGAAAAAUAUUUUUUAAAGAAGAAAUAUGUCAUUUGACUAUUUAUAGUCAUGUAUUUCUAUAACUUACACAACUGUCAUCAUGUAUGUAUGACUUUUGUCAUGUAUGUAUGUAUGAAUUUACACGAUAGCAGUUGUGCAAGAUUGAAAGAUAUAGUAGUUGUUAUGACACAUAGCAUUCUGUUAGUAUAAAGAUUACAUUUUUUUACUAAACAUAUUCUAUAACUGUUUACUAGACUAUAGUUGUGUAUUUUAGCAAGUUACACAACUAUUAUCGUGUAAACUAGCUAUUUACACGACAGCUGUCGUGUAAAUAGACAGAUAGUUCCACACUUCAUAAUAUACCUUGUUUGAUUUUUUUUUUGUAUAAUCAUCUGUUGUAUUAUUACAUGAAGUGACUUCAGUAUGUGUGCCUAUUAUUCUUUAGAAUCAUAAGAAAUUAUGAUAGCAUCACAAGGUGAAGAAAAGUUACGCCGUAAGUACUGUAGGUGUGGUUCUCAAUGAUAUAAUCGACUAACUUGCAAUGCACCAAUCUCAUUGUCUAACAAUGAGCCCGUAGUUAGACCGAAUGAAACAAAAACAAGCACACAUACUACUAUGAACCUUACAUACUUGUCAUUUUUGUUGUUUUAAUUUCUUUAAUAUCUAAAAUAGUUAGUUGAUAAAUUUCUACCUUUUUUGUCUUGCAGCUGGAUAAACAUGUUGUGUGGCUUAUGUUGUUUUCAAAAGGAGGCGAACGGGGCCUUAUAAUACAUGGGUCGAGUGUUUGGGUUGAGCAUGCAAAUAAUUAUGAUGAUUGUGCAGCAACUUCGAUUAUAUUACGACUUAUUUAUGAUUUGAACAUGUAUUGGAUCUAUGUUGUUUGAUGCACAAUUACUUUUGUUAUUUGUUAAAUUGAAGUAUAAUAUGUUAAAGUCUAUAUUGAUUUUGUUGUCAUUAUAAUGAAUGUUUUAGGUAAUUUUAUGUUCUAUGUCCACUUACCCAACUACAGUCGUGUAUUUUGGCUCUUACUCGACUAUUGUCGUGUAUAUCUGAUUGUACUCAACUAUAAAUGUGAAUCUAUUAAAUACUCGACUAUUGUCGUUUAUUUAUGAAAAUACCCGACUAAAGUUAUGUACCAAUGCAAAUACCAGCUGGUCAUGUAUGUUUGCAAAUGCUCGACUGCAGUCGAGUAUCUGUGAAAAUACUCGACUGCAGUUGUGUACCAAUCCAAAUACCACCAGGUUAUAUAUGUUUGGAAAUAUUCGACUGCAGUCGAGUAUCUGUGAAAAUACCCGACUGCAGUCGUGUACCAAUGUAAAUACCAGCUGGUUAUGUAUGUUUGUAAAUACUCAACUACAUUUGAGUAUCUGUGAAAAUACCCGACUGCAGUCGUGUACUAAUGCAAAUACCAGCUGGUCAUAUAUGUUUGAAAAUACUCGACUGCAGUCGAGUAUCUGUGACAGCUGGUCAUAUAUGUUUGAAAAUACUCGACUGCAGUCGAGUAUCUGUGAAAAUACCCAACUGCAGUCGUGUACCAAUGCAAAUACCAGCUGGUCAUGUAUGUUUGUAAAUACUCGACUGCAGUCGAGUAUCUGUGACAGCUGGUCAUAUAUGUUUGAAAAUACUCGACUGCAGUCGAGUAUCUGUGAAAAUACCCAACUGCAGUCGUGUACCAAUGCAAAUACCAGCUGGUCAUGUAUGUUUGUAAAUACUCGACUGCAGUCGAGUAUCUGUGAAAAUACCUGACUGUAGUCGUGAACCAAUGCAAAUACCAGCUGGUCAUGUAUGUUUGCAAAUACUCGACUGCGGUCGAGUAUCUGUGAAAAUACCUGACUACAGUCAUGUAUUUGGGUUGAGCAUUUCUUGAGCAUAUAUGACCAUUCUAUUACAUCACAUAUAUUAUAUAAAACUAUCUUCUCUGUCAUUAAUAUACUUAAUAAAAAAAACAUAUGUAUGAUGUCAAAUUAACUUUAAUGAUAUCAAAUAUCAACAACAUCCCAUUGUAAUCAUUACAUCUCAUGAUAAGUAAUCCAAAAAAUGACACAUCAAUGAAGUUUUUAAGAGUGGGAGACUACGUAGUUUUUUUUUUCCAAGACCUACUCCAAAAUAAUUUGACAGCCAAUGCUUUUUGAAAUUGUGCAACAUCAUCUUGUUGGCAAUAUAAAUUGACAUCAAGUCAGUGGGCCAGGACCUCCAAGAACUGCAACAAAAAUGCUCCACAAUCACCACUAAAAAAAUUCAUAUAAAUCAAUCGUUAAAUAUGACCAUUGUUGUUGUUAAGUCAAAAAAAUAUAAUUUCAGUUUGUAGUAAAAAUAAUACUUCAAACUUAUUAUCACUGUCGUAAUAUAUUAUCAAUCUAUUAAAUGAUCACACAACAUAAAAGCAACAGAUAUGAGAACGUUUUACAACUUAAAAAUGUUCUAUAUAUAAGACAACAUGACUUUCUUACAACUAGUAUCUACAGGAUCAGCAUAACUAUAUUAUUUCAAGAACAAACCCAUCAAAUUAAAAUAUAUUGCCAAUAACUAUGAACUCAAAUAAUUUUUAAAUGAGUUAUAAACAAAAAUAAGAAAUAAACCAUCACUGCCACAUGACAUAAAAAUCAAACUUUAUGUAUCAAGUAUGUUAACAAUUCCAAAUAAAGUAUAAAUAUUCAAAGAAAAUGUUGAAUUUUUCCAUAACACUCAAACAAUUAAUUUUCAUUAGUUCAAUCUGAUUAAUAAGCUAUUAAGUAUGUGUAUAAUUGUCAAAAACUAAAAACAAGUCUAGGAGGAGUGUAUUAAAGGGCAAUUCUCCAAUAGUUAACUAGUUGGAAAUAUAUACAACAACAUUUGCUGCACAAUAAUAUCAAAUCCUAAAUGCUAUGUGACUUCUUCAAUCAAUAGCCUCACAAUGAGACAAAUUAAUAAAAUGAUCGAACAUUGUUUCAAAAUUCACAAGUCGUUCAAAACACAUUUAUUAAUAGUGUACUAUCAAUAGUUUUAUGCUGAAACAAAUAACAAAUUGUUAAUAAAUUAGAAUUGCAAAAUAAAGGUUCUAUAGCAAAUAAUAGAGAAAACCCAGAUUGUAGCAUAAUGAAUGCAUACGCCGCUGAAGAAAAUUGAUAUAUAAUUCCCAUGGAUGAAGUUCAACUACAAACAACAAGUAAAAUUAUAUAAAGAUCUAAUGCAUAAACUAGUGUAGCCAUAACCGAGUAUUCAUAAGGAUAAUAUUUGUUUCAUCCAAUUCUCUAUGAAUAUUUAAUUAGGAACUCCCACAACCAUUAUUAAAGAGCCAUGAAAUCACUCUCUUCAAUUUCAAAUCCACAAGUUCAUUAAGAACAGUGGUACUCCAAUAACAUCAAAAUGGUUGGUGACCACUCUAUCAAAUCCACACAAUAGCUGAUAUCUCAUGUUUGCAUAUAGUCCAAUGAAAGCACCAUAGCCAGGCUCUUUAGUACUUACAGAUGGGAUUGUCACAGCUAACCUGUCAGACAUCAAAUAUGGCCUAAAUUUACAGAUGGGGUUGUCGCGUUAGUGCUUAGACAGUAAACAUUUGCUCUAGUAGCCUGAUUACACAAGAAAUCGAGACAAGUGUUCAAAAUUUUAAUCUUUAUAUAUAGCCAAAAUGAUAAUGUAUUUGAUAAUACUGACCUGAGUUAAUAAAUACGGGGCUGGUGACAAUCACAGCAUCUCAUCAUGUGGGCAAAGCCUUCGCAACAGAAGACGCUGCUUGCUUUGAAGCAAUAAUAACUUUCCAAUUCCAUAAGGUAGCUUAAUGCCCUUUUAGGAUAUCAGCACCAGCCUAACAAUUAUUCAUGGAAAUUCGAUUUGCAUUUAUCACCUUUAAUUUGCUCAUAUUUGCCUAGAGUAUUGUUUUUGCGUUAACUUAACAAGCUUGCAAGCCACCUACAAAUGGUUUUAAAUAAUGUGUGAGAGUGUGAAAUCGAACAAAUUAAUCAAAUAUGAUGACAGAAGAAACAAAAGCAAAACAACCACAAGACGUAGAAAUUCACUUUUGUUAUAUUUAGAGCAUCUUCUACCGUCUUCUUUUCCUUUAGCUCUGUUUCUGUGUGUGUUCAAACGCAAUGCCUCAAGGCUCAAGAUAACUUUUUGACCAUCAAUCUUUUGCAGCCAUGUGCAGACUUGAAACACUGUAGUGUCCCUAAGUAACUUGAAAAUUAGAAAGUUUCAGUAUGAGUGACUAAAUAUGAUAAUCGAAACUAAUUUAAUAUACACACCUUGUAAAUCUGAAACUAAAUUACUCAAAUGUAUAUGCCUCAUCGCAGCAAUUGCUUGUGGUGGAAAGUUUACUGCAAAGACUUCCUCAAACCCUUGAAGAUCACACUCUUCCUGGCAACAAAGAAACAGAGUUAAUGUACGAAGAUGAUUUUACUAACAAGUGAGAGCUUGCAAAUAUUGGAAGGAUAACGAUUACUCAUAACCCAAAUCCCCAAUACACUCUAUUAUCUCACUCAAGUGAGUUCAAGCUCCCAAAAUUCACUACAGUGAAACUCUCACAACAAAAUUCUAUUCAAAGAUUCUCUACUCAAAUUUGAUUAAGCUGCUUAGAAUCCUUAACCUGAUAACUUACACAAACAAAAACAACUUGCCUAAAGUUUAAUAUUUAGAGGCAGAACAGUAAAGAAGAAGAUAUAUAUUGAUACUAAAAUUUGACCUGUAUUGCCCUGAUGUCAAGAAUCACGGCAUCUUAUGUGGGCAAAAUCUUCACAAUACGAGAUGCUUGCAAAAUUGAAGCAGCAUCUUAUCACCUGUAAUUUAAUUAAGACAAUAACUUUCCCCAACUAUUUCAAUGCAUUAUUGGCAACUAAAUUCAGAGAGCGCUAAUUAAAUAUCCUUUUAAUAAUAUCUUCUUAUUCUUCUCCAAUCUAACAGUUAUUUGGAAAUCUGAAAAGAGGUUCAACAUUUUACAACCAAUCAAAAAUCACUGAACCAUUGGAAAGUGAUUUACGUAUAAUUUUUUUUUCCAAACUCUGCCCAAAAUGAUGAAUGAGAUAGGAUGACACAAGAAACAAAUGUAAAUUGACCGCAAGUAGAAAUAUACUUCUAUUAUAUUUGCAACAUCUUCUAGUGUCAAUUGCUUUUCCUUGAGCUCUGUUUCUGCAUGUGCUCUGUUAAGGAAGUCCAAUAUGCUGAGCUCACAGAGAGUAGGAGUAAGAAGGAGAAGAAGCUUCAGUCUCAGUCAGUCAAACAUUUCAGCAAUGCCAGCUCAUCAGAGUUAGUUAAGCAAGUUGCCAGAUCAGCACAAGAUGGUUAAGCUUGUUAUCAGUCAUUUCGUAUGUGUGUGUAACUGAAUGUAAUUAGCUUAAGCUGUAAUCUUGUGCGUGUAUAUAAGUUUAGUUGAUUCAAUUGCAAAGGUUAAGAAAAAUCAAUAAGAAAUAAAGUGAUCUUCUCUCUGAAAAUAAUUUUCCUAAAAAACAAACAACUCAUUUUCUCUUUCAUGGUAUCAGAGCCAUCCAUGGCUAGUUCCAGUACAAUAAAUCAAAAUUGUUCAAAUUUCAAUCAAAUGCAUUCCACACAAACUUCAUUUACCUUUGCCACAACAGUAAAACUCGAUCGAUCAAACUUCCUUCUCUGGCGCAAACAAGUGAUUACUUCAAUCAGAGGGAAUCGACUUGAAGGAUUAAUCUCAGAAAAACAAAAUGUUCCAGAGCAAUAUGUUUCUCAGUCCCAAGCUGAUGGAUCUGUGGAAAGGAUUGAAAAUCCAGCUUAUGUCAACUGGAGAGCUCAAGAUCAGACUCUACUUAGCUGGCUUCUAUCAACAAUCAGUGAAGGUAUCUUAAGCUUAGUUCUUAACCAUGAAACUUCUUUUGAUGUAUGGAGAUCUAUUGAAAAGCAAUUUGGAGUACAAUCUAAAGCAAAAAUAAUGCAACUUCGAUAUGAAUUAGAUACUCUGAGAAAAGAGUCAAUGUCCAUUGAAGAAUAUUGUUCGAAAAUGAAAAUGCUAGCUAAUAAACUUGCAUGUGCUGGAGAUAACAUAACUGAAAAGGAUUUGCUGAUAAGGACACUAAAUGGACUUGGAUCUGGCUAUCUAGAUCUGGCUUCAAUAAUCACAGCCAAUAAGAUGAGUUAUGAUGAUGCGUAUGCACUUUUACUGACACAUGAAGCUAGGCUGGAACAAAAUCAGAAUCCUCAGGCUAUGUUUAAUGCAAAUUAUAGUAUGAUGAAUACAAAUUAUUCACAUAUGAGAGGUGCUCCUAGGAGAAAUGCUUAUGGUAAUAGUAGUGCCAUUUAUGGACAAUCUGGAGGCAGAGGUCAGAUUUUUGGUCGAGGCAUGUUUUCUGCUUCUUAUCCUAGAGGAUUUCCAGCUGGUGGUAAUACUGCUAGUGGUUUUGGUAGAGGAAAUGUUGCAGGUUUUGGAAGAAAUCAGUUCAUGCAGUCUCAUAGGCACCACAAAUGAGGCAUAUGUUCACUCCUGCUAAUACUUCAAAUGUUUCUGAAUCAAGUGAGCCAUUACCUAUAUGUCAAAUAUGUCAUAAGCAAGGACAUACUGCUGAUGCAUGUUGGUAUAGGUAUGGUGAUGCUUAUUUUUCCUCACCUAAACAAUUUGGAAGAGGAAAAAUGAUGGGAUCUAAGACUGCAUAUAUGGCUAAUUUUGAGCCAUUUCCUUAUCAACCAUCUUCAUUUGAAGAUCCUUAUGAAAUCUCAGACUCUAGCUGUCAGUUCAUGAACUAUUCUCCUGUUUCCUCUUAUCCAUCAGAGGCUUUUACUCUGCCUGAAGCCUAUGUUGCAAAUGUUGAAGGCUCAACUGAUGAAGGGUGGUAUCUUGACAGUGGAGCUACACACCAUAUUACCAACAACAUGGCAAAUAUGCAUGUGAGAGAAGAAUUCAAAGGCUCAGACCAAUUGACCAUCGGCAAUGGACAAGGUUUGAUCAUUACUCAUAUUGGUGAUGCAUGCUUUAACCAUAAAAGUUUCAAAUCUGCCUACAAACACACACCUGUAGCACUCAAGGAUAUUUUGUUAGUUCCCUCAAUUACUAAGAAUUUGAUAAGCAUAUCCAAAUUGACCACUGAUAAUAAUCUUUCCAUUGAAUUUGUUGGCAAUAAUAAUCUUUCCAUUGAAUUUGUUGGCAAUGUGUGUUAUGUAAAGGAUUUACUGAAGGGACAAGUACUUCUGCAAGGUCUUGCUGAGAAAGGAUUGUAUAGGCUGCUGUUAAAAUCAUCAGAGUCAUCACAGUCUCCCUCUUCCUUCGUGUGUCAAGUUUCUUCAAAUCAGCCUCUGUCUAUGUUAUCAACAUGUCAUGUUUCUUUUCCUAUUUCAAAUAAUGUUCAGAAUAAACACUCAAGCUCUAAAGCUUGUUUUCAAACUGAUGUUUCCUCUUGUAAUUCAUUUGUCAAUAAAGUUGAUCUUCUUCAUAGAAGAUUUGGUCAUCCUCAUCAUAAUGUCUUCAUGCAUUUGCUUAAGAAUGAUCAAACUAUUAAUCUCUCAUCUUCUCUUAUUAACCAAGCUGCACAACAAAUAUGUGAUGCAUGUCAAAUGGGAAAAAGUCACAGGUUGCACUUCCCUGUCUCAGAAACCAAAACUUCUCAGGUGCUUGAACUAAUUCACACUGACUUAUGGGGCCCUUCACCUAUCCUUUCUAAAGCUGGUUAUGUCUAUUAUAUCAGCUUUGUUGAUGACUUCAGUAGAUACACCUGGAUUUAUCCAUUAAAAUUGAAAUCAGAAGCCCUACAAGUCUUCAAAUUGUUCAGAUUGCAAGCUGAAAAACAAUUUCAAAGUCCCAUUAAAAUGCUGCAAUCUGACUGGGGGGAGAGUAUAGAGCAUUUACUGAUUUUCUGAACCAAAAUGGAAUCAUGUUCAGACACUUGUGUCCCUAUACACAUCACCAAAAUGGGGUAGUUGAGAGGAAACAUAGGCAUGUUGUUGAGUUAGGACUCACACUUCUAGCUCAAGCUAAAUUACCUUUAAGUUUUUGGUGGGAAGCUUUUCAAACAGCAGUUUACCAUAUUAACAAGUUGCCUUCUACAACUCUGAAAUUCUUUACUCCAUAUGAAAAAUUGUUCAAACAUAAACCAGACUACAAAAUGCUUAAAUGUUUUGGCUGUGCAUGCUAUCCAUAUUUGAGAGAUUAUAACAAGCAUAAGUUUGGCUACCAUUCUAGCAAAUGUAUUUUCAUUGGGUACAACCCUUCUCAUAAAGGGUACAAGUGUUUGCAUCCAUCUGGUCAGGUUUAUAUAGCAAGACAUGUUGUCUUUGAUGAGUCUUCUUUUCCUUAUUCCUCAGAUUCUGCUUUUGCUUCUAAUAAAUCAAACUCAUGUCAAAACUUGUCUUUCACUCCUCAGCAAGUGUAUCAUCUAUCCACUUUGCCAUUAUUCUUAACUUCAGAUGAUAACAGCACUCAUAAUCCUAACUCUGCAAGCUCUACCAGUAGCAGUUCUCAUCAUUCAGUUUCUCCUAAUCAUAACAACAAUUCUCAUCUAUUGUCCCAAACAAACACAUUACCAAUCACUAAUACAGAGCCUAAUACAGAACUUCAUACUUCUUUACCAGUUCAGCCAAUCACCACCAACAGACCUCCCAUUUUUCAAACAUUACCUGAAACAAAUCAAAACACAUUAGCUCCAGAAAACACACAACAAUCCAAAACUCCUUUAAACACACGUCCUAUGACCACUAGAGGUAAGAUUGGCAUUUUCAAGCCUAAGCUCUACAAUGUAGCUCUUGUUCAUAAAGAGCCAGAAUCUGUAGAAGAAGCUAUGCAGAAUCCUAAAUGGUUUGAAGCUAUGAAUGAAGAAUAUAGUGCUCUGCUCAAGAACAAUACAUGGUAUUUAGUUCCAAGAUCUGAUGGUCAGAAGAUUGUUGGAAACAAGUGGGUAUAUCGAGUUAAGCAUAACUUAGAUGGAAGUCUGGCCAAGUACAAGGCCAGAUUAGUUACUAAGGGUUUUCAACAAAUUGCAGGGGUAAAUUACUUUGAAACUUUCAGUCCAGUGGUAAAAUUAGCUACUGUUAUAGUAGUGAUUAGUUUGGCUGUUAUGAAUCAGUGGCAAAAUCAGGCAGGUAGAUGUUAAUAAUGCCUUUCUUAAUGGGGAGUUAACAAAGAAGUUUUUAUGGAUCAGCCAGCAGGUUUGUUGACAGUCAAAAACCAAACUUUGUGUGUAAACUCCAUAAGUGGCCUCAAGCAAGCUCCACGAGCUUGGUAUGAAAAGUUAAGAAGUUGUUUGUUACAGUGGGACUUUGAAAACUCAAGAGCUGACACUUCUCUGUUCAUCAAGAAAACCAGCUCAUAUAUGAUAUUGGUACUGAUUUAUGUUGAUGACAUCUUAAUCACAGGACCAGAUAGUGCAGAACUAGAAUCUUUCAUUGCCAAAUUUAAUGCAGUUUUUGCACUAAAGGAUUUGGGUACUCUCUCUUAUUUUCUGGGCAUAGAAGUCUUAUAUGGUGCAGAUUGCAUUUAUAUGUCUCAAAGGAAAUACAUAAGAGAUCUAUUGACUAAGGUUCAGUUGCUUGAGUGUAAAGAGAUUGACACACCUUUGAGUACUGGAAUUAAGCUGCAAAAGGAAGCUCAAGGAUAUCUAGGCCAAUAUAUUGCUGAUGCUACACAUUACAGGAGCAUUGUAGGAGGGAUGCAAUAUUUGGUUUUAACAAGGCCAGAAAUUGCCUUUGCUGUAAACAAGUUAAGUCAGUAUGUUUCAAGUCCUACAAUGCAACAUCUUAUAGCCUGUAAGAGAGUGCUUAGAUACUUAAAGUCUACUCAAGAUUAUGGACUUAAGUUUGUUCAAAAUGGAGAAAUGAAGAUUACUGGAUUCACUGAUGCAGACUGAGCUUGUGAUUUAGAUGAUCGAAAAUCUGUUGGAGCCUAUUGCAUCUACUUAGGUAAUAAUUUGAUUUCAUGGUCAUCCAAGAAGCAAUCAGUCAUUGCUAGGUCUAGUGCUGAGAGUGAGUACAGGGCCUUAGCUUCAGCUAGUGCAGAGAUCAGCUGGUUACAAUAUUUAUUUUCUGAAAUUGGUUUGUGUUGUUCAGAGAUACCUACUGUCUGGUGUGACAAUACCAGUGCCACUGAGCUUAGCUCAUAAUCCUGUUUUCCAUUCUAGAACUAAACACAUCGAGCUUGACUUACACUUCAUCGGAAACAAAGUGAUUGCAGGGGAGUUAAAAAUUCAGUACAUUCCCAGUGAAGAACAGAUUGCUGAUAUCAUGACAAAACCUCUUUCGUUUGUUCAUUUUAACUAUCUGAGAUCAAAACUCAAUGUGCAGCCUUACCCCUUGAGUUUGAGGGGGGCUGUUAAGGAAGUCCAAUAUGCUGAGCUCACAGAGAGUAGGAGUAAGAAGGAGAAGAAGCUUCAGUCUCAGUCAGUCAAACAUUUCAGCAAUGCCAGCUCAUCAGAGUUAGUUAAGCAAGUUGCCAGAUCAGCACAAGAUGGUUAAGCUUAUUAUCAGUCAUUUCGUAUGUGUGUGUAACUGAAUGUAAUUAGCUUAAGCUGUAAUCUUGUGCGUGUAUAUAAGUUUAGUUGAUUCAAUUGUAAAGGUUAAGAAAAAUCAAUAAGAAAUAAAGUGAUAUUCUCUCUGAAAAUAAUUUUCCUCAGAAACAAACAACUUCAUUUUCUCUUUCAAAAUGCAACACACAUACCACAAGAUAUAAUUAUCAACAGGAUCUCCCUAAGUUACAUGCAUGUAACUUAGCAUUAGCCUUAUCAACAUGAAUCUUUUGCCGCCACAUGCAGCCCAAAACUGUUUAUGGCCAUAAAGAACGGGAUAAUCAGAAAUCAUUAACAACGAGAGAAAUCAUUUUAAUCGCAGCCAAACAUACACACUAAGAAAAUCUAAAAUUUAAUUUCUCCCAAUGAAUGUGCCUCUUCACAGCAAUUGCACUAGCUAAUCCCAGCAGCCUGCGUCAUGGAGCUUCUCCCAAUGAGUGAGUGAGCCUUCAACAAUUAUCACUUAGCUCAAACUAAAAUGAAAUUAUUGUGGACAUCUGAAUUAAAAAUACAUGUAAAAGCAGUUUUCUCAAAGCAAGGUCAAGAUAAGAGAUUAACUCUGCUCCUUAUUUACAUUAAAAAUAACAAACAAUGAAAAACAAAGCUAGAGAAGAACUUACCUGUGCAUUGAGACCAUGUGGGGAAUGUGAGAUGUCUUCUUAUAUUUGUUUUGAGAAACUCCAUCUUCUUCUGAAAGUUCUGACAGUUCUGACAGUUCCCUAAACCCAGGCCAAUACAAUUGCAACAGAAACUGCAUGCAUUAAGCAGCAUCUGAUCAUCUCCUGUUAUUUCAAGAUAAUAAUAACUUAAUUGCAACACUGCAUGCUUCAACCAUUAACCUUUUCAACUUCAACACUUCUUUUGUCCCCCUCCCGAUGCCCUUUUCACAAUUCUAUGAAUCAGAUAAAUCAGCCUUCUUCGCAAAACUAUGAAAAACUUUUCACCGUGUUCCACACAUUCCGGGAUUAGUAUUGAUAACAAACAUUUGAUGAAGACCCUGCCAAUUAAAAUUUCGGUCCCCAUGUAGCAGAAUUUCUUAUUUUUCCUUUGUACACAAAUGCAGACACUUACGCAAAUUAGGAUUUCUUUUGACCCUGCAAGUUACAAUUUCAGUCCCCAUGUAAUAGAAACAUUUUGUACACAUAUUUAUAGCAAACUAAUAUUUCAUACCUCACAAUAUUUAUCAUAACCAUCAAUCUUUAGAAACCACAUGCAGACUUUUUAACUGUUUAUGGCCCAAAAUAACAGGAAAAUUAGAACAGAUUUUUAAGAAUGAGCCACUACAUAUUUCAAUGGCAACUAAAAUUACACAUCUUGGAAAUCUAAAACUCAAGUACUCAGAAUGAAUGUGCCUCUUCACAGCAAUUAAACAAGCUGGGAACUUUAGUGCAAAUGCUUUUUCAUAAUCUUCAAUUGCAUAAGUCAGUAAGAAUCAAUCUUUCUUAAUCUUUCAAUUCACACAUGAGAGCCUGGUAACACAAGGAAACACUGUAAGUGAAUUGUCAACUCUGACAUAUUUUGGGUAAAAACUAUCAACUGUAGUUAUCCGCAUAACAUAUAGUGUCAACACCAAAUUCCUUCCUGAUUCGUGGAAGCAUUUCAGCCCACAGACGGUUUGGUUUGUCAAUAUAUAUCAAGCUUUGUAGCUUUUAAGAAACUGACAGGUGAAAGACCUGGAAUUUUCGAUAGCAACUCAGGAUUCUAUAUUUAAACUAUGAUGUUUGAUAACUUGCUGAUACAAAAGACAUUGCCCCAAGCACUUUUUUACAGGAGCUAAACUCAAGCAAGUCACUUCCAUUUGUUGCAGUUUUAACGCAGAAAGAAAAGGGAGAAAAAAAUCUGCAAGAUACCGCAUGUUCGCAGAAGCAGAGUUGAAUAAUUACAAAAUUACAUUCUUGAUUGCACAGAAAUGAUUACAAAAUUACUUUCCAAUUUCAUAAGGUAGCUUAAUGCCCUUUUAAGAAUAUCUACACCAGCCUGACAAUUAUUCAUGGAAAUUCAAAUUCAAAAUCAUGUUCCUAUGAGAGAUGAAAUGUAAUGAGCGACUUGGCCACUAUAUAUGCAUUUAUCAUCUUCAAUUUGCUCAUCUUUGUCUAGAGUAUUGCUUCUGCGUUAACUUAAUUAGCGUGCAAGCCACCUGAAAAUGGUUUUAAAUUAUGAGAAAGAGUCUGAAUUCGAAAGAAUCAAUCAAAUAUGAUGACAGAAAACACAAAAGUAAAAUAACCAAAAGAAGUAGAAAUAUACUUUUGUUAGAUUUAGAGCAUAAUUCUUCUGUCAAGUUCUUUUCCAUUAGCCUUGUUUCUGUGUGUGCUCAAACGCAAUUCCUCAACGCUCAAGAUAGUUCCUGCGGACCUGAAAAACUAGUUGUGGCCAUAAGGAACUUGAAAAUUAGAAAAGAUUCAGAAUGAGUGACUAAAUAUUUUAAUCAAAACUAAUUAAACCUACACUCCCUGAAAAUCUGAAACUGAAUUACUCAAAUGAAUAUGCCUCUUCACAGCAAUUGGUUGAAACUUUACUGCAAAGACUUUUUGAAACCCUUGAAGAUGAUACUCUACCUGAUAACACAAGGAAACACAAUCAAUAUAAGAAGAUGAUUUUACAAACAAAUGAAAGCUUGCAGUUAUUGGGAGAGCUCUACUCAAAUUUAAUGAGAUAUCUCUCAGGAGGGAGAGCUCUAAUAAUAUAUAAAGCCAAAAAUCUGAAAAUGUCUAACACUCAUCAAAUUGGCUUGUGAAGAAUUAAUCUUCCUUGCCAUCAUACAUGCCAGGUGUGGUGAACAAUCUUCAUUCUGACAUUUGCCUUAAUAAGCUGCUUAGUAUCCUUAACCUGAUAACAUACACAAACAAGAACAACUUUACUAAAGUUUAUUCUUUAAAGGCAAAACAGUAAAGAAGAUGAUAUAUGCUGAUACAAAAAAUUGACCUGAGUUAUCCUGAUGUCAAGAAUCACAGAACCUCAUGUGGGCAAAAUCAUCGCAAUACAAGAUGCUGAAUUCAAGCAACAUCUUAUCACCUGUAAUUUAAUUAAGACAAUAACUUUCCUCAACUAUUAUCCUUCUCAAUUUCAAUGUAUUAUUGGCAACUAAAUUCAUAGGGGACGUAGCUAAUUAAAUGCCCUUUUAACAAUAUCUUCCCCACCUAACAAUUAUUUGGAAAAUCUAAAUGACAAUCAUGCAUUGAUGGCAUAAAAAAUUGGCCACAAAGCUGCCUACAAAAAGGCUUUAAAUUCUUAAUGAGACAACGUAUUCGAACAAAUAUGGUGAAUGAAGAGACAAAGGCAUAACACCUCAAGAAGUAAAGCUCUGUUUCUGUAUGUGCUCAAACCAAUGGAAACCCAUGGAAAUGAAUUUCUACUAAUUAGACAUGUCAGCCAAAACAGGUACUCUGUACAAGCAAAGUAAAAGAGAGUUACAAAAAAAUUUUAAGAUAAUUAAACUUUCAGUCACCAUAUAAUUAAUAGAAAACUUUGUACACAAUGAUUUAUUGGAGAUUAAGAUUGUAUACCUAAGUUUUAAUUGCAAACUAAAUAUACACAACAUGAUAUUAGCAUUAGAAGACCGCACCAAAACGUACCGAAUUAAAUGUACAUCUUCACGGCCAUUGUACCAGCCUAAUCCUUGAUUACACCAAUGUUCUCCAUAGGGUCUUCAAAGUCAACCUAAAAAUAAAAUGAAAAUGCAAUGCAUUAUUAUUAGGGAUCUAGUGCUUGAGCUUGCUUUGACAUCAUGGUAUUAGCAAAUUCUGAUAUAGCCAAAAUGGUGAAUAAGAUGACGUACUUGAUAAGAAAAACCUGAUUUAACAAAUAAUUAAGGAGCAGGUAACAAUCACAGAAUCUCAUCAUGUGGGGAACGCCUUGGCAACAGAAGAUGGUGCUUUCAUUCAAGCAAUAGCAACUUUCCAAUUUCAUAAGGUAGUUUAAUGGCCCUUUUAAGAACAUCUGCACCAGCCUAAUAAUUAUUCAUGGAAAUUAAUAAUCAGAAUCAUGUUAGAUUGAGAGAUGAAACAUAAUAAGCGAUUUGGCCACCAUAUAUGCAUUUAUCACCUUCAAUUUGCUCAUCUUUGUCUAGAGUAUUGCUUCUGCAUUAACUUAAUUAGCUUGCAAGCCACCUGAACAUGGUUUUAAAUGAAGUGUAAGAGCUCGAAUUCGAACGAAUUAAUCAAAUAUGCUGACAGGAGAAACAAAAGUAAAAUAACCACAAGAAGUAGAAAUAUACUUUUGUUAUAUUCAGAGCAUCUUCUAGUGUCAAGUAAAAUAAACGCAAUGGCUCAAGGGUCAAGAUAAUUUUAUGACCAUCAAUCUUUUUGCAGCCACAUGCAGACUUGAAAAACUGGUCGUGGCACUAGGGAACUUGAAAAUUAGAAAAGAUUCAGAAUGAUUGACUAAAUAUUAUAAUCGAAACUAAUUAAACAUACAUGCCUAGAAAAUCUGAAACUGAAUUUCUCAAAUGUAUAUGCCUCUUCGCAGCAAUUGCUUGUGGUGGAAACUUUACUGCAAAGACUUUCUCAAACCCUUGAAGAUCACACUCUACCUGAUAACAAAGAAAGAGUCAAUAUACGAAGAUGAUUUUACUAACAAGUGAGAGCUUACACAUACUGGAAGGAUAAUGAUUACUCAUAACCCAAAUCCCCAAUACUCCCUAAUAUCUCACUCAAGAGAGUUCGAGCUCCCAGAAUUCACUACUGUGAAACUCUCACAACAAAAUUCUCUUCAAAGAUUCUCUACUCAAAUUUGAUGAUGAUGUCCCUCGAAAGGAGGCAAAAAAUCUAACACUGAUCAAAUUGGCUUGUGAACAAUUAAUCUUCCUGGCCAUCAUGCAUACCAGGUGUGGUGAGCAAUCUUCAUUCUGACAUUUGCCUUAAUAAGCGGCUUAGUAUCCUUAACCUGAUAACUUACACAAACAAAAACAACUUGAUUAAAGUUUAAUAUUUAGAGGCAGAACAGUAAAGAAGAUGAUAUAUAUUGAUACUAAAAUUUGACCUGUGUUAUCCUGACGUCAAGAAUCACAGCAUCUCAUGUGGGCAGAAUCUUCGCAGUACAAGAUGCUUGCAAAAUUGAAGCCGCAUCUUAUCACCUGUAAUUUAAUUAAGACAAUAACUUUCCCCAACCAUUUCAAUGCAUUAUUGCCAACUAAAUUCAGAGGGUGCUAAUUAAAUAGCCUUUGAACAAUAUAUUCUUAUUCUUCUCCAAUCUAACAAUUAUUUGGAAAAUCUAAAUGACAAUCAUGCAUCGAUGGCAUCAAAAUUUGGCUACAAAGCAGCCUGGAAAAGGCUUUACUCUCUGAAUGAGAGCAUGAAUUCGAAACAAAUAUCAUGAAUGAAGAAACAAAGGCAUAAUACCACAAAAAGUAAAACUUUUUCCCAGGGCUCUCUGUUUCUGUUUGAACUAAAACCAAUGGAAACCGAUCGAAAUGAAUUUCUAGGAAUUUGACAUAUUAGCCAAAACAGGUGCUCUGUACAAGCAAAGUAAAACAGGGUUACAAAAAAUUUUAAGAUUGAUAUGAUAAUUAAAAUUUCAGUCACCAUAUAAUUAAUAGAAAACUUUGGACACAAUGAUUUAUUGCAUAUUAAGAUUGCUAUAUAAAAUAUAAUAUUAGCAUUAGGAGACCGCACCAAAGCAUACCGAAUUGAAUGUGCCUUUUCACAGCCAUUUUACAAGCUUUGAAGCUUUACCACAAAUGCUUUUUCCAACCCGUGAACAUGAUGCACCCGAGAGAUGCAAGCUAUGAAAUUGUUACUACAGCAAGCCAUUUUACAAGGAAGUUUAUGAAAAUAUGCCUUUGGAAACCCGUCUUCAGGAAUGAAUUCAUCCGCAAUAACAAUUUUCAAGACGUAUCAACUGCUUCAAGCUCAUCCAAUAGAGCAGAUCCCGCCUGACGAACAAGGAGGGCUAUUCUGAUUUUUUCUUGAAUCCCUGGUGAACAUAAUUAAACUCGUAUGAAAUAAAACAAAGUGGGCUAAUGUACUACUAAAAACAAUUACACAAUUACUUUAAAGAAUUAAUGUCACAUAAAUUAUAUAUAAAAAAAUACGAUUAUCAUUAUACAAGAUAAAAUUGAUGAUUUAGUUUUCAACAUUUCUGCAAAUGUAUCACAGAGAUUUUGUCUCUCAGGAAGUUGCACAUAACAAAUUUUCGUGCAUUAAAAAAUAAAAUAUAUUAGGAUUUUCUAUGAUGUUGUAUGAAAUUUUACAAAAGACUACAUUUUUUUUUUAAAGAAAAUAUAGAAAUUUCAUCAGACUACACUUGUUUUUUUUAUUUAAUCUUUAGAAAACAAGUUUAACUGAUUUGAUAACUAGGAAGUUUAAAUUUUAAAUAAUUAAAAUUAAAAUAUUAUCCUAACUAACUUUUAAUUUUUUGAACUAUUGAUUAAAUCUAACAGUAAAUAUUUAUACCAUGAUUGAUUUUAUAAUUUUUAUAACAAUAUCAUAAAGUGACCUAUUAAAUUAAUGGUUCAAGUAAAUAAUUGAAUUCAAUACGCAAAUCAAAAUAUUAGAAAAUAUUAUAUAUUCCCAUCAGACAUUGGCAAUAUACAGAAUUUUAAUUCAAAAUAUAAAUAUUUUUAUUAAUUUCAUUGCAAGCAACAACAGGGUAAAUCAGAGGAGGAGAAAUUACCGUCGGGUGACAUCUGGAUGUGGGGAAUGUGAGAUAUCUUAUGCCGUGACAUCUGGAUGUGGGGAAUGUGAGAUAUCUUAUGCCUGUCUUCUCCUUUCCCCUCUCUAUAACGGUUUUCCAGAAUGGGACAUCCCCAAAUUUUCAAUUCCUGCAGUGCCGUCGUCUGAAGAAGGUAAUCCGGCAGCGCCUUCAAUUUGGGGCAAGACUCAAUCGACAAGAGAGAAAGACGUGGCAUGACGGAGAUGUUUUCCUUCCUCGUAAUCCUGUAAUUCCACUCUUCCAGUUCUGUCAUGACGCUAAUUUCGAGUGAUUUCAAAUUGGGGAAGGCAAUAACUGAUGAUGACGAUGAAGAUGAAGAUGGAUCAUCCUCAGUGCUUUCUUCUAUUCCCAAAAACUCAUUACCCACUCUUUUUACACUUUUCAAAUUGUAUAGGGUGAGUUUUUCCAGAGGUAAUUUUCCCAAAGGAGGCAAAUGCUCACAGUCAAUGCACGAGAGAAGUCUUAAUUCGCUUAGAUUGGUUAGUGAAGUCAACCAUUUGGGAAAAAUGUUGCCUCCGUAGAAUCUAAUCCUUAACUCCUCUACAUUCAAAGGCGGUUGUAAGGCUUCAAGAAGUUGUUCAUCUUUCUCAUUCUUCCUCCUCCCUUCUUCGCCUUCCCCAUCUACAACUCUACCAAACUGAAGACCCAAACGAAGGAGGUUUUUCUUAUUGUAAAGUUGUAACCUCUCAGCCUCAUCUACAUGCGAUACAUUACUUAGCCCUUGUACUCUACAUUCACGAAGGAGUUGAAGAUUUUUCAGAGAUUCAAGCCUACACGUGCUGCCACCAUCAACACCUCCACCCACAACAAACUUUUCUAAUGUUCGAAGACUGGUUAAUUUGGAAAUCCCUAUUGGCAUGUACUUCAACGAACGAGUUUCACCAUUCAGUAAACUCCUCAUGUUCAUUAACUUCCCAAUCCCCUCUGGCAAUUCUCUAAGAUUUCGGCACAGCCUAAUAUCUAGCUUUUGUAAAUUAUAUAAUUCACACAAAGUCUCAGGUAGUCUCUCUAUGACUAAUUCAGACAAAUUAAGAUAUUUUAAAUGUAUCAAUUUUCCAACAUUUUCUGGAAUUUCUCUAAUCCAAUUUGCCUCAGGAUGCGAACCUAAAAGGUAAUAUUGCCUUAUAACUAAUGCCCUUAAACAUGCCAAUUUACUAAAUAACUCCGAAAGGAUGCUAUUAUUAAGAGAUGGGUUGAAAAGAUUUUCAUCAUAAAUUAAUAGGGUAUGCAAUCUAUUAAGUCCAUGAAUGGACAUAGGAAAUGAAGUGCCUCCUUGAAAAUUUAACCCUAAGUGACGGACUUUGUCACCAAAAGAGUUUAUGACUGAUUCCUUGGUACCAUUAAUUUCUAGCCACAAACAUUCUUUGCUACUUACAAAUUGAGCAAAAUCAUGUACGAUGUCAUGCAUCUUGCAACUCAUAAUAUCAUCGUCAUUUUUCUGAAAUUCUUGAAAGAAAGAGCGUGUAGUUAAGAUGUUGAAAUACUCUUCUCCAAUCAUCUCCAUUUCUUCGUCUUCAUCUGCAUUAAGGUAACCUUGAGCCAUCCAUAGAUUAAUCAAUUCCCUUUUGUUCAUAUUGUAGUCUUUUGGAAAGACAGCACAAUAUGAGAAGCACCGUUUUACCAUAGAAUUGGAGGGCAAAUCAUUAUAACUCAACAACAAAGGAGCCAAAAUACCUUGUCCAAUCUCUUCUACUUUCCACAUUUCACUCUCUAAAAUUCUUUGCCACUCUUUUACUGUACUUUUAGAGCGCAAGAGAUUCCCUAUUACCUUUGCAGCAAGAGGCAGGCCUUUGCACUUACAUGCAAUUUUUCGCCCGAUUGGUUCUAAUUUUUCACAAUCCUCAAAGGACCUACGUAGAAAUGCUAUCUGCUUAAACAGUAACCAACAUUCCCCUUCACCCAACUCCUUGACAGGGAUAAUAUCUAUUGAUCCCAACUGCAGUGCAACUGACCUAUCACGUGUGGUAAUUAGAAUUUUACUUUCAUGGUGGCCAUUCUUUAGACAAGAAAAGAAUGGGUCCCAUUUUUUGUAAUCUCCAUCCCACACAUCAUCUAAAACAAGAAAAAUUUUCUUCCCUGUAAUAUAUUCCUGAAUCUGUUUCAUAAGAGAUUCGAAUUCGCUUAAACCAGAAGCUGACACGCCUAGACCUUCAAUGAUUGCUUUGGCGACCCUAAUCUCCUCAAAAGUGUAUGAUACACACACCCAUAUAACUUUGCCAAAAUUUCUUUUCACCUCAUCAUUAUUAUACGCCAAUUGUGCAAGAGUGGUUUUACCUAUACCCCCCAACCCAACUAGUGAAAUGACAUGAAGGCCUUUUUGUUGUUCACUACUUUCACACAACAACUUGCUUAAGAGCUCAUUUUUCUCCUCAACUCUACCGCAAACCUCUCCCUCAUCAAUCAAGGAGAUGGUUCGCACUCGCUCUGGAUUCCUAACAUUGUUACUCACAUUCUCAACAAAAUUAAACCUAUCUUUUCGAGUGGCAAUUUCAUCUAGCCUUUUACUGAUUUCUCUAAUCUUGACAGCAAUAUGAUGACGAAGACUGAGUUGUUUGAAACCACCAAAGCAGUUUGAGGCAGCAGGAAAGAAGGAACAUACCUUCGUCAAAAAAGUAACAAAAGCACUGUCGUUAUCAUCAUCAUCAUCAUCAUCGCCUCCCUCAUCAAGCUGCAAUUUCCGUGUUUCAGUGAUCCACUCGUCCAACACAUCUUCCAUGUCGUAGGAUGCGUCUCUGAGCUGAUCCAGCCAAAAAGUAACAGCUUUGUCCUGCUUCAUUUGCCUCUGCUCUGCAUCUUCCACCACAGCUUGAAUGGCUUGAAGAUUGGUGGUAAGCUUUCCCACUUCUUGUUCGACACCCGUCACAAGCCUCCACUUUUCUUUCACCUGAUCUUGAGCAAUGGAUUUCAGCUGGUCCAAGAGAGAGGAAACGAUCGCAUGAGCCAUUCUGAUAUUAGAUCAAAUGGUAAAUGCAGCAAUUGCUUUUCUUGCUAAAAUGCUCCGAGGAAUGGAUCCACUUUUCAAUAUAGCUUUAACGUAUGGAUCCAAUUUCUCAUCUAUAUGGCCUUUUAUUAUCAGGUAGGGCGAAGCCAUUUGGUCAUUUGAAAAAGUUGUGAUUCCGUUUUAGUCCAUUAUGUCACGACAAAAAGAGAAUUGUUAAAUAUAACAUUCUCAAAUUAUUUUGUGGUAGUCGGGGCCCAUGCCCGUGGAAACGAGAAAAAAUAAAACAAAAGUUGGAAAAAUCAUGCAGCCGACCCUUUUUUCUAUCUGAUUGCGCAAUAUUAGGUAUAAAACAGAGAAUUAUUGCAAUUUUUUUGGAGUGUGGCCCCAAUUUGAAAUAGAAAUAUUGUCUAAUUGCUCUUCAGAUGUGAAAAGUGCAGGCGUCGAACAGCUACUUGUCUUCAAUAAUUCAUAAGAUGAAAUGGAUGAUUACUGUCUUGGCCGGCCUGCCAAUGAGAUAGAUGAAAGUCAUCUUGCAAAAAAUUAAAAUAUUGAAUUCCCCUAAUUGGAAUUGGGGCCAUGUAUGGUGUAUAAAAUAGCAUUAAACAACAAACACAGACAACAAUUAAUGCUAUUUUAUACACCAUACACGGCCCCCAUUCCAAAUUAAAAUAUUGACAUUAGUUGCGUUUUCAUCUUGUCUUCAAUAAUUAACAAGAUGAAAGGAAUCCAAACGCACGAUGAACGACCUGUUUUACUCUUUGGCCUUAUCUGUGAAUGACCUGUUUAGACUUCAAAUUUUUCCCGACGGUGGUUCACCGAUAUUAUUCCCUGAAAAUAAAAUCAGACUGUGCUUACAGUUACCCCCUUGCAAACAGAAAAUUGAGGGGGAAUUUUUUUUUUUUCUGGAUCCCAAAGAAAUUAGAAAGAGAAAACUGAAAUUUAGUUGUAUUUAGUCACUAAUUUUUCAUGACUAAAUUGCAGAUCCUCAGUCUCAUUAGUUCUUCACUAUCGUCAAGCAAGCUCUAAUUAUUAGGGGCGGAAAAAGGUAUAUGGUCAUCAGUCCCAACUCUCUCUCUACAAGUGACAUUAACAUUUCGUUUUGACAUUUUCUUUCUACACAUACAAAUCGCAACUCUCUUUUCCUCUUAGAUUCUAAUAAAACAGGUAAUAAAUUGCUGAGAGUAUCCAUCUCAAGCUUAAUUAAACUUUGAGGACCAAUUCUGUCAUAGAACAAGCAUUAAAAAAAAAAAAUCUAAUUGGGUUAAAAUAAUUAUAAAUAAAUUACUUUAAACAAUAAAAAAGAAUUAAAUUUUAACUCAAGUAUAAUUUGAAAUUUUUUAUUCUUUAUUGUGUAGUUAUUGAUCUAAUUGCAGAUUAAAUUCAUUUAAAAUUUCAGAAUUUAUCUGAUUGCGCAAUAUUAGAUAUAGGCAAAUGCGACUUCAUCGAUCAUCGGGUCAUUUUAAACAGCAGUGGUUCUGUGAUUAAUAUUUUUCUUUUAUUUAAUUAAGAAAAGGAAGAAAAGAUAGCACAUGUUAUGAUUAUUAUGAAUUUUCCAUCCCUUAUAUAAAUUCUCAAAUUUAUUUAAAUUGUGAGUCAUAGAAGGAUAUUACCUAAAUUAUUUUAUCAGGCCAUGUUCAUAUACUAGGAUUAAGUACGAAAUUGGACUAAUUUUGUGAUUAAAUAUUUAUCUCAUGUUUGUUAAACUUAAUUGAAUUGGACUCAGGGACUAAAUUUAAGUUUAAUCCUAAAAUUAUGGGAUUAAUAAUUCUAAUUUACACAUGGUUUUAGUUGGGAUAAAAUUAAAGAAAAAAAGUUAUCUAUUUAUGAGACUUUAAUUCCUAUCAUUACUGUUUAUUUAUACUUAAUAUUAAUUAAUUUUUUAAUUUAUAAUUUACUUAAAAAUUAUUUUUAUUUAUUAUCUAUCAUCUGAUUAAAUUGGAACUUUACUUGUACCAACUCUUGAGAUUAAUUUUUCAUUAUUUGCAUAUUUGAUAAUUUGUGAAUAAAAUUAACCAUUUAAUAAUUUAUAGCAUUAUUGAUUGUAUUAAAUUUAAUAAUCACUAAUAUAAUAUUAAAAAUAUCAUGAAAAUUAACAACACCAUCAAUUAAUUGAUUUUAUAUAUUUUUUAAAUAUUUGAUAAGAAUUUGAUAAAAAUUAAUUAAGUAUUUAAAUUUUUAUUCAUUUUUUAUUUGUUUAUUUUAUUAUGAAUACCCAAUAACUUACAAUAUAAUUAAUUUUCUUAUUCAGACUACUCAGAAUCAACUCCUAUAAAAUUUCUCACAUUAUAAGCAACAAAAUAUUUAUAAACUACUACAAAAGGCUUAGAUCAAUACACCGAUGAGCCUUCUGAAGUUAUAUAUAAUAUAUUAAUUGUUGAUCUAGAAUAGUCUUAGUAGAUAGAUUUUUUUAAUUAUAAAUAAUCAAUAAAUUUUUUAUCGUUUAAUAGGUAUUGAUGUAAUUUCGCCGGAUCAUAUGAAUCCAUUAUGAAUUUCAGCGGAAAUUUGAAUGUAUUCUGGACCGUGCAAGUGAAAUUUCAGAUAAAAUCAUCUCCUGACAAUUUAUUUAUUAUUUUCGGGUGCUGCUCCUGUAACUUUAUUAUGUCAUGACAAACUUCAAAAUCUAAUUUAGAGUGCAACUCAAAUAAUUGUAAUUAGUAAUUUAUUACAUCUGCAGUCGGAUUUUUGUUGAUAAAAAAAAAAAAGAGAAUAAAAUCAAUCCCAUAAUGAUUUUAAUAAAUAUCAUACUACAAAGAAAAUAUGCGAAAGAUAUCUAAGGAAUAAAGCUUUUCCACAAUGAUUUAUAAAAUUGCUUUUGGAGAACGGUUAUGAAAUUAUAUCAAAUUACUAAAAUUUAGUUAACCUCUCAAGAAGUCUAUUUCUCAAGUUUAAAAUUCGAAUGUCAAAAAAGAUAAAAUGUUAAAAAAAUAUUUUAAAUAUUAUCCACCCUUUCACUAUUUUAAUAUACAAAAAGAAGAAUUACUUAUUUUUAACAUAGCAACCGGGGGCAUAAUAUAUCUGAUGGAUUUUUCUAUAGAACAAAGCUUAUUAUAUCUCCUAUUAAAAAUGUCAUUUUUUUGUUAGGAAAAAGACAUUUAUAUCCCCAAAGUUAGGAGAAAUGGAUACCAACGCUCCUAAGUUUUCAAGAAAAGAUACUAAAACUUCUUUCUUACUACAAUACCCUUUACCUUUAUUAUCCCAAAAAUUAACUUUAAUUUUUUUAUAGUAAAGAGAAAUAUAAUAUUAAAAUAAAUGUAAUAAUUUAUACAUUUUAAAAUAAUUUCAAUAUUUAAAAAUAUUUUAAUAUUUUACAAUCUAUUAAUAUAUUUUAUUAUGUUAUAGUAAAUUUUAUGAUAAAUGUAAACAUAAUAUUAAAAUAAAUGUAUUAAAAUUUAAAUUAUUAUGUAAAAUAAUAAUUUUAACAUUAUUAGUAUGUGAGAGUUUUUUAAUUGUAAAAUGUAUUUAAUGCAAAUAUUUAUUUAAAAUCUCUACAAUAAAUACAAAUAUAUUAUUAAAUAAAUAUAUUAAUUUACAUAUUUAAAUUUAUUUAAAUAUUUUAAUCUUAUUAAUCUACAACAUAGAUUACAUUAUUUAUAUAAUAUUUGUAUUUAUUCAUUUGCAAGUUAAAUUUUUCGGGAUACUAAAGGUAAAGGGUAUUAUGGUCAAAAAGGAGUCUUGAUGUCCUUUUUAGAAAACUUGUAGUAUUGGUGACUAUUUCUCCAAACCUUAGAGAUAUAAAUACCCUUUUCCCUUUUUCAUUUUAAGCAAGUGGCAAACUAAAGAUUAAACUGUCAUAAAUUCACAAAAUAUUCACCACAAUAGUUGUAGGAAAUUUCUUCUUCCCUAAGUGGAAAAUACAAAAAAAAAAACAUAAUUGGCAAUUUCACUAGCAAAACUAAUAUUUUAUUCCAUAUCAGGGGCGGAGCUCAGGGUAAAUCUUCAUGAGGCCCAAGUUCAAAUUUCAAGUGUUAGUUGGGGAUUAAUUUUAUUCAGUUUUUUCUAUUUAUAGCUAGUAUGUAGGGUAUUCCAAAAUUUGAGAAUUUUGUGACUGAUAAUUGAAACUAUUGUUGCAAGAGAAAACAAAAUGAACAAAAUAAAAAUCAAAGAGGUAGGCCCAAACUUACAAACUUUUAAAAAAGGCUAUGAAAAAUAAUUAACAAAUAAAAAUCAAACAAUCAGGUUUAAUUGAUUUUAUUUCACAAAAUAUACAAUUAAAGUUUCAUUAUAUGUAUCAAGUUUAUGUAUCAAGUAUUCAAGGGCAAAUUAGUCAUUUUAUACCUAAUUUUGAAUAUUUCAUUUAAAAACCUCAAAAAAAAUUUCAAAGCUUAUAGGGUGAUGGUCCCCUCUAGGAGUGCACAAAUUUGGGUUUGGAUCAACUUGAUUGGGUUUUAGGUUGAUUGGCUUGGAAUAUUCGAAUUGGAUUAGAUCAAAUCAAAACUUUGGAGUUGAGUCUAGAUCGGAUCAGGUUAUAAUUAUAUGAGGCCGAGGUUGGGUUUGAGUUAAAUUUGAAUUUGGGUCAAUUAUGAUGGAUUCAGAUAAUGUUCGGAACAAGGGUAAUUUUGGGCCUUUUUUUGUUUUGAUUCUUUUUCAAAAUUAUCUCAUUUUAGUUCAUUUUUACAAAUUUUAAACUAAAAAAAUGAAAACUACUACUAUGAAAUCAAAUGUACAAAAAUUAAAAUAAACCAAAAAUAAUAUUGUUAAAUUAUGCUAUCCAGGGGUUAUUGGUUAUUAUAAAAAAGUAGGACGUAAAUGAUAUAUAUUGAUUACAGUAUGGGGGAAAAUUGUCAUUCUCCCUCUAUAUAUAUAUAUAUAAAGAGUGGAUAUGGGGCCUUUUAAUGCUUUAGCUUAAGAGCAAAAGUAAAAGAUUAUAAAGAAAAGGAUGUAUAUGUCAGCAAGAGACUUCGUAUUACCUUUGCAUUAAGAGGCAAGCCUUUAAACUUGUAUGAAAUUUUUUUUUUUUGAUUGGUUCUAAAUUUUCAAGAUCCUCAAAGGACCGCCAAAAGCAUACUUGCUUAAACAGUGACCAACAUUCUCUUUUAGCCAAUUCUUUUACUGGGGCUGAGAGAUCAAAGGCAACAUUAUUGGGGCCGAGCGAUUACUUAAUUUGACAUAAAUUAAGAGUAGACGCCGGCUAAUGAAAAUUACAUGCCAACUAAAGAUAUUGUCUUGAACAAAUUGGCAUAAUAAUUUAUGCCAACGCUUGAUAUGAAAGCUUUGUUGGAACAAAUUGGCAUGAAUUAUAUUUUAUCUCUCUUUCUUCAAGGUAUUAGGUAAUUGCCCUAUCCCAAAAACAAAGAAAAAAGAAAACAAGUAUUAGGUAAAUGCAUGUGAAUUAGACAUUUGGCCUCCGGGAUCAUAUAUUUAUAUUAAAGACAACCAUAUAACCACAAAGACAAUGAAAAGUCUAAAAAUUAUUGUUCAAUUUCUAAUUCCUCGCAAGUGCGAAAGGAAACAUUUUCCAAGAAUAAAACUAAGAUGCAUUUCUAGGAAUAGUUUUCCAACUGAUCUAUAUUUUAUAAUAUUUUAAGAUUUCUUCAUUUUUUUUCAAAAGAAAAAUUUAAUUUAAGAUUAAGCUCAUUAAAAAAUUAACAUCAUUAUAGAUUCAUUCAAAAUAUUAUAUGUGCAUAAAUACAGAAAUUCAUGUGACAAUUGCGAGGGGUACUCGGGUUUUAAUGAUCUUUUUUAUCUCAAUUAAUUAUUGGAAAAUUUUAUUCAUUUUUUUUUAAAUCCUGAGCAAGGUCAACUCCUAUAUGCUUUUGUGCGUAUGUACGUGUGCUUGUGUGUAUGUGUAAUAAUUACAAUAUUGUCUGGUUAAUCCACAAUUUCAUCAGCAUCAUUAAUCCAUAGUGAGUUGAGAAAUAAGCCAUGAAUAAGUGCUUGAGAAGUUCAAAGAUAAAAUAUUUAUUCUGACACAAAACGUCGAAUGAUAUAAAAUGUUGAGAACUAAUAAUAGUUUAGUGUUUGGUUUAAGUUUCAUGAAUUUUGUGCCAAAUAUGACGUUGUAAGGUACAAGAAUGUCAGGCGUACUUCGCCGAAGAAUGGAUUAGGAGGGACGACGGAUAGGAACUUGAUUUACAAACUCAAAGCUACCAAAGUCUCUUCGGCGGGGAAGUUUUACCACAUUUUGUGCGGUGAGUCGAUAGACCCAAUAGGAUAAUGAUUGAUAAAAUGAAAUAAAAUUAAUGUUUAUACCUAGAUUGAGAUAUAAAUUUAUUAUCCAACUUAUGUAUUAUAUAGAGAGAGAAAUGACGGGUUGGCCGACAUCGAUUGUGGAAGAGGCUGAUAAUGACUUCAUAAAUGUGAGGGAAUAUCUCUCUCUUUGAGCUAGCUUUUGAAGUCGAGAGAAGCCCAAGACCAUCUAACAUUAGUAUCAAAGCUCAGGUUCACCAACAACUCAACCAACAAUCUAAUAGGGAGAAUGGAUGUUUAUGCUUCCAACCCAAGGCCCGAUGAGUGAGGGGAGAUUGUUGGAUUUAUCCCACAUUGGUUGUGGGAGGAGUUCGUGGUGAUUUCAUAAGUGUGAGAAAAAAAAUCUCACUUAUUGAGCUAACUUUUGACUUUUGAGGUUGAGAUAAGCCCAAGACCACCUCACACGAAAAUUGUAUAGUGUUGGAAUAAAAAUUCUACUACCAAUAGUGGGCCGAUUAUUGACCAUUAAGCUUAAAUAUUAAAAUAUUCAUCCUAAAUAUCGAGAUUCGUCAUGAAAAAAAAAAAAAAAACUUCUCAGUUUUGGUAACAACUCAAAUAGUCUAGGAGUGGAAAUUUUUUUGAAUGAAAUACUUAAGCACAAAUAUUCUCUAAUCACUUGAUGUUUUAGACUUUAUAAAAAAUACACGACCACAUUUUUUUUAUAACAAUUCCACCUGAUGUUUACAAAAUAUAUCAUUUCUACACUAUUGUCAUCACGCCGUUAGAAUUUUACUGAUGUCAGAAUGAUAAACUUGUCAUUGGACUCUUAACGGACAAAAACGACGUCGUAUUUAAAGAAGAAUUAUAUAAUCCCAUCUGCUUGAAACUUUCUACAAUGACAAGACAUAACUAGUAACGGACAACCUGCUGUGCCAGUCAUUUUUCUCCUUCGAUUGGGAUCGUCGAUUUCUUUACUAAAAUCAACGAGUGAAUGAUUAUCAGCAUCAGGAGCCAAAGAAGGCAAACCGCCACAUUUUUUUUCGCUGUGGUCCUAUAAUUUAGGGGUCGGCAUGGGUUGGUUUGGGUUAGAUUUUAAGUCAACCCAAACCAAACUAUAAAAAUUUAGAUCCAACCCAAACCAACGCAAAUAUUUUUAACUCAACGCAAACCAAACCAUUUAGCUUUGGUUUGGGUUUGGUUUGAAUUUUAUUAUCAAAAUAAUUUUUAUUUUAAUAAAAUUUAAUUAUAUCAAAAUUAUAAUAAUUAUUAAUUGUUAUUAAUUAUUAAAUUGAUAUUAAAAUAUAAAAAAUAUAGUGGAUAAAAAUUAUAAAUUUUACAAUAACUUAAUCCUUAAAUUAAAGAAUACUAGAAAAUCAAAAUAAAUUUUAAUCACAAAAAUUAUUAUUUCUCAAUAAAUAAGAACGUACACUUUAAUAAUAAACUUUCACAAACAUGACAUUAACAAUCAAAUAAUAAAUUUUGCCACUUGUUGUUUAUUUAAGGGUAAAAGCUCAUUUAGUCCUUAUAUUUUAAGAUUAGUAUCCAUUUAGUCCUUGUAUUUUAAAAAUACCUCAAAACAUCCAUGUCGUUAAAGUAUUGAUACCCCUACCGUUACUUUUUAUUUCUUUUGGCUUACUUUUACAAUAUUACCCUUUUAUAAUAAUUUUUUUAGACAUUAAUAAAAAGAAAAUAAUUAAAUUACCAAUUUAACCCUAAAAAAUAAAAAAAAUUAUAUUAAUUUUUAAUUGUCAAAAAUUGUAUGCAAACUACCAAGUGUGCAAAUGGUGCUUGCAAAAAAAUUAAUAUAAUUUUUUUAUUUUCUAGGGUUAAAUUGAUAUUUAAUUAUUUUCUUUUUAUUAAUAUCCAAACAAAAAAAUUAUUAUAAAAGGGUAAUAUUGUAAAAGUAAGCCAAAAGAAAUAAAAAGUAACGGUAGGGGUAUCAAUACUUUAACAGCAGGAAUAUUUCGAGGUAUUUUUUAAAAUAUAGGGACCAAAUAGACACUAAUCUUAAAAUACAUGGGCUAAAUGAGCUUUUACCCUUUAUUUAAUUAUGCAAUAUUUAUUUUUAUUUAUCGUUUUGGUAAUUUUGCGUUAUGUUGUCUACUUAUAUGCUUAAUUUUAGGGAGAUUGCCACUUUCCUCCCUACAGUAAUCAACAUAUAUCAUUUUUCCCCCUUCUGUUUUUAUAAUGGCCAAAAACCCCCCUAAUAGUAUAAGUUUACAAUAUUACCCUUAUUUUCAACUACUUUUUUAUUUAUAUUUAUUAUAAAUUAAAUAAAUCACAUGAAUAAAAACUAAAUAAAAAAUAAAACAUUAAAAUAAGAAAUAUAUGUUUUGAUAUGAACAAAAAAAUUAAUAAUAAAAUUUUUUUAUACUUAUUUAUUUUGUGAAAAUUUUCUUAUAAUAAAUAUAUAAGAAAAUUAUUAGUAAAAUGAUAAAAAAAAUUAUUAUAAGAAAACUUGAAUGACAAAUAAAAAUUUAUUUUAAGAUAAAUAAUAAAAUAUUUUACCUAUUUGUGUUCAUUUAUUUUGUUUUCAUUUGAAAAUUUUGAGUGUUAGGGUUUUGUUCAUAACCCAUGGGUAAACCAUACCCAACCCAUAAUGAAAUUGUUUUUUAUAUAAAACCUACAUCUAACCCAUUUUCAUGAUUUACCCAACCCAAACCAUAAUUUGGUUUGGGUUUGGGUAAACCCAUGGGUUGUGGGUUUAUGCCCACCCCUACUAUAAUUUAUUGAAAAAAUCAACGAUUGCCCCAAAAUAACAAAGCUAAAUUAACACAACAUACAACACAGUAUCAAACUACCACCAAAUUUUAUCACUUAACCAAUAAACUAAAAAAUUCAAGGUUUAAAAAAAAUUUGAAAGUUUAAAAUUCUUAAACGACUUGAUAAUAAGCCCCAAUCCGCCAUCGCCACGAUCCACGGGUACAGGUACCAGAUUAAAGUGCGUUUUCCCUUGAGCUCUCUUUUAAUUAUUUUAGUUUUAAUUCUGAUUUUUUAUUUUAUUUAUUAUUUAAUAUCUAUAUUGCAGUCAUCUAUUUUUUUUCGUUAUUAAAUUAGGGCAAAUUAGUUAUUUUAUGUUAAGGGUAGAAUAAUCAUUUACAUUUAGGGUAAAAUAAUCAUUUUCUCAGUAUUUUGUUAAAUUCUCUUACGCUGGUAUGACGGAAGUAGAGCAAUGAUGCACUUUAAACAUUAGGAACUGUGGGAACGAGAACAUUUUUUAAUGAAAUACUUAAUAAUUAGCAACUCAAAAUAUAUCAUUUGUAAUGAACUAUUUAAUUUGCAAUUUCUUUAGUUUUGGAUGGCAACUCGGGAUUCUUCAUUUAAACUAUGACGAUUUAUAACUUGCGGGUACACAAGACAUUGCUCCCACCACUUUUCACAGAAGUAAAAAUCAAGCCAAUCGCUUCCAUUUGUGGCAAUUUUAUCGGAGAAAGAAAAAGGAAAAAAAAAAUAAAAAGAAUUUUGUAACUACUUAACUUUGCCGAAGCAGAGUUAAGUAGUUACAAAAUUGCAUUCUUGAAUGUACAGAAAUGAUAUGCAGCAAAACCAAGCAUAAAGAAAUAAGAAGAUAAUGUUAUAUGGUACGGCUAUUAGCCUAUGUCAUAGUAAAAGACAUGAAGAAAAUUUUACUAAGAAAUGGGUGUGUACAAAUAUUAAAGGAAAACAUUCACCGACGACCCAAAUCGCAGAUAUGUGCUUAAUUUUCUUACUCACUCUAAGAACAUUCAAUCUCCGAAAAUUCAUUCAAAUGAAACUUUCAGAAAGACUUAAUAUUAAGGCUUUAGCAUCACUUCAUAUGCUCAACAAUUCAAAUUUGAGUAUGAUAUUUCUCAAAAUGGAGGGCUCUACUUGGCUUGUGAACAAUCUUCCUCACCAUCAUCAUCCUUGCCAUACCAGCAGCACUGAACAAUCUUUGUUCUGACAUUUGCCCUAUUUAUCUGAUUACACAAGAAUCCGAAACAACUGUUAGAAAUUUUAAUCUUUAUAUAUAUCCAAAAUGGUGAAUAAGAUGAUGUGGUUGAUGAUAAAAACCUGAGUUAAAUAAUUAAGGGUCCGGUAACAAUCACAGCAUCUCAUCAUGUGGGGAAAGCCUUCGCAACAGAAGACGGUGCUUGCAUUCAAGCAAUAAUAACUUUCCAAUUUCAUAAGGUAGCUUAACGCCCUUUCAAGAAUAAGUGCACCAGCCUAACAAUUAUUCAUGGAAAUUCAAAUUCAGAAUCAUGUUAGUAUGAGAGAUGAAGUAUAAUAAGCGACUUGGCCACUAUAUAUGCACUUAUCACCUUCAAUUUGCUCAUCUUCGUCUAGAGUAUUGUUUCUGCUUUAACUUAAUCAGCUUGCAAGCCACAUAAAAAUGGUUUUAAAUAAUAAGUGAGAGUGUGAAUUCGAACAAUUAAUCAAAUAUGAUGACCGAAGAGACAAAAGUAAAAUAGCCACAAGAAGUAGAAAUAUACUUUUGUUAUAUUUAGAGCAUCUUCUACUGGCAAGUUCUUUUCCUUUAGCUCUGUUUCUGUGUGCGCUCAAACGCAAUGCCUCAAGGCUCAAGAUAAUUUUAUGACCAUCAAUCAUUUGCAGCCACAUGCAGACUUGAAAAACUAGUCGUGGCCCUAAGGAACUUGAAAAUUAGAAAAGAUUCAGAAUGAGUGACUAAAAUAACUUAAUCGAGACUACUUAAACAUGCACGCCUUGAAAAUCUGAAACUGAAUUACUCAAAUGAAUGUGGUUGAAACUUUACUGCAAAGACUUCUUGAAACCCAUGAAGAUGAUACUCUACCUGAUAACACAAGGAAACACAAUCAAUACAAGAAGAUGAUUUUACAAACAAAUGAGAGCCUAUAAUUAUUGGGAGAGCUCUACUCAAAUUUGAUGAGAUAUCUCUCAAAAGGGAGAGCUCCAAUACUAUAUAAAGCCAAAAAUCUAACACUCAUCAAACUGGCUUGUGAACAAUUAAUCUUCCUCGCCAUCAUACAUGCCAGGUGUAGUGAACAAUCUUCAUUCUAACAUUUGCCUUAAUAAGCUGCUUAGCAUCCUUAACCUGAUAAAUUGCACAAACAAAAACAACUUUACUAAAGUUUAUUCUUUAAAGGCAUAGCAGUAAAGAAGAUGAUAUCUGUUUAUGCUAAAAAUUGACCUGAGUUAUCCGAAUGUCAAGAAUCACAGCGUCUCAUGUGGGCAAAAUCAUCGCAAUACAACAUGCUGAUUUCAAGCAACAUCUUAUCACCUGUAAUUUAAUUAAGACAAUAACUUUCCUCAACCAUUACCCUACUCAAUUUCAAUGUAUUAUUGGCAACUAAAUUCAUAGGGUAAGUAGCUAAUCAAAUGCUCUUUUAACAAUAUUUCUCCAAAUAACAAAUAUUCGGAAAAUCUAAAUGACAAUCAUGCAUUUAUGGCAUCAAAAUUUGGCUGCAAAGCUGCCUGGAAAAGGCUUUAAAUUCUUAAUGAGGGCAUGAAUUCGAACAAAUAUGGUGAAUAAAGAAACAAAGGCAUAAUACCGCAAGAAGUAAACCUUUUCCUCAGACUUCUGUUUCUGUUUGUGCUGAAACCAAUGGAAACCGAUGGAAAUGAAUUUCUAUGAAUUAGACACAUCAGCCAAAACAGGUACUCUGUACAAAGAAAGUAAAAGAGAGUCAUAGAAAAAUUUUAAGAUAAUUAAACUUUCAGUCACCAUAUCAUUAAUAGAAACUUUGUGCACUACGAUCUAUUGCAGAUUAAGAUUUGUAUACCUAAGUUUUAAUUGCAAACUAAAUAUACACAACAUUAUACCAGCAUUAGGAGGCCGUACCAAAAUGUACCGAAUUUAGUGUGCCUCUUCACAGCCAUUGUACAAGCAUCGAAGACUUUACCGCGAAAGCUGUUUCAAACGUGAUGCACGUUAGAGAUGCAAGAUAUGAAAUUGUCAUUACAAGAAGCAUUGAAACAUGUGUGAAAACUGUUUAUGGACCUAAAAUAACUUGAAAAUCAGAAAGAUUAGGAAUAAGUGACUAAGCAUUUUAAUUAAAACUGAGCAUACAAACCUUGAAAAUCCAAAAUUGUACUCCGAUGAAUGAGCAAUUGCACGAGCAGCUAAAUUUACUGCAAAGGCUCUUACAACCCUUGAAGAUGAUACUCUACAUACCUACACAAAGAAACACAGUGAAUAUGAAGGGUAUUCUGACAAUGCAAAUUUGUGAAAAUUAUCAACUCUGGUUACCUGCAUAAUAGUGCUAACAUCGAAUUGCUUCGUCAAUUGAAAUAUAUGAUCAGCCCAAAGAUGCUUUGCUUUGAGGCUUUUGAGAACCUGAAAUGGUUAUUACAACCAACAGUGAAAAUUGGGUGAAGAACUGAUAUUACUAGCAUAAUUCCAUAUGCUUACAGAGGAUAAACCGAUCAAAGAAAGAAACAAGAUAGAAAUGAUGAUCUCAGCACCUUAAUAUCAUGCAAUAAUAAUCAUCAUGUCUUCCAGGCAGCUAUCCAUCCUCAACUGAAACAGAGCAGACCCAGCCACCACUUAGUUUUCAACAUUGCUACAAAGUACCCCAGAAAUUCAGUCCUCAAGAAGUUUCACGUAACAAAUUAUCGUACACUGAAGUAAAUAGUUAUAUUCAAUACAAAAAUCAAAAUAUUAGAAAAUAUUGCACAUUCCUAUGAGACAUUGGCAAAAUAUAGAAAUUUAAUUCAAAAUUUAAUUAUUAUCAUUAUUAUUAUUAAUUUCAUUACAAGUAACAAUGAAGCAAAACAGAGGAGGAGGAGAAAUUACCGGCGGGUUAUAGUAAGUGCAACCGUUCGAGAAUUUAAAACUCGAUGUGGGGAAUGUGAGAUAACUUAUGCCAGUCUUCUAGAAUAGGACAUCCCCCAAUACUAAAUUCCUGCAGUGUCGUCGUUUGAAGGUGGUCAUCUGGCAACACCUUUAAUUUGUGGCAAUUCAUAAUUUGCAAGGAAGAAAGACGUGGCAUGAUGGAGAUGUUUUCCUUCCUCGUAACCAUGUAAUCCCAACCUCCCAAUUCUUCCAUGUCCUAAAUUUUGAGUGAUUUCAAUUUGGGGAAGGCAAUAACUGAUGAUGAUGAUGAAGAUGAAGCUGGGUCAUCAUCACUACUUUCCUCUAUUCCCAAAACCUCAUUACCCACUCUUUUUACACUAUUCAAAUUUUGCAGGGCGAGUUUUUCCAGAGGCAAUUUUCCCAGAGGAGGCAAAUGCUCACAGUUAAGACACCCGUGAAGAAAUAAGUUCCUUAGAUUGGUUAGCGAAGUCACCCAUUUGGGAAAAAUGUUGCCUCCAUAUAAUAAAAUCCAUAAUUCCUCUACAUUCAAAGGCGGCUGUAAGGCUUCAAGAAGUUGUUCAUCUUUCUCAUUCUUCCUCCUCCUUUCUUCAUCUUCCCCAUUUACAACUUCACCUCCUUCUUCUUCUUCAUAUCCCCCAUCCUCACCUUCAUCUUCAUCCUCUUCUUUAUCUUCCCAAUCUACAACUUCAAACAAAAGAUACAAACAAAGGAGGUUUUCCAUAUUUUUGAGUUCUAAUCUCUCAGCCUCAUCUAUAUGUGACAAAUUACUCAGCCCUUCUAUUCCACAUUCUCGAAGGAGUUGAAGAUUUUCCACCAUCAACACCUCCACCCACAGCAAACUUGUCUAAUGUUCGAAGAUCGGUUAAUUUGGAAAUCCCUAUUGGCAUGUACUUCAACGAACAAGUAAGACCAUUUAGCAAACUCCUCAUGUUCUUUAUCUUCCCAAUCCCUGCAGGCAAUUCUCUUAGAUUUCGACACCCCCUAAUAUCUAGCUUUUGUAAAUUAUGUAAUUCACACAAAGUCUCAGGCAGUCUCUCUAUGUGUAAUUCAGACAAAUUAAGAUAUUUUAAAUGCAUCAAUUUUCUGACAUCUUCUGGAAUUUCCUAAUCAAAUUUGGGUCAGGACGAAAAAGCAAGAACGAUUGCCUUAUAACUAAUGCUCUUAAACACGCCAAUUUACUAAAUAACUCAGGAAGGAUGCUACUAUCAAGAGACGAAUUGUAAGGACUUUCAUCAUCAAUUAGGAGGGUACGCAAUCUAUUAAGUCCAUGAAUGGACAUAAGAAAUGAAGCGCCUCCUUUAAACUUUAACCCUAAGGGACGGACUUUCCCACCAAAAGAGUUUAUGACUGAUUCUUUGGUACCAUUAAUUUCCAGCCACAAACAUUCUUUGCUACUUACAAAUUGAGCAAAAUCAUGUACUAUGUCAUGCAUCUUGCAACUCAUAAUAUCAUCAUCAUCAUUUUUCUCAAACUCUUGAAAGAAAGAGCGUGCUGCUAAAAUGUUGAAACACUCUUCCCCGGUCAUCUCCAUCUCUUUAUAUUCUUCUACAUUAAGGUAACCUUGAGCCAUCCAUAGUGAAAUUAGCUCCUCUUUAUACAUAUUGUAGUCUUUUGGAAAGACAGCUCAAAAUGAAAAAUAUCGUUUUACCAUAGAAUUGGACGACAAAUCAUUAUAACUCAACAAUAAAGGAGUCAAAAGACCUUUCCCAAUCUCUUCUGCCUUCCACAUUUCACUAUCUAAAAUUCUUUGCCAGUCGUUUAUUGCACUUUUAGAACGCAAGAGAUUCCCUAUUACCUUUGCAGCAAGAGGCAGGCCUUUGCACUUGCGUGCAAUUUUUCACUCGAUUGGUUCUAAUCUUUCACAAUCCUCGAAAGAGUGACUGAAAAAUGCUAAUCGUUUGAACAACGACUAGCAAUCCUCUUCAGUCAAUUGCUCAAUGAAGAUAAUAUUUGUUGAUCUCAUCAUACUUGCAACUAACUCAUUAUGUGUAGUAACCAAAAUUUUACUUCCGUGGAGACCAUGAUUUAAAUAAAGGAAGAAUGGUGCCCAUUUCUGAAUUUAUUUUUAUGCUGUAAAAGGAUCAAAUUACUCACAAAGUGAUUUUAGCUUUCAUGAUAUAAACAAAUAAUCAUCAUUUAAUUUCAAUAGAAAGAAGUAUUCUAGGUAGAAUAUUGACUUCUUUAGCAGGGACUUCUUACUCUAUUAGGUUAAUAAUGCAUCAAUUGUCACGUCAUUAAUUUUAGAUUUUAAACUUUUUUUUUAAUGGAAAGUACCUUCAUUUCAACUCAAACAAGAAAAUAAGUACAACAAGUGGGGAGGGUAUGAACCCAUCCAAACAAUAGUUUCGAGCAUCUCUAGAGCUAGCUUAGCUAAAGAGUGGGCUAUCGCAUUACAAGAUCAAUGAGCAUAUUGGACACAAACUGAGCUAAAGCUCUUCGAAAUUCUCUGCACAUCUGAAAUGGUCCAGAAGAUCUCGGAUCUGCAGCCCCGCUUGUUGUUAACUAACUUAACAACCUCUUGAGCAUCUGAUUCCUCAAUCAAAGACUCUAUACAAGCAUUCCUUGCAACUUGAAGCCCCCAUUUGAUUGCUUCUGCCUCUGCAAAACACACAUCACCAUAGACCUUGGAAACUUUGACUACAACUGCAAUCACAUUCCCAGCUUCAUCACGAAUUACAGCCCCUAGACCUGCAAUUUGCUUCUCCGAAUUGGUGGCAGCAUCUACAUUAACCUUAAAAAAUCCUUUUUGGGGAGGAUUCCAGGCCUUUAGCAUCAGAGAUCUUUGGUUGCCUAUAUGAGUAGCAGCUGGAAGCUGGGUUCUUCGGUAGGCUUCCAGCACAGCUUCAACCUUAGAGACUAUCACUUGGGGUCUUUCUUUUACUCUUUUGAAAAUCCAUUUGUUUCGAGCAUUCCAUAUCAUCCAUAAGAUCGAAACCAGUAGCUUAAUAUCAUCAUUACUCCUUCUCAGCUUCAGCCCAAUCAACAAGCUUAGAAUGUCUUGAUCAACACAAUCCUUCAAAUCAUUCUCAAAUCUGGUAAUUUUCUAGAUUUUCUUCACCAUCUUACAGCCCACUAAAGUAUGCAAAACUGUUUCCAGCUUGUUGUUACAAAUCUGACACACAACCUCCUAAAUCACCUUCCUUUUCCAUAGAUUUUCGGUUGAAGGAAGAAGAUUUUUUACAGCCCUCCAAGCAAAAAUCCUGAUCUUCUCCGGUAAGGUGAGAAACCAUAUUGUAUUCCAUUGGUUUUGCUCAGUUGCUGAACUUGUCGGCCUAGCUGGAAAAUUCAUAUUUAAAGUAAUCUGAUAGCCACUCUUAACUGAGUACUGGCCUUUUCUAUCAUAGUGCCACAUUACUUCAUCCUUCAUUGGUCUCCUUGGCAAGGGAAUUUUAAUUAUUACUUCCACAUCUAUUUUGGCAAAGUGCCUGUGAAUCAGCCCUUCAUUCCACCCAUGCUUUGCAUUUAUUAACUCAGCAACUAAAGCAUCAUCUGGCAAGCUUGGUUUAUAAAUCGGUUUGAAGGUCAGGGGUCUGAGCAGCCAAUUCUCUUUAUGAAGCAGGAUGCUUUGGCCAUUUCCAAUCCUCCAUCUUGAACCCUUGGAUAUGACUUACCGUCCCCAUAAAAUGCUUCUCCAAAUAAAAGAGGGGUUUGAGCCAAGUCUUGCCUUCAUAAAAUCUUUGUGCUGGAAAUAUCUCGCCUGCAGAGUUCUUGCCACGAGGGAGUCUGGAAAUUGCAGGAUCUUCCAACCUUGUUUGGCUACUAGUGCUUGGUUGAAACUUGAGAACUCUCUGAACCCUAUUCCUCCUCUGCACUUAGCCAGACUUAGGUUGUUCCAUCUCGACCAGUGGAUGGCCUUCUUAUCGUUCCCUGAUCCCCACCAGAAUUUUGCUAUUAUUCGCUGAAUGUCAUCACAUAUGCCCAUGGGAAUCUUGAAAACGCUCAUUGCAUAUGCGGGAAUAGCUUGAGCAGCCGCCUUAAUCAAAACCUCUUUGCCUCCUAUUGAGAAAAUUUUGUUCUACCAACUAGAAACUUUAUUAUGGAUCUUUAGCUUGAUAUCAGUAAAAAAACUACUUCUCUUUCUCCCGAUCAUAGAUGGCAAGCCUAAGUAUUUUUCGUGUCUUGAAACAAUGUUGAGCUGGAAGAUGUCUUUGAUUGUUGCCGCUUGCCCAGCCUGAAUAUUGCCGCUGAGAAACAUUGAAGAUUUGUCGAGAUUGAACAACUGGCCUGAGGCUGCAGAGUAGCAGUCGAAGAUUCUCUUCAGAUUUUGGCAAUCAGUAAUUGAGGCUCUAGUGAAUACUAGGCUAUCAUCCGCAAAUAAGAGGUGAGAGAUUUUAAGCUCCUUCCCAAAUGACAGCCCAUGAAUAAGCCUCUGGUGCUCUGCUUGUUGGAGAAGAAAGGAGAAGGCUUCAGCCCCAAUAAUGAAUAAAUAUGGAGAUAAGGGGCACCCUUGUCUGAGGCCGAAUCACCCUGCUUACAGCACCAUUUAUAAUCACUGAGGAUGUGACUGAGCUUAUACACCUCAUGAUUAGGCUGAUCCAAUUCUGCAAGAACCCGAGGGACUUCAUUGUUUGUUCAAAAAACUCUCAUUCCAGCCUAUCAUAUGUUUUGCUCACAUCAAACUUCAAUGCCACCAUGCCUUUUUUUCUUCCUUUACAAUGUCUUAUCUUAUGGAGGCACUCAUAUCCUGCAAUAAUAUUAUCGGUGAUUAGCCGAUUAGGAAUAAAAGCACUUUGCAUUGGCAAGAUAAUUUUGGGUAGUACAUGUUAAGCCUAUUAGCUAUUGCUUUAGCAACAAUCCUAUAAAUAACAUUGCAUAGACUAAUAGGCCUAAAAUCGGUAACUUUUCUAGGCUUUUUUUUUUUUAGAAUUAAAGCGAUAUAGGUGUGAUUGAGUUGGGCUACAUCACCUUGCUUAUUAAGGAUGUGGAGGCAUGUUGAGAGGACUCCUUGCUUGACCGUUUGCCAGUGCUUUUAGUAGAACACUGCUGGCAAGCCAUCCGAACCCGGUGCCUUUGUUGGGCAAAUUUGUGUCAAUGCUUCCACAACUUCUUUGGGUGUGAAUGGCAUCUCCAAGAAAUCAUUCAUCUCACUAGAAACUCUUUGAGAUAUUCCUAACAGCACAGCUGCUAUUUGAGCUUGAUUAGGCUUGGAUGUAAUGAACAAAUUUGUGAAGUAUUUGUUGAACUCAUGCUCCACUUCUUCGGCAUUUUCAAUCCAACUUCCAGCUACAUUUUCGAUCCCCCAGAUUUGGUUCUUCUUUUUCCUUGAGGAUGCCUUGUGAUGGAAAAAUUUUGUGUUCUUGUCCCUUCCCUUGAGCCAAUCCGCCCUUAGCGUUGUUUCCAGAAAAUUUCCUCGUCGGCUAACAUGUUUUGGAUUUGUCUUUCCACCUCUUUAAUCUUAUUCCCAUUGACAUACUGAACCCGAUUAAGCUUGAGGCUUCGGAGUUGUUUCGUUAGUUUCUCAAGCUUUUUUGGUCUCCCUCGGAAUUCUUUUUUGCUCCACCGAAUUAGCCUGGCCAUAGAUAUCUUUGCCACUUUUUGAAACAACGAAACAGGAUUCUCAAUAUUCCAGCUUCCCUGCAAGCUCCACUCUUCCUCAACGAUUUCCGUACAAGCAUCGUAAGGGCUGUUAACAUAAAUUAUUCUUUAUUGAUUUUGAUGAUAACAAACAUGAUUAAGAUUGAUUAAUCGUUUUAAAAGCUCAACAUAAUUUUCAUCUAUUUUGACAAGUUUCAUAAAGUAUUUUUAUAAAGAUUUGGAGACAAAACAGUCAUCUUGCAAAAUAGUUCACUGCAGCAGUUUUUGUGGAUAACGGCGAUCCGACAUGUGUAGUAAACGGCUCACCGAUUUCAAGCAGAAAUGGAGAUUAGCCUCUGGACCAAAACGGCGAACCGACAUAUGUGAUAAACGGCUCGCCGAUAUCAACCAGUAGCCUCUGGACCAAAACGGCGAACCGACAUAUGUGAUAAACGGCUCGCCGAUAUCAAUCAGUAGCCUCUGGACCUAAACGGCGAUCCGAUAUCUAGAUAACGGCGAUCCGACAAUUUGAAAAAUCAGCCCAACGGUCAUAUUGACCAGUCAAACGGCAAUCCGACAUCUAGCUAACUCAAUAACGGCUAGUUUUCAGCAGCAGCUAUAAAUAAGCUCAUUCAAAUUCAAACAAAGAUUGAUCACAACACAGCCAUUGAGCAAAUAUUCGAGAAUACAAUCUUCAUAGAGCUUAAAACACAUUCUCUCUUCAUCUAUUCACAAAUUGGGCAUUGAUUUGUAAUCUUUUACUUUGAGUGAUUGUAAGUGUUGGGAUACACUUGGGUUAAGAGAUUGGGGAUAAUCUCUUGUUGUAAAGGUUUAUUGACACCUUGGAAGUCAAGUGUAAGCAUUUGAAGCCUUGGAGGCUUGCUUAGUGGAAUCCUCAAGCCCGGAAAGCUUGGAGGCGUGGACGUAGGCGAGGUUAGCCGAACCACGUAAAAAUCUCGGUGUUUGAAUCCCUCUUCCCUUAUCUUUUUAUAUUGUGAUCAUCUUAAUUGUCAUUGCUUUGAAUUUGAUUUAUAAUUGUAUUAAGUUUUUCUUCAAUAAAUUGAAUAAUUUUUUUUGAAACCCGAUUCACCCCCCCUCUUCGGUUGCAUACUUGUAUUUCAAGGGCUCCACAUAUCUUCGUAGUGGAUCCGAGUGGCUCGUCUUUGGUUAAAAUUCAUCUCACGGCCCCUUAUUUGAACUUCCAUCACCAUCGGGCAAUGAUCAGAGGUCGAAGUGUCAAUAUUAGUAGCUACAACAUCCAAAAAAAUGUCUCUCCAUGAGCUAUUACAAACAAAUCUAUCUAGCCGUUCCUCCACAAAAGUGGGGCUGAACCUUCCAUUACUCCACAUAAAAGGGUACCCCUUGUAACUAAUUCUCUUGUUAUCAGAGCCUCAAUUGGUAUCAGAGCCUCAUUCUCUUGUUAAGACUUAAUCGUCUAGAGUAAAAGAUCCAUGGCAACCCUAAAUGACUCAACCUUUAGAGAAGGGCAAUCCACAACUAGACCACCAUUUUUCGAUGGUAAUGACUAUGCUUAUUGAAAAACUAGAAUGAGAAUCUAUUUGCAAGCAUUAGAUUAUGAAAUUUGGGAAGUUGUUUGUGAUGGUCCAUUUAUGCCUAUGUUCAAAGAUGAAGUAGGAGAUGAUAUUCCUAAACCAUCGAGUCAAUGGAGUGAGUUAGAAAAGAGAAAGAUGUCUCUAAACUCCAAGGCUAUGAAUGCUUUGUUUUGUGCCCUUGAUAAGAAAGAAUUCCAUAGAGUAUCUAGUUGUGAAAGUGCACAAGAAAUAUGGAAUAAACUUGAAGUUGUCUAUGAAGGGACAAGUCAAGUUAAAGAGUCUAAAAUCAGUAGAUACACUCGUCAAUAUGAGCUGUUCCAAAUGGAACAAAAUGAGAAUGUGUAUUCUAUGUAUACUAGAUUCAUAGACAUAGUGAACACUCUAGGUGCCUUGGGGAAGACCUUCUCAAAUAGUGAGAAAGUUAAGAAAAUCAUUAGGUCACUUCCAAAAGAAUGGAGACCUAAAAGAACUGCCAUUGAAGAGGCUAAAGAUUUAAAUAUUUUACCUCUUGAUGAUUUAAUUGGUUCUCUCAUUUCAUAUGAAGAGGAUUUAGCUACAGAAAAAGGACAUGAGGAGAAGAAGAAAAGCAUUGCUCUCAAAGCUUUAAAAUAUGAGAGUGAUGGGGAGAGUGAACCGGAUGAUGAAGAGCUAGCCAUGCUAGCAAGGAGGUUCAGAAAAUUCUUCAAGAAAACCGGAGAGCGAAGAAAUUUCAGAAACUUCAAGAACCAUAGGGAGAAGAAGGAGGCAAUAGGGAGAAGAAGGAGGCAAUCACAUGCUAUGAAUGCAAGAAGCCUGGACAUAUAAGAUCGGAGUGCCCACUUAUCAACAAACUCAAGAAGAAAGCAAUGGUUGCAACUUGGGAUGAUAGUGAGGAAGAAUCAAGUGAUGAAGAAGGAUCGCAAGAAGUAUCAAACCUAGCACUCAUGGCAAUAGGAGGGAAUGAUGAUCUCAAUGAGGUAAGUGAUCCCACCUAUGAUGAAUUGUAUGAUGCUUUUAAAGAUUUGCAUGAUGAGUUGAUGAAGAUUGGUAAAAAGAAUGUAUGUCUUAAAAAGGAAAUGGCAAAGCUUAAAAAUGAAAAUGAAUCUCUAAAUGCAAGAAUUGUAUGCCUAGAAGUAGGGAACAAAACAUUGCAUGAUGAAAUUGCAUUAUCAAAUGAGAAACCUAGCAUCUUGCAUGAGCAUUUAGAAUCACACAUAGAUGAGUUGAAAAAUGAGAAUGAAAUGCUUAAGAAAAAGAGUAAUGAAAUGAAAUUGUUUUGAAAUUUACAAAUGGGCAAAAGAUGUUGGAAAAUAUGCUUAACUCACAAAAAUGUGUUUUUGAUAAAGGAGGACUUGGAUAUAAGCCUAACUUGAAGCAAAAGUAUUAUAAGAAUUAUUUUGUUAAAGCUACCUCCACAAAUGAUCAUAAGAUUGUAUGUCACUAUUGUAAUCAAAAUGGUCACAUGAAAUAUAGAUGUCCCGUGAAAAGGAAUGCAUAUUAUGGUGUCAAAUGCAUUUGGGUUCCAAAAGGAACCGUUGCUAACUCUCAAGGACCCAAAAAGCUUUGGGUACCUAAAACUUGAGAUUUUUUUUCUUGUAGGGAUUGAAGAAGAAGAAAAAUAAAUGGUACUUGGACAACGGUUGUUCAAGGCACAUGACCAGAAACUAUGCAUGGUUCUCAAGCUUCACCAAAGUUGAAAAUGGUGGAGACGUAUCUUUUGGAGACAACUCAAAAGGAAAAAUUCUUGGAAUUGGAAAUGUUGGUAAAGUCUCUUCAACUCUAAUUGAGAAUGUAUGUUUGGUUAAGAACUUGAAACACAACUUAAUUAGCAUUAGUCAAUUAUGUGACAAAGGUUAUAAAGUUAUCUUUGAUAAAUUUAGUUGUGUUAUUGAGAACUCAUGUGAUGGCAAAACCUUAUUUGUUGGAAAUAGAUGUGGUAAUGUUUAUAUCAUUGACAUAGAAUGUGCAUCUACUCUUGAUAAAUGUUUUUCGGCAUUGCAUGAUGAUUGUUGGUUAUGGCAUAGAAGGUUAGGACAUGCAAGUAUGGAUUUGAUUUCAAAAAUUUCGAAAGAUGAUUUGGUUAAAGGUCUUCCGAAAAUUGGUUUUCAAAAGGAUAAGAUUUGUGAAGCUUGUCAAUUUGGAAAACAAAUUAAAACUUCUUUCAAGAAUAAAAACCAUAUUUCUACUUCAAAACCACUUGAACUUCUUCACAUAGAUCUUUUUGGGCCAUCUAGAUAUGCAAGUCUAAAUGGCAAAUAUUAUGCAUUUGUGAUAGUGGAUGAUUAUUCUAGAUAUACAUAGGUAUUAUUCUUAGCCAAUAAGGAUGAUGCUCUUGAUGCUUUUAAAGUGCUUUGUAAGAAAUUACAAAAUGAAAAAGGGCAUGGUAUUGUAUGCAUUAGGAGUAAUCAUGGAGGAGAAUUUGAAAAUCAUGCAUUUGAGAGUUUUUGCAAUAAUCUAGGCAUUGAGCAUCAAUUUUCAUCACCUAGAACUCCACAACAAAAUGGAGUUGUUGAGAGAAAGAAUAGGUCUAUUCAAGAAAUGGCUAGGACCAUGUUAAAUGAAAAUGCAUUACCAAAAUAUUUUUGGGCCGAAGCCGUCAACACCGCUUGUUAUGUUUUAAAUCGGGUGUUGAUUAGACCUAAUCUUAAUAAAACUCCAUAUGAGCUUUGGAAAGAUAGAAAACCCAACAUUGGCUAUUUUAAAGUUUUUGGAUGCAAAUGUUUUGUUUUGAACACAAAAGAUAAUCUUGGUAAAUUUGAUCCAAAAUCUGAUGUUGGUAUUUUUCUUGGUUAUUCAAUUUCAAGCAAAGCUUAUAGAGUCUAUAACAAAAGAACUUUAGUUGUGGAGGAGUCCAUGCAUGUUACGUUUGAUGAAUCUAACCCCUCUUCUGCGGAGAAAGGAGUUGCUAAUGAUGAUGCAGAUGGAGAGUUACAAGAAGAAUCAUCAAAAGAGAAUCAAGAGAAUGCACCACAAGAAAAUCAAGAGGAUAGGCAAGAAGAACAAACCAAUACGGAGCUGGAGCAACAAGAAGGUAUUUCUCAAACACUCCCCAAGGAGUGGAGGUAUGUCUCUUCUCAUCCUAAAGAUGUAAUUUUAGGAGAUCCUUCACGAGGUGUUACAACUAGAUCAUCUCUUAAGAAUACUUGUGAGCAUAAUGCAUUUAUCUCUCAAAUUGAACCCAAAUCCUUUGCGGAUGCGGAAAAUGAUGAAUCUUGGAUUAUGGUAAUGUAAGAGGAGUUAAAUCAAUUUGAAAGAAACAAUGUGUGGGAAUUAGUUCCUAAACCGGAACAUCAAUCUGUCAUAGGCACUAAAUGGGUAUUUAGAAAUAAGAUGGAUGAAUCCGGGGUGGUUGUAAGAAAUAAAGCUAGAUUAGUGGCUCAAGGUUACAACCAAGAAGAAGGAAUUGAUUUUGAUGAAACUUUUGCACCCGUUGCUAGACUAGAAUCAAUUAGAAUGUUGUUGGCAUUUGCAUGUCAUAAAGAUUUCAUCUUAUUUCAAAUGGAUGUGAAAAGUGCUUUCCUAAAUGGGUAUAUUAUGGAAGAAGUGUAUGUAAAACAACCCCCUGGUUUUGAAAAUGAAAAGUUUCCAAAUCAUGUUUAUAAGUUGCUUAAAGCCUUGUAUGGAUUAAAACAAGCACCUAGAGCAUGGUAUGAUAGACUUAAAAAUUUCUUGCUAGAAAAUGAUUUUUCUAUGGGUAAAGCAGAUACUACUCUAUUUGUUAAGCAUAAGAACCAAGACAUACUUAUUGUUCAAAUUUAUGUUGAUGAUAUUAUUUUUGGUUCUACUAAUGAGUUGUUGUGUAAAGAAUUUUCAUCGUGUAUGAGCAAAGAAUUUGAGAUGAGUAUGAUGGGAGAGUUGAAGUACUUCCUUGGACUUCAAAUCAAACAAAACGAGGAAGGAAUUUUCAUAAAUCAAGCCAAGUACGUAAAAGAUCUACUCAAACGAUUCGGCAUUGAUGACUCAAAGACCAAAAAUACACCAAUGAGCACAACAACCAAGCUGGACAAAGAUUAAAAAGGCAAAGAAGUGGAUAUCAAAAUGUAUCGAGGUAUGAUCGGAUCCCUACUUUAUUUGACUGUAAGUAGACCCGAUAUCAUGUUUAGUGUAUGUUUGUGUGCAAGAUUUCAGUCUUGUCCCAAGGAAUCUCAUUUGCUUGCUGUUAAAAGAAUUUUCCGUUAUUUGAGUGGAACCAUAGAUUUUUGCCUUUGGUAUCUUAGGGGAACUCAUAUAGAUUUAACAUGUUAUUCGGAUGCGGACUUUACCGGUUAUAAAGUGGAUAGGAAGAGCACUAGUGGUACUUGCUAUAUUCUAGGACACUCUCUUGUUUCAUGGUUUAGCAAAAAACAAAAUUCUGUCGCACUUUCAACUACCGAGGCUGAAUAUAUAGCUGCCGGAAGUUGUUGUGCACAAGCACUUUGGAUGAAACAAACACUUAGAGAUUAUGGCAUUAAUCUUGAACAAAUUCCUAUUAAGUGUGAUAAUACUAGUGCUAUUAAUCUUUCAAAGAAUCCCAUUCAACACUCUCGAACCAAGCAUAUAGAAAUAAGACAUCAUUUCUUGAGAGAUCAUGUUCUAAAGAGAGACAUUGCAUUAGAGUUUAUUUCUACGGAAAAAUAACUUGCCGAUAUUUUUACAAAACCACUUUGCGAAGAACAAUUUUCCAAAAUUCGGCAUGAACUUGGGAUAAUGAUUUUUUCACAUUAACAUCUUUAUUCAUGCUAUUGAGUCUAUUAACAUUGAUUGAUCUAUGACUUGAUGCUUUAAUAUCUAUGGAAUGCUCAAUCGUAAUAUACAUGAGAUGUGUAUGGAUAUUUGAAAAUGUAUGAAUUAAUUGUUGCAAUACAUAUAUAUAUUCAAGAAUUAUGCAUUGAACUGGCACUCAAAUCAUUUUGGAUCAAUAAAAUGAUCUUGAAAUGUAUUGAUAAGUAGCCAAAUAUCAAAAUACAUGUGCGAAAUCAUAAGUUGUAGAAAACGGAUUGCCGUUAUUUCAAUAAACGGCUAACCGUUUUGGGCAGAAACAAUGGAAAAUUUUCUAUACGCUAUCGGUUCGCCGAUAACUAUCUAUCGGCUCGCCGUCCUGAUACAAAAAAAUUUGAGGAGACUCCCUGGACCCUAUCGGCUCGCCGUUAUGUAUAUAAACGGCUCGCCGUUUUAAUGAAAUUUUUGGAGGACUCUCUGGACUCUGUCGGCUCGCCGUUUUCUCUAUAACGGCUCGCCGUUAUCACGCGUAAAUUGAACAGUCCUUCGUCUUCCUCCUCAUUUCGGCUUCUCUUUCUCUCUCUCUCUCACUUCAACUCGCGGCUGCACCAGUUCUCUCCUCUCAAAUCCAUCACUUUUCUUGUCAUUUUUCACCAAAUUGAAGCAUUACAAACCACUUCUAUCAUCUCUAGCACCUUUUAACCGAUUCAAAUCCUUCUUUUUCUUCAAAUUUUGAAAAAUCUCAUCUUGAAACCCUAGAACCAGCCGAAUCUCAUUCGUUCACUUUGACCCAAAUUUCUUCAUCUUUCCAACUACUUUUCCAUCCACAAUCACUAUCUCCUCUCUCACACUUCGUUUCCACCGAUUUUUUUUUUCUCUAUGGCGGAACGACCCCAAAGGCGUGCUCGAACCAAGCACACUGCUCAGCGACGCUCUAGUCCCCCCAGGUCUCCUCCUCAAGACUUUGAGAGUCUUCAUUUUCCCGAUGCUACCUCUGCUCAGCGAUUUCGUGAGAAAUUCAUGGGUAAACCCGUAACUCCCUCUUUUUCUCUUAACAUCUCGGAGUUUUCGGAUAUUACUGUUUGUGGUAACUCCAUUACUCAAAUGCUUAAUCAUUGGCAGCAAGCAUUAAGUAUUGAAGAACCUAUUUAUGAAAAUCUAGUUCGAGUCUUUUAUUCUAGGGAAAUUUACACUCGUCCGCCUGUUUGUUUUGCCUUUUUCAAAAAUACACAAACACUUUUUUUUUUUUCAGUGCGCCACCUGAAGUUUGCUUUUUGUUGCAUUUUUCCACUUCCGUCUAAUUUUCGUUAGUGGAUUUAACGGAAUGUUAACGAAAUGACCUUUUUACCCCUCAAAAUUACAAUUUAACCCAAAAUAAAUGGAAAUUGGAGAUAAAUUGGAUGUAUUUAAAUUUUUUCAAAGGUGGAUGCUAGAAAUUAGAGGAAAAUAGUGUUUGUUGCUUGCUAAAUUUAGAAAAUUUGUAUUUAUUUUUUUGAAAGAGAAAAAAUAAAUACAAAUUUUCUAAAUCUAGCAAGUAACAAAUACUAUUUUCCUCCAAAAAAAUAAAUACAAAUUUUCUAAAUUUAGCAAGCAACAAACAUUAUUUUCCUCCAAUUUCUAGCAUCCACCUUUGAAAAAAAAUUAAAUCCAUCCAAUUUAUCUCCAAUUUCUAUUUAUUUUGGGUUAAAUUGUAAUUUUGAGGGGUAAAAAGGUCAUUCUGUUAAAUUUGCUAACGGAAAUUAGACGGAAGUGGAAGAAUGCAACAAAAAGUGAACUUCAGGUGGCGCGCUGAAAAAAAAAAAGUGUUUGUGUAUUUUUGAAAAAGACAAAACAAACAGGUGGACGGUUGUAAAUUUCCCUUUAUUCUAACAUAGAAUUCUCCUCUACUCGUCGUGACGAGCUUCAUACAUUUGUAGGAGGAAUUCGUAUUGAACUAGAUGAACCCGAAUUAUGUAGUAUUCUCGGAAUUGCUUAUGGAGGGUUAGAUCUGUACACCGCUAGGAAAGAACUUUCUUUUAGUAAUUUUCGUCAUGUGGAUGGUGUACGGAACAUUUGUCGUCGUCGGGAUCUUUCCGAUGACAUCUGCUCUCUGUCCUUCAGGUCUCAACUCCUCCCUUUUCAGAUUCGAAUUCUUCACAUUAUUCUCCAACACAUGGUCACUCCUAGACAGGGUCACACUGAUGAGGUCACUAGGCUUGAUAUUGGUCUAUUAGAUUCUCUUAUCCGUCGACGCCAUGUGAGCCUAUCCUACACUAUUAUGUGCCAUAUGUUGUCCACCCCUAAAGUCUCCAAUCGAUCUCUUCCUUAUGGCAGCAUCAUUACUAAAAUCUUGAACCACUUUCAUGUUCCUAUCGUCGAGCCUGUUUUUCUCGAGACUCGUAAGCUCGGACGAGAAAUUAUUUCUGCCAUCGGAUUCUUUAAGAAGCGUGGGAAAUGGGAUAAGACCACAUCCUCUAAAAACGAAGACACACUGCUUGCACCAGAGGAUGAUCGCAUGUUGAAUGACGUCUACUCUGAGGAUGAGCUACCUGAUUUCCGUCUUGGGGCUAGACCGCGUGUUCCACGCCGGGCAGCUGCACCAGCAGCACCUGCAACACCUGUAGCACCAGCAGCACCUGCAGCACCAGCAGCAGCUGCAUCUCAGGAUGACGAGCCUACCGAGACUGUCGUCCCUCCUGCGGCAUCAGCUGUUCCUGAGGAUCGCUUCCAGCAGCUUCUCGACCGAGUGGAUGCCCUGUCCCAGUAGCAGCAGCAGCUUCGAUCUAAUUUUGCAACCUUUCGGGAGCAAAUUUCUGAUCAGCAGAUAGAGUUAAUUGCAGGACAGCGUCGCAUUCUCGGCUAUUUUGGAUAUGACCCCGGCAGCUCGUCUUCCCAGCCCCCAUCUUAGAUUUCUCUGCCCCUCUGACAUUCGCACAGACAUCUUUCAUUUCAUUUUCCAUAUGUGUAUGAUAUUAUUUGUGUUCUGUGUGUUAUGUGUUUUGUGAUUAUGCUUUUGAUAUUUCUUGUUGGACAUAUGCACUUAAUUUCUGUUUGGGUUGUUUUUGGUGUUAUAUUGAUUAUAUUGCUCAUUCUAGAAGUGUGAAUUUGUUGGUAUGGAGGUUGGUUGAUAUGGUGGUAUAUUUAUAUGGAAGUAUUUUUCUUUUUAACUCUGUGUGUUGUUGAGGAACUGCUCAUAUUUCAGAGGAGACUCUGCCCAAAUUUCUCCAAACAUAAGUCAUUCGUCGCGUAUCUUUCUUUUUGAUGAUGAAGGGGGAGAGAAAUUGGCAAAAUGCAAAAUUGGUUUUGGCAAAAUAGUAUUGGCAUGCAUGUGUUUACUGGCAUAAUUUUUUUUUUUUUCAAUCUGUCGUGUUUAAAAUUUUGAGAUUAACAGUUGAAUUUUUUUUAACAAGGGAGUUAACAAGUCUUUCAAAAUUUCACUUAGGGGGAGCACAUAUUUAGGGGGAGCAAAAAUUGCACAAGUAUUUUCUUGAAAAGUUUGUCAUCAUCAAAAAGGGGGAGAUUGUUAACAUAAAUUAUUCUUUAUUGAUUUUGAUGAUAACAAACAUGAUUAAGAUUGAUUAAUCGUUUUAAAAGCUCAACAUAAUUUUCAUCUAUUUUGACAAGUUUCAUAAAGUAUUUUUUUAAAGAUUUGGAGACAAAACAGUCAUCAUGCAAAAUAGUUCACUGCAGCAGUUUUUGUGGAAAACGGCGAUCCGACAUGUGUAGUAAACGGCUCACCGAUUUCAAGCAGAAAUGGAGAUUAGCCUCUGGACCAAAACGGCGAACCGACAUAUGUGAUAAACGGCUCGCCGAUAUCAACCAGUAGCCUCUGGACCAAAACGGCGAACCGACAUAUGUGAUAAACGGCUCGCCGAUAUCAACCAGUAGCCUCUGGACCAAAACGGCGAACCGACAUAUGUGAUAAACGGCUCGCCGAUAUCAACCAGUAGCCUCUGGACCAAAACGGCGAACCGACAUAUGUGAUAAACGGCUCGCCGAUAUCAAUCAGUAGCCUCUGGACCUAAACGGCGAUCCGAUAUCUAGAUAACGGCGAUCCGACAAUUUGACAAAUCAGCCCAACGAUCAUAUUGACCAGUCAAACGGCGAUCCGACAUCUAGCUAACGGCGAUCCGACAGUAUGCAGAAAGUCAAUAACGGCUAGUUUUCAGCAGCAGCUAUAAAUAAGCUCAUUCAAAUUCAAACAAAGAUUGAUCACAACACAGCCAUUGAGCAAAUAUUCGAGAAUACAAUCUUCAUAGAGCUUAAAACACAUUCUCUCUUCAUCUAUUCACAAAUUGGGCAUUGAUUUGUAAUCUUUUACUUUGAGUGAUUGUAAGUGUUGGGAUACACUUGGGUUAAGAGAUUGGGGAUAAUCUCUUGUUGUAAAGGUUUAUUGACACCUUGGAAGUCAAGUGUAAGCAUUUGAAGCCUUGGAGGCUUGCUUAGUGGAAUCCUCAAGCCCGGAAAGCUUGGAGGCGUGGACGUAGGCGAGGUUAGCCGAACCACGUAAAAAUCUCGGUGUUUGAAUCCCUCUUCCCUUAUCUUUUUAUAUUGUGAUCAUCUUAAUUGUCAUUGCUUUGAAUUUGAUUUAUAAUUGUAUUAAGUUUUUCUUCAAUAAAUUGAAUAAUUUUUUUUGAAACCCGAUUCACCCCCCCUCUUCGGUUGCAUACUUGUAUUUCAAGGGCUCCACAUAUCUUCGUAGUGGAUCCGAGUGGCUCGUCUUUGGUUAAAAUUCAUCUCACGGCCCCUUAUUUGAACUUCCAUCACCAUCGGGCAAUGAUCAGAGGUCCAAGUGUCAAUAUUAGUAGCUACAACAUCUGAAAAAAUGUCUCUCCAUGAGCUAUUACAAACAAAUCUAUCUAGCCGUUCCUCCACAAAAGUGGGGCUGAACCUUCCAUUACUCCACAUAAAAGGGUACCCCUUGUAACUAAUAUCUAAACGAUCACAGUCUCGGAGAGCUUCUCUAAAAUCAGUAAUUAAGCUUAACUGCCUCUCAUUUCCCCUACUCUUCUCCAACGGAUGAAGGAUCUCAUUAAAGUCUCCGAAGCAUGACCAAGGGGUGGAAGAUAAACCCGAUAACCGCCUCAAUAAUGUCCAUGUAUGCUUUCUCUGUCUCAUGUCUGGGUGACCAUAAACCCCCGUACAUCGAAUAAGCUUCCCAUUUUCCAUCACUAUCUUAGCAUCAAUGUGAUGCUAAUUGAAAGAUUUAAUUUGCACUUUUAUUUCAGACUUCCAAAGUAAGGCUAGACCACCUCCUUUUCCGAUACUACUCACAGCAAAGCAAUUUUCAUAAUUUAGUUUUCUACUGACCUCAUUCAUAUGCAUAGUCUUCAGCUUCGUUUCACAUAAAAAAAAACUAGGCGAAGACCGUGCACUUGGAGAAUUUUCUUGAGAGCUAGAUACAUUCGGGGAUUCCCCAGACCCCGAAUGUUCCAACUGAGUAUUUUCAUGGCUUCCGGCGGGGGCUGGUAGCCAACCCCGCCGAUAUCUCCUCUAAGCUUAAAGCUGUAAGCUCCAUUUCCUCUGUUGCUAACAGCUCCCAGUGCAACUUGGUUUGUUCUGCUAUCAAAGAAAGUUUCUUCAUUUCCGAAUGGCUUGGGUCAUCCACUUUAGUUUUCUUUAGCUUCGAGUUUGGCCCUGCUGCCUCGCUAUUUGGCCUUUUAUGAGUUCUUAGGCCCAAGCUUGCUCCCCCUUCAUUUUUUGUGGCACGUGCCUGCCUCUUCCAUUUGUUUUUGUUUAACUGAGUUUGGGAUUUAUCGGCCUCGGCAUAUAUUUUCGUUUCCUCAGCUUCCUCUUGGGCUGCAUUUGAGCCCAAAUUCUCCUUGUGUUUCUCGGCCCUGACUACUUCCAUUUUUUCCCCCUCAAUUGAGUUUACAUUUCCCGCCUCAAUUCUCAAAUCUCUAGGGACUGUUACAUUGCCAGUACUGCCUCCCUGCAUUUCGCCGUUAGCCUGCUUCGUAGCCAUCAUUUCUGUCACGCUCUUCAUUAAAUGUUGUUCACCCACCCACUCCACCUCUCUAGUCCUAUCAAUCUCCUUAGUUUGACCCAUUUCCUCCUCCCUGGAUCCUAACCUAUUUUUGUCAGCUGGUUUCACUUGCUCCUGCUGGAGCUGUUGGGACUUAUCAUGGAAUUUUGAACUUGUCGAUUUUUCAGUUCUUUCACCUCUGUUCUACCAUCUUUCUUUGCCUCGGUAUUUCCUUGAGCGUCCCCUGAUUAUGAGUGCUUUCAUCCACAUCCCAAAUGAGAGAUCUUCUUUUGGUUGGCCUUGGUAUUGAGCACACUCCUUGAAUUGAUGACCGAUAAUGCCACAGCAGAAGCAAAAAUUUGGCAAGCAUUCAUACACCACUAGCAUUGGAAUAUCUGUCUUGCCCUCUUGUUUUAGGAAUAAGAUUUUCUUCAAUGGCUGUGUUAUGUUGAUGAAAAUCCUGAUUCUUGCAAAUUCCCCAAAGCAAUCCCCAUUCUCAUCUGUUUCAAUUUCUUCCACUUUUCCUAUCAUUCCCCCGAGCUCUUGCAGAAAGUCCCUCUCCAUACACGCAAUUGGAAUAUUGCGUAUCUGCACCCAGAAGGGGACGUGAGUAAAAUUUUGCUUUGAAACCUCUCCAAUAUCUGUUGGCUCGGUGAGGACAAUCAACGCCCUAUCAAAAUGCCACGAGCCUCUAGCUAGAACUCUUCUUUUAUCAGCUUCUUCCGCGAAUUUGAACAUAAAUAUAUUAUUUCCCAGACUCUCGAUCUUAACCUCUUUAAAAGUUCGCCAUACCUGCUGUAAAGCAACUUUAAGCCCUUCUCUGUUAACACCUCUUGAUAGGAGUACCUUACCCAUCAGGCAUCCUGCUAACACUUGCCCUCUUUGUUCUUUCAUGUUUACUCCCAAUGACAUUUUGCUUUUGUCUUCCUCUCUAAUCGUGAUUGCUUUGCACUUACGGAUUAAUUCUUCAGUGUCCAUGGAGUUAUUACAAGGGAGAGAUUUGAUAAUAAUAAUCACCUAACAAGAAGACCCUGCGAAAUAAACCCCUCACCUACUCUGCUCUAGCCUUUACUGCACUUCAACUGGAAAAACUUACGUAACGUAACUAAUCUAACUUCAAACUAGAAAACAACACUCACUCUCGGAGUGACCAUGUGGGUCAUACAGGCCCCUCAAAGUACUUCCAUUCAUGAGGCUGUAUCGGAGAGAGAGAGCUCUCGUGAAGGAAGAUUCUAAGUGAUCUGACAUUCUAAACUUUAUAUUCAAACUUUGUAAGAUCAUCAUUUCUCCUUUUUUAUUUAACAAAAAAAUUAACUUCUUGCAUGAUCUAAUUGGUCUCGUUUCCUCUCAACAACGUUUUCUUUAAAACACACUUUUAAAGCCAAUCUCUACAUCUCUCGGAAAACUUUUCCUCCCCAAACUCCUCAUCUCUUCCUCACCAAAUCUUUGGAGGCAAAAAUCUUUCUUGCCUUCUCCAGUGGAUUCUUGGUUUUUUUUUUUUGGUUGCACCCACCUCUUCCUUAUGAUUUGAGGAUGGGUGUCUUGUUCUGGCCUUCUUCACCCUAAGCUGGUUGUUCUAGUUCAAUUUUCUCCUCCUUUGGUUUUGAGGAUGGCUGCUAUGCGUCCAUUCAGAUCUUGAUCUGUGAUGGUAAUAAUGUACCUGUUAUGGUGAUAAUGUUGGUUUAAUUUCUAAUUUCCAGUACAUAACCCUUCAACUUUUAGAUCUCGAGUCUAUGUUUCUCAUGUUUGUAAAGUUAGAGGGUGUGAAUCAAUUUUAACGAUAAAUCUAUUUUGCUACUAGCUGGAAAGCAUAAAUAUGGUGGUGGAGAUUAUUUCGAAAGAGCCAUGGAAUCCCAAAUGGAGCUUGAAUUAUAUGUGCAGUACGAAUGGAAGUGUUUCUUCCUAUUCUUUAAUAAAAUUUUAGGGGUUAAUUCAAUUGAUUACUGUAAUAGAUCUCUGUAACUAAACAGAUCUCUGUAUUUUGAUCUUUAUAAUGUGAACUAGUGAUGUACUGCAAGUAGUUGUAUUGUUGUUAUUUUUUUAAUGAAAUAUUAAUACUUUCCUAUCAGAAAAAUCUUAAAAUUUUAGCUUUAAUUCAGACAAAAUAAAGGAAAAAGAAAAAACCAGCAAUGUACUUUAAAAGGGAGCAAAAAGGGAAUAACAAGAAGAGCUUGUUAAAGAAAGAAGCUGAGAGAGUCAGUGGGUUGGUGAAUGAUGAUAUUGUUGUUGUUGUUGUUGUUACUAUUAUUUAUGUCGUAAAAGCAUAUGCAGAGAGAGGCAGAGCAACCCAAUAAAAUCGCAUGGUUAAUAUUAGUUGGUUUUAUGUUGGAGUUGAUCCAACCUAGCCAAAGCCUUAUUUAAAUCCGAACAAAUGGUGGGACUUGGACUUAAGACUUGUUUCUACAAACAUUGAGUGUUUAGCUGCUGCAAAAUUUCAUAACUUAAUUUUAGUUGAUGUGGCAUGUGUCCUAUCACAUAAAUGUAGAUAAUAAUUAUUAAUACAUUAACAAAAUGAAAAUUAUUAGUUUACAAAUUACAAAUCUGAAUUUUUUGUUUGUGAGAGGGAAUUCAAAAGGGAGAGACUAAACAAAUGUGGUGACAAACGACAUGUAUUACCAAAACUGAAAAUACGAAAUCUAGGCAACUGAAAACAUCUCUAUCAAUUGCAAUGAACCGAUCAAAACCAUUUAUAAUUAACCAAAAUCAAACUAAAAAAAAAAUCAAAACUACUAUUUGUUUUGAUCAUCCCUGCUUCUUCUUCUUAGCAUAGCUCUUGGAAUAAAAAUUAACAAAACGUGCCAAAAGGGAAGCAUUAAACACAGCAUUAAACCCAAAAUCCCUGCGCAACCAAAUCCCGUAAAAUGAUAAUACAGACUGCUUCGUCUGUAGCAGUCUGUGUUAUCAUUGGUUAUUGAUAAUACAUUGGUUAUUGAUAUUUUGAGGUUUUAAUCUUAAAUAAUAAUAACAAAAGAAUAAAAUUUUAUCAAGAUUUAACGAAAUAAGUUGUAGCUUAAUAAUUGGUAAAUUAGGAAUGUCAACCAAAUAUCGUCAAAAUAAAUAAUAAAUUGUCGAGUUGAGAAAAUUUAUUUGAAUAAUUUUUAUUUUUUUUUUGUCUAUCAUUGUAAAUUUAAAUAGGGACAAACUUGUGGGGUGCCAAUAUUACCACUCUUAAUACUAUACAUAACAUUCUAAAAAAGAAAUUAGAGCGGUGAUAACCCUUUUUUUUCAAUUAACUACAUCCUUUUUUUCUGAAAUAUCCUUUUUUUUGCAUUGGUCACAAACAAAGACUGCUUCGUCUGCAGCCAAAGGUAGCACAUUACGACGACGGUUGCAUGGUGGUAGACGUGGAGGAACCUGAGGCGCUGGAUGGAGUUUGACAAAACGAUCAAAAGGGUGUCUAGGAAUUCCAGUAUUUCGAAAAAGGUAGAAGAUGUAAGCGUAGAAGAAGAGGGGGCCGGAGGGAGAAAUGGUGGGGGGGAAACAGAGGGUGUAACGGAGGUGGGGUCAGGGACGGAGCCAGCAUGGGACGAGGUUGGGCACAGGCCCCAGCUGGCUUUUAAUUUUUUUUUAUAAUUAUAGUAAAAAAUUGUAUUUUAUUGUUAUUUAUGAAAAAUGCCCCAGCUGAAUUGUAAAAUUUGAAAUUGACUCCAAUAAUUUUAAAAUAUUUCAUAUUGUCCCUAGUUUAAAUUUCUAAUUAUAAAUAAUUUAAUUAGUUAUUAAAAUUUCAUGAAACUUGAUUAAAGAUACGAGAACAAAUAUUAAAAUAAAAAACAAUCAUAAGAAAAUGUUAGUAUAAUGAUUAAUGGACCAAUCUUUAAUCUUGUUAGUAUAAUGAUUAAUGGACCAAUCUUUAAUCUUUUUUAUUUUUUAUUCAAGUAAAAUCAAUUAUUUAAUCUUUCAACACUGAACCAUAAGUUGUCAAUCUACCUAAUUCUAAUUUUUAAUUUUCUAAUUAAUCUUUUGUCUAGUUUUAAAAUUUAUAAUUUUAUCAUGCAUUUCAUAUUUGUUCUGUGUUGCAAUAUAUGAAUAUUUUUGUUAUUAUUAAAAGAUUUUAAGAGCAAAACAAGUAAUAACCUAGUCUUGUAUAUUGAAAAAUAUUUUUUUGCUUAUAUUGAUAAUGCAUUAUUUUCAACUCAUAAAAUUUUAUUGAGGAGUUUUCACGGAGAACCAUUGUAAUAAGUAAAUUUAUUAUCAAUGAAUAUUAUAGUUGUAAUGUUAUGUAUUGCUAUCUAAAUUUUUAGAAAUGUAUUAUACUUUAAAUAUAGUUUCAAUUAGAUUCAUACAGAUGCACUUUAUAAGGAGCACAAUUGUACAUGUAGCAAGCUCCCAUUUGGAGUUUAUGGGGUCCAUAAUACAGUUUCCUAAAUAAAGACUUAUCGCAUGAGCAAUCCCACAUUCGAGUCAUGUUUAAUUUUAAAUGUGCCCUGGCUCGAUCAAAAUCCUAGCUACGUCCGUGGGUGGGGUGAGUGGAGGAUGAUGGAGAGGGUGCAACCAACAGCCAUGAUGAGGGAGAGGAGGAGGAGGGUGAGGUUAUGGACGGCUGUGAUGGGCUUGAGGACGUGGGGUCCAAUGAGAGGUGAUGAUGAUGGUGAUGUUGACGUUAAUGUGUGGUAGAGGAUGGAUGUGAGGGAGAGGUAAGUGAGGAUGGAGAGAAUGAGGAAGUUUAGGGAGGAAGCUGGGGUUUGGUUUUCAGUCCAUGUGAAGUUGAGGAUUUGUGGGUGGUUUACAAGCCAAUGUUGGAGAGUUGAGGUGAUUGAAUUUGAAGCCAUGGCUGGUGUGUUUUUUUUUUUUUUUUUUGGUGGGGGGGGGGGGGGGGGGGGGAGAUUUGGAAGAGAUGAUGUUGAGAGGAGCGGGGGAGUUUAGAAAGUUAGGGAUAAUAUGAGGGUAUUUUGGGCAUAUACUGAUGUCUUAGCUUAAAUUUUGAAAAAGAAAAUAAUAAUAAACUCUUUUUUCACAUGAAUUUAAUACUCCGAGUGUGUUUCCAAGAAUUGUUCUUCUUUUUCUAUUUUUGGAUUUUGAAUCAUAAUUUUUCAAUUUAUUAAUGGCUCUUCAAUUACAAAAUAUGGAAAGAGGGGAUGGGGUGUAGUGCCUAGGCAUCUGUGACAACGGCACUUCUGGACGUGGGUUUCAUUAUUAUUAUUAUUAUUAUUAUUAUUUGGCUAUUUCUGCUCAAUCAAACUUGUGGAUUGCAUGCACUCAACGUGGAAUGGACGCAAUGGAUUUGCUGGGAUCACCCAAGCCGAAGAAGCAUGAACCUGGGACCAAUUUGUUGACAAAAAUUUAGGCAUAAAAUAUACAAAUCAAAGUCGAGUAAGAUUUAAGUAUAAUUGGGGAAUGUCUUCUACGGUGAAGUACAUCGAGUAAGGACUUCUACAAUCGCGCUAGAAAGUACAACUAAAAUCCGGUAAGUGUUUCGUAGAGCAUAAUUUUUAGGGUCCAACGUUAAGAGUAUUUUGUAAACAUUUAUAAUUAUUACUUAAAUUGAUCUAAUCUCAUACUCCAUUAUAGAAAAAAAAACUAAAAUAUCUCUAAUAAUUUUAUCAAAAUUAUUAUUUAACAAUCAUAUUUACUCUAUAAUAUCAACGUUUAUAUUAUAAUUAGAGCUAAUACUAAACAAGGACUCGAAUACGAUCAAGUAAUUAAAAGUUUUAGCUUUUUGGUAUUGCAAGAUGAUUCAAACUUAAACUAGCGAUCAAAAGUCUAUCAAAGAAAUCACAAAGACGCUUUUUUUGACAAAUCCGCAUUAGAAUUUGCAAAAUUUAACAAAGAGAGUGAAUAAGAUUCCAAAGUAAAUCAACUUUAUUAAGAAUUUUACUGGAGAAAAAUUGGAAUAUACGAAGUUGUAUCACAUAUGAUAUUUAGACAUCAAGAAAAGAAUCCAUCUAUCAGUGAACUAUACUUGCCAGGAAACACAGUGAAUACCACCACCUCCCUACUAGUUCUUCCCCUUCAACAGAGUCGACAUUCCCUUGUUUGAUGCCAAGGAGCCCAAGCCCGGAGACAAUGGCAUUCUUUGAUAUCAACCGCUUUGGGGACUUUUGAGUUGAGCUAUUGACAUCCUGAGACAGCCUGUGCCUUCUUCAAAAGGUCAUCUGACUGAAGUAGCGGAUCCGCUUCCACUCCUAGCCAAGCAAGCUUUGAUCUUUCUCCUAAUUGGACAUUAAAAACCCUGCAUGGAAUCCAUUUGAGAAGUUGAACAAUAGACAAAGUCCAACAUAUGUAGGUAGUAAAGAAGAAUUUGGACGGCAAUUACUGAUUGUUUACGCACAGGGCUGAACAAAUGGGUAUAUUAAGGCACUUAAAAGUUAGAACAAUAUUCACCACUUGUAUUUCCUUAGAGAACUAUCUCAGAGUUCAGUUAAUUUAAAACCUUCGAGAUAUAAUUAUCAUCAUCAAUCUUUUGCAGCCACAUGCGGUACUUGGAAAACUGUUUAUGGCCCCUAAAGAACUGGAAAAUCAGAGAACAUUAAGAACAAGAGACUACUAAUUUUGAUCGCGACCAAGCGUACACACUAUGAAAAUCUAAAAUUGAAUUACUCCGAAUGAAUGUGCCUCUUAACAGGAAUUGCACAAGCUAAUCCUUGCAGCCUGCGUCAUGGAGCUUCUCGCAAUGAGUAAGUGAGCCUUGAACAGUUAGCUCAAACUAAAAUGAAAUUGCUGUGGACAUGUGAAUUAAAAAUAGAUGUAAAAGCAGUUUUCUCAAAGCAAGGACAAGAUAAGAGAUUAACUCUGCUUCUUAGUUACAUUAAAAAUAACAAACAAUGAAAAAACAGAGCUAGAGAAGAACUUACCUGUGCGUUGAGACCACGUGGGGAAUGUGAGAUAUCUUCUUAGAUUUGGUUUGAGAAACUCCAUCUUCUUCUGAAAGUUCUGACAGUUCCCUAAACCCAGGCCAAUACAAUUGCAACAGAAACUGCAUGCUUUAACCAGCAUCUGAUCAUCUCCUGUUAUUUCAAGACAAUAAAAACUUAAUUGCAACACUGCAUGCUUCAACCAUUAACCUUCUCAAUUUCAACACUUCUUUUGUCCCCCGCCCAAUGCCCUUAUUAGAGUGAGUGAGAAAUUAAGUACAUAUCAGUGAUUUGGGUUGUUAGUGAAUGUUUUUCUUUAAUAUUGUUAGUGAAUGUUAGUGAAAGGUGAUGAUGGUGGUGAUGUUGAUGUUGAUGUGUGGUAGAGGAUGAAUGUGAGGGAGAGGUAAGUGAGGAUGGAGAGAAUGAGGAAGUGAGGGGAGGAAGCUAGUGUUUGGUUCUGAGUCCAUGUGAAGUUGAGGAUUUGGGGGUGGUUUACAAGCCACUAUUGGAGUGUUGCGGUAAUUGAAUAUGAAGCCAUGGCUGGUUUUUUGGGGGAGAAAGAUUUGGAAGAGAUGAUGUUCAGAGGAACGGGGGAGUUAAAGUUUUGGGAUAAUGCGGAGGGUAUUUUGGACAUAUUGUUAUCUUAGCUUAAAUUUUAAGAAAAAGAUAAUCAAUAAUAGGCUUUUUUUUCAUGUCAAUUUAAAACUCCGAGUGUGAUUCCAAAAAUUGUUUUCGUUUUUCUAUUUUGGAUUUUAAAUCGUAAAUUUAGUAAAGGAAGUUAAAUCAAGUGAUCACUUAUUAUUAUUAUUAUUUUAAUGUAAAGCAAUUUUUUUUUUUUUUGUGAUUUAAGCAAAUAUUGAGUUGCGUACUUUGACAAUAUUAAUAUUUGAUUCGAAAUUUCAUCUAUUGAAACUACAAAAAUUAAUAUUUUCUAAUAAAUCAAAACUAAAAUUAAAAGAUGACUCAUUAUCUGCCGACUGUCAUUAAACGAAGCCAUCACUCACGCAAAAAAAAAAAAUGAUAUAUUUAUUUUAACGUAAUUUCAUACCAACAAAUCAUUCUUUUCUUUCGAACAAUGACCUCUUUAAUUAUCCAGGGCUUUGUGAUAACAGCAUCUUUGGACGUGAGUGUCAUUAGACUUUUGGGUCAAUCAGACUUGUGGAUUACAUGCACUCAACGUCGAUAAUAUAGAAAUGGGAGAAAAUUAUGUCAGUAAAAUCAAGUCAGUCAAAUAAAAAUUGUGUAUUUUUGAAAAAGUUGAAAAAACCAGGUUGACAGUGCAUAAUUUUCUAACUCAGUAGAAUUUCCUAAAGUUGGAGUAAAUAAGACUCCAAAGGAACAUGGCAAUUAUUAUUAUCUAAGAAAUAAUUCAUAGCUAAAACAAAAUUAAAUUUCCUAACUCACUAGAAUUUAACUGGAGAAGAAUUGGAAUAUACAACGUUGUAUCACAUAUAGUAUUUAGACAUCAAGAAAAGAAUCCCUGUAUCAGUGAACCAUACUUGCCAGAAAACACCAGGCGAAUACCACCACCUCCUACUAGUUCUUAGGUGUCUCAGAGUUUGAGGACGACUUCCAUGCUAUGUCUCUUCGACAGGCAGCAAAAUUGGGCAAUUGACUGCAUCAACUCCAAGAAAUUUAUGCAGUCACCUUCCUCCGGACUAUCUUGUUUGACGCCAAGGAGCCCAAGCCCAGAAACAAUGGCACUCUUUGGCAUCAACCACCUGGGGACUUUUGAGCUGAACCAUGACAUCCUGAGAUGGGCUGUUGUGUAAGCCUUCUUCAAAAGGUCAUCCGUUGAUCUUUCUCCUAAUUAGACCAUCAAAACCCUGCAUGGAAUCCAUUGGAGAAGUUGGACAAUAGACAAACUCCAACACACACAGACAGUAAAGAAGAAUUUAGACCGCAAUCACUGUGGCUGAACAAAUGGGCCUAUUAAAAGUGGGAACCAUAUUCACCACCCGCAUUUCCUUAGAGAACUAUAUCAGAAUUCUGUAAAUUUGAAACUAUUCUUACAUAUUUAACUGUAAAACAAGAGAAAUUGUACUUCCGUAGCAAAGUCUCACUAUUGGUAAGUAUCUGGACUUGGAAAGGAUGCUAGUUGAUUAAGUAAAGGAAAAUUGAAAUCAGACUUUGAGGUGAUAGAUCUAUAUCCACUUUUAUAGGAACCGCAUUAACAUCAUAUGAGACAAUUAAACAAAUAACCCAGUCAAAGUUCAACAAACAAAACAUUAAAACAAGAGUAAUUUGGUCUAUCAAUGUAUAUUUAGAGAUGUCGAUCAAUAGACAAAUACGUAAACGAGAGACGGAGAGACCUCAAAGCCGUGCUUAAGAACAGUGCUACUCCAAUAACAUCAAAAUGGUUGGUGACCGCUCUAUCAAAUCCACACAAUAGCUGAUAUCUCAUGUUUUCAUAUAGUCCAAUGAAAGCACCAUAACCAGGCGCUUUAGUACUUACAGAUGGGAUUGUCACAGGUUGUUAACAUAUAUGUUUCCAUAAUAUUGAUUUUGAUGAUAACAAACAAGAUUAAGAAUGAUUAAUCUUUUAAGCUCAAAUUAUUGAAAAAUAUAUUUUAAAUAAAUCAUUAUUUUUACAUUAUAAAUGUUUUAUAUUUAAUGGAAAAAUGAUUUUAUGAAAUUGAUUAUUUUUAUUCUUUUUAAAUAAAUCAUUAUUUUCACAUUAUAAAUGUUUCAUAUUAAUGGAAAAAUGAUUUUAUAAAAUUGGUUGUUUUUCAAAGUUUAUGGUUUAAUUAAAAGAAUUUUAAAAACUUUGAAAUAAAGAAGUAUUGCUUGAAAUUUUGGUAAAAGACUUAUUUGAAAAGUGUCAUUGUAUUGUGGGCUAUAUCAUAAUUUCAUAAAGUUUUGGAAAUAGUAAGUAUUAUUUAGAAAUUCUGAAAUUAGAUUUAUUUGCAAAGUUUUAUAACGUUUUGGGCCAUAGUACAGUUAUAUAAAAUUUGAGGGUCAAACUGUUAUUUUACAAAAUAGUUCACUGUAGCAGUCACUGUAGAAAACGGCGAUCCGACAUUUGGUUAACGGCUCGCCGACUUCGAACAUAAUUGAAGAUUAGUCUCUGGACACUAACGGUGAUCCGACAUCAGUUAACGGCGAUCCGACAAUUUGAAAAAUCAGCCCAACGGUCAUAUUGACCAGUCAAACAGCGAUCCGACAUCUAGCUAACGGCGAUCCGACAGUGUGCAGAAAGUCAAUAACGGCUAGUUUUCAGCUCCAACUAGAAAUAAGCUCAAUCCAAUUCAAACAAGAAGAAUUCCAACGAUCAUCAUUGAGCAAAAUAUUGAGAAUACAACUUUCAUUGAGCUUUAAAUCUUUGUAUUCAUCUCAUUCAUUCACACAUUGAGCUUUCACUUGUGAUCAAACACAUUGUGUGAGAGAGAUUCAUUUGUAAUCCUUUUUGUAAAAUCAAGUUAAAAGAUUGUAAGUGUUGGGAUACACUUGGGAUAAGAGAUUGGGGAUAAUCUCUUGUUGUAAAGGUCCAUUGACACCUUGGAAGUCAAUUGUAAGCGUUUGAAGCCUUGGGAGGCUAGCUUAGUGAAAUCCUCAAGCCCGGUGUGCUUGGAGGCGUGGACGUAGGCGGGGAUUGCCGAACCACGUAAAAAUCCUUGAGUUUGCUUUCUCUUCCCUUACUCAUUUAUUAUUGUGCUUUUAUUGAAUUUAUUGUUUUCGAAUUUGUUAAGGCAUUAGAUUGGAUUUGUGUGUGGUUUGCCUAGGAUAAUUUUUAAAAUCCCAAUUCACCCCCCCUCUUGGGUUGCCUAGUUAGUAUUUCACAGGUAACCUGUCAGACAUCAAAUAUGGCCCAAAUUUACAAAUGGGAUUGUCGCGUUAGUGCUUAGACAGUAAACAUUUGCUCUAGUAGCCUGAUUAAACAAGAAAUCGAGACAAGUGUUCAAAAUUUUAAUCUUUAUAUAUAGCCAAAAUGAUAAUGUAGUUGAUAAUACUGACCUGAGUUAAUAAAUACGGGGCUGGUAACAAUCACAGCAUCUCAUCAUGUGGGGAAAGCCUUCACAACAGAAGACGCUGCUUGCUUUGAAGCAAUAAUAACUUUCCAAUUCCAUAAGGUAGCUUAAUGACCUUUUAGGAUAUCAGCACCAGCCUAACAAUUAUUCAUGGAAAUUCGAUUUGCAUUUAUCACCUUUAAUUUGCUCAUCUUUGCCUAGAGUAUUGUUUUUGCGUAAACUUAACAAGCUUGUAAGCCACCUACAAAUGGUUUUAAAUAUGUGCGAGAGUGUGAAUUCGAACGAAUUAAUCAAAUAUGAUGACAGAAGAAACAAAAGCAAAACAACCACAAGACGUAGAAAUAUAUUUUUGUUAUAUUUAGAGCAUCUUCUACGGUCUUCUUUUCCUUUAGCUCUGUUUCUGUGUGUGUUCAAACGCAAUGCCUCAAGGCUCAAGAUGUUAGGAAAUUAGUGGGUGAAGCAGGACCGCAGCUAAAGUAAAAUUGGAAGAAAAAUAAAGAACAAGCACAAUAGAGGACACUAGAAAUUACUUGGUUCGGCGUUUAGCCUACGUCCACGGGUGAAAACAAAAGGAAAAUAUUAUACUAGUGAAAAAGAGUUACAAGUACUGUAGUAUUUUAGCUCACUACCUAAAACCCCAAUACACCCAAACUCUCAAAUUACUAGACUCUUAAAAUCACUCUCUAAAUAAAGAAAAGAACUGAAGAACUCGAUGAUUUACAAAUGAAGGGAGCCAGCAUUUUUAUAGCCAAAAUUGGUUACUGUUUAUUUAAUAUUUUAUUAUUAUUAUUAUUAUAUUAAUUUUUCUUUUCUUUUCCUUCUUCGGCCUGACAUCUCUUUUUCUUCCCUCUUUCUUCUUUUUCCUUUUUUUCUUUGGUUUCUUUCUUUGGGCGGCACCUCUUUUUUUUUUUUCUUCUUCAAACUGCUUCUUUUUCCAUUUUCCUUUUCAAGCAUUUUGGCUGGCCCAUUUUCAACAUUUCUAGAAGAGUGGUGCCCCAUAUUCAACAUUUCUCUCACUUAGAGAUUUGAUUGAGAAUCAAUCAAUCUCCACACCAUCCUUUCUGUUUCGCCAUAGUCAUGUUACCUACGUUUCUGCUAGGCCACAAGACGAUCUACUCCAGACAAACUUGUCAGUAUUGAUUGGCUUGAUCAUAACAUCUGCUAGGUUCUCUUUCGUAUGGAUUUUCUAUAAAUCUACACUUCUGUCUUCCACUACUUCUCGAACGAAGUGAUACUUAACUCCUAUGUGCUUUGUCCUGGAAUGAAAGGCUGGAUUCCUUGCAAUGUGCAAGGCACUCUGACUGUCACAAAACACAUGAAUUUUCUGUUGUUUCUGCCUGACCUCCUCCAAUAAUCUUUGUAUCCAAAUAGCUUCCUUGCAAGCUUGUAUAGCUGCCAUGUACUCUGCUUCUAUUGUAGAUAAAGCCACAACGGUCUGCAGUUUUGAAACCCAGCUUACAGCUGCUCCUGCAAGUGCAAACACAUAAUCAGUAGUGGAUUUCCUUUUAUCAAGGUCUCUUACAAAAUCUGAAUCCACAUAGCCCCUGACAGUAAACUCUGAUCUUCCAUAACAUAAUGUAACAUCUGAGGUUCCUCUGAUGUAUCUCAAAAUCCUCUUCGCAGUUAUCCAAUGCUUUCCACCAGGAUUCGUCAUGUAUCGACUAAUUGCUCCCACUGCUUGUGCAAUGUCUGGUCUUGUACAUAUCAUAGCGAACAUCAAACUUCCCACUGCUGAUGCAUACGGUACUCAAGACAUCUCCUUCCUCUCUGCUUCAUUGCUAGGACACAUACUUGAGGAUAAUUUGAAAUUAACAGGAAGUGGGGUAGAAAUUGACUUACAAUCUUGCAUGUUGAAGCGCCGCAAGAUUUUCUUCAAGUAAUUCUUCUGUGAAAUUCAAAUCUUCAUGUUAUUUCUGUCUCGGUGAAUUUGCAUCCCUAGAAUCUUGUUUGUUGGUCCCAAGUCCUUCAUUUCAAACUCCUUAGCCAAUUAUGCCUUCAAUUCUUAGAUUCGAUCUUUAUUGGGGCCUGCUACCAACAUGUCAUCCACAUACAAUAGCAAAAUAAUGAAAUCAUUAUCUUCAAACCUUUUGUAAUAUGCACAAUGGUCUGAACUGAGUUUGUUGUAUCCAAGGCUCAUGAUGAAGGAAUCAAAUCUCUUAUACCAACACCUCGGCGCCUGUUUGAGACCGUAUAGAGAUUUGUUCAACCUGCAAACCAAGUUCUCGUUUCCUGUUUCUGCAAAACCUUCUGGUUGUAGCAUAUAUAUUUCUUCUUCAAGUUCUCUAUGAAGAAAUGCAGUUUUCACAUCUAACUGCUCUAGAUGUAAGUCAAAUGUAGCACACAUCGCCAAGACUACUCUGACUGUCGUGAGUCGAACCACCGGCGAAAAUAUCUCGUUAAAGUCAAUACCUUCUUUCUGAGCAUAUCCUUUCACCACCAAUCUCACACGAUACCACUCCGCUUGGUCAUUGCCAUCACGUUUGAUCUUGUAGACCCAUUUGUUUCCAAUGGCUUUUCUUCCAUGUGGUAGUGGUACAAGUUCUCAUGUUUUAUUCUUGUGUAGAGCUUCAAUUUCUUCCUGCAUUACUAUCAUCCACAAAGUAACAUCUGAGCUUUCUAAAGUUUCAUGAAAAGUUGAAGGCUCUCCAUCCUCUGUUAGAAGACAGUACGCAACAUUAAUCUCUGUGACAUACUCUGAGUGCCACGCCGGUAGUCGUCUCUCACGAGUUAACCUACGAACUUCUAGAGCCUCGGACUCGACCGGUUCUUGUUAUUCGUGCUCUGGUGCUGUUUCAGAAGAAUCUGAAUCUUCUGGAUUAUUUUCCACAUAUACUGGCACAAUCUCUGACUUUUCUUUUGCAGUGCCAUCAUCCUUAUCUCUCCUUUGCAAUUGAUCUUCUAUAAAGAUAACAUCUCUGCUGAUGAUGAUCUUGUGGGUAGUGGGGUCCUACAGAUGAUACCCCUUUACUCCAUCAGCAUACCUCAAGAAGAUACAUCUUCUAGAUUUUGCAUCCAACUUUGUUCUUUCUUGGGCAUUGUACAUCACGUACACAUGACAUCCAAAUGCAUGUAGGUAGGAAUAAUCAGCUGACUUUCCAGUCCACAUCUCCAUCGCUGUCUUCAGCCCAAUUGUUGUAGAUGGCGACAGAUUUACUAUAUAACAAGCAGUUUUGGUUGCUUCUGCCCAGAAUGAAUUGGGUAGACCAGCAGUCCUCAACAUAGCUCUUAUUCUAUCUGUAAGAGUUCUGUUCAUCCGCCCUGCCACUCCAUUUUGUUGAGGAGUGUAUGCCACUGUGAACUACCUCUGAAUACCUUCUUGCUUACAGAAAGUAAGAAACUCGCCGUCUGUAUACUCUCCACCAUUAUCUGUCUUGAAGCACUUGAUCUUUUUACCAAAUUCAAGUUCCACCCGCGCUUUAUAUUCUUUAAAUACUAGAAAUACAUCUGACUUUUUCUUAAUUGGAUACACCCAACAUCUUCUGGAAUAAUCAUCAAUGAAAGUCACCAUCCCCUGGAUAUAUCCGGUGAUUCCCAAACAUCAGAAUGAAUCAAGUCUAAAAUGCAUUUACUUCUAACAACGGAUCUACUGAAUUUUAAUCUAUGUUGCUAACUGUUGUGCAAAUUUUAAUGUACUCGCAAGCGCACGAAUCUAUUGUAGUAUAGACUAAUGGUGACGAGUGUCGAUCCCACGAGGAGGUGGAUUUCAAUUGUAUAUAGAAUUAAUUUUGUAAAUGGGUGGUUGGAUUUGUGGUGGAAAUGAUUUGGAAUAUGCUAAAACUUAAAUUAAAAUGGCGAGAAUAAAUUCUGAAAUUGAAAUUGAAAUGACGAGAAUAAAUUGAAGCGAAGAUCUAUUGAAAUGACGUACUUGGGUAUCUGGAUCCGUAUCAACAUGCAUCAUGGGCUAAAUAAUCCGUAUUAAUGCCAAUUAAAUCAUGAGGGGGGAAUCCACACCUCAUGAACCACGCUCUAAUCAAUAUGGUGCUAAGGGCUUAUCGUGCCAAAUAAUAAUAACCUUUGUACUAGAGGGCCGGUGAAACCAAGGCGGUACUAGACAAGAUUAGUAUUAUUUGUCGACGAGAAGUCAAAACAUCCACAAAAAUUAGAGGGGAAGAGAAAGUAAAUUUACCAAAUAAAGCCCAUGACACAUGUUGAGACUUCACCUUCAACCCAAGCUUGAAAGAAAAUUAGCCACUCAUAAUUGAACUAGGGGCAAAAUGAAAAUUUAUUAAAAUACGAAGAAAAUACAAGAUGGAGAGAGAAUUACAGAAAAUGGAUCCCAAAAAUGGAUUCAGAGAUAUCAAAUUAGGGGGGGAAGGCCCCCUUUUUAUAGAUACAUGGAGUAAAUCAUGGCCAUCGGAUUAAAAACAGUUUGGACGCUCAGGAUUGCGCCACGUCAUCAGUCAACAGUCCACGGUUUGACCACGCGGAUGAACAGUAACACGGUUUUGACCCGGAUGAACAGUAACGCGGUUUGGUUGAAAAUAAUCCUGUGUAAUGCAUGCACCGUACGCGAGAUUUUUCGUCCACUGAUAUGCUGCCACGUCACCAUCAACAGUACAUAAGAAUUUUAGUCCAACAGGAUCGUGACACCUCAUCAGUCAAUGCCACAUCAUCGGUCAAUGCCACGUCAUCGAUCCGUCUAUGUGAACAGUGUCGUGAAAAGUAACAUAUACAGUACCGUAUACGUGAAUAGUACCGUACAUGUGAAUAGUGCCAUUUUUCCUUUUAUGCUCCUCCUAAGGUUUUCGACCGUCCUGAGUUCAAAAGUGAUGUCCGUUUUACCGUCUGAUCUCUCCUUUAUUGUGAAAUGACUAUAAUGCCCCUAAAAUACAUAAAAUACUUAAUUAAAAUAAAACACAUGUAAUUAAAUCACAAGAAGGUUAAAUACAUAAAAGUAAGGGUUGUUAGUAAGACUUGAAAUGUAAAAUGACAGAUUUCUCCUUUAUAAAUAUGCAUUUUCUAACACUCAACACACCCCCCAACCAGCUUAUUGCUAGUCCCUAGCAAAUAAAGCGAAAAUAAAAUUCAAAUCCAAAAUGAUUUUUUUUUUUUUAAUAAAAACACUCAUAUUUAUUCAAUCAGAUUAAUGAUAGCACUCAAAUAAAAGUAUAAGCAUUAUCUCCAGUCUAAAGCAACAUCACACCCACAUCAACCAUUCACAUGAAUCAGCCUAGUAGACUUUGUUAUAGCUACUUUCAAGAAUGACAUGUCAAACCCCAAAAUCUCACUGGAAGUAGUGACACUCUCACAAAGAAAUUAAAACCCAAUAAAAAUAGUCACUCCAAUGAAUGGUAAUUGAGAGAGAAAAUAAUAAAGAAGUGAUAUCACAUGCUCUCACCAAGAUGAAAUAAAUAUGCCCUCAGCUUAGAAAUAAUACGAUCUCAAGUCAAAUAAAAUGUUAGUCAACCCACUUUAUUUAUCUUUUUUUUUUUCUUUUUUUUUUUAUUAUGCAUCAUUACAUCUUUUUAGCCCAUUUAACUAGCUUCUACUUCAAACUAUAGUUCCCUAAAAUCAAGAAGGACUUUUAUUAGGACGUAACGUAGGCUAGGAAUAUGGCUAACAAAGAAAGGAAAUAAGGAAAAUAAAGUGUAUGUUUGAGAAAAAUGCAGAAUUAUUUUUUUUUUUUGGAAGUUGCAAGGUGGAUUUCACCUAUUAUUGUUAUUUUUAUUCUUUUGAAACAACAACUUUUGUUUUUGUUUUUUUUUUCUUUUUGCUUUUAUUUGGCAUAACUUCACUGAACAACAUAAUUAUUUACAUUUUCUCAAACAUAAAUAGGUGAUGGAACUUAAAAGACAUUGGGUAAUACUCCAAAUCGGAGUGGGUCAAGAUGAUAAGUUGACAAAGAAAAGGUUUUUGUUCUUUUUUUUUUUUUUUUUUUUUAAAGGCUCAAAAGGGGUAACUAUGGAUAUUUAAUAAAAGGGAUGGCUAGAAAGGCUCAAACGGAUCAAAGAUGGCCUUUCCAUCGUCUUUUAGGGCUCUAAAUAAUCAUCCAUAUCUACUAGUUAGAUGGGCCUCCCAAUGUAGCAACACAUAAUUUUUUUUUUAUUUUACAAUUUUUUUUUUUAAGGGUUAACUCAAAAGAAAUCUAGAGAUCGUAUAUACAAUAAUAAACUGCUAAGCUGUAUAAAGAAUGGGCAAAAGGGUUACUCUCCAAGAAAAAUGAUAGGCUCAAAAGCUCACUUGGUACUUAUUAUGACAUGUUCAUUCCUUCAAGCAACUCAUAUUUGUCUCCGACAUCAACAUGUAAAGUAGCAAACAUAGUGUAACAUCACUUCAGACUAAAGAUAAUACAAAUACUAAAAUUUGAAAUUCAUCAUGUCAUCCAAUGUUAACACAAAUCACAAUUUUUUUUUUUAAAUUUGAAACAACAUUCUACCCCCCAACCUAUUCUAAACAUGAAAGGAAAAUAUGCAUGCAAAAAUGUGAAAAUGAUGUAGAAAAAUUAAUUAGAAAAAAAAAUUUUUUUUUUUUUUAACUAAGAAGAUGCGUUUCUAGAGGCACGACACUCCAUAUUCAGCCAUCUUCGACUCAAAAAUUGGAAAAUAUAUAUUUAUAAAGGAGAAAGAGGAAGAAAACAAUUUUUUUUUAAACGAUGAAGAUGCGUUUCUAGAGUAACUACACUCCAUAUUCAGCCAUCUUCAACACAAAACGUUAGCAACAGUUAGUUUCUACAACAAAAAAUCAGUAAAAACUUAACCAAGAUUCCACAAUUGUCGACUAUUCCCUCCCCCCAACCAGAACGAAACAUUGUCCUCAAUGUUUGAAAGGAACGAAGUAGAGUUUAGAAGACAUCACCUGGGUGGUGCAACACAGAAGAAAAUAUUUACAGGCGGAGAGUUAAAUCUAAUUUGUACUUCUUACUGCGGCUACUGUUACCAUCAUUAUUUGGUCGCUCCAACACAAAGGUCCAGGGGUCUGGCUCCGGUUUAUAAGCUUGUAACAUAUCAAGUAGCUCAUUAGCAGUGUGAGCACAAAUAAAGAGUUUUUUCACAUUAGAAGGAAUGAAAUAGUUUUUUAUUGCAUGGUUAAGAAAUGCGAUAAAGCCAUCAUAAAAGUUAUUGACAUUUAACAAACCGAUGGGUUUCUGGUGAAUGUACAGAUGGGCCCAAGAUGAUAGUGUGAUAAGUGCCUCUAGUGUUGCAAGAUCUCCUGGAAGGAAAAUAAAAGCAUCAGCGUGAUUAAGCAUUUCGGUUAUUCUUUCUUGCAUACCUGAGACGACUAACUCUUCUCCAGUUGAUGAGUUAGACGAACUGCCCAAUGGUUUUAGGACUCUUGGGAUGAUGCCUAAUGUUGAGUGUUAGAAAAUGCAUAUUUAUAAAGGAGAAAACCGUCAUUUUACAUUUCAAGUCUUACUAACAACCCUUACUUUUAUGUAUUUAACCUUCUUGUGAUGUAAUUACGUGUGUGUUAUUUUAAUUAAGUAUUUUAUGUAUUUUAGGGGCAUUAUAGUCAUUUCACAAUAAAGGAGAGAUCAGACGGCAAAACGGACAUCACUUUUGAACUCAGGACGGUCGAAAACCUUAGGAGGAGCAUAAAAGGAAAAAUGGCACUAUUCACAUGUACGGUACUAUUCACGUAUACGGUACUGUAUAUGUUACUGUUCACGGCACUGUUCACAUAGACGGAUCGAUGACGUGGCAUUGACCGAUGAUGUGGCAUUGACUGAUGAGGUGUCACGAUCCUGUUGGACUAAAAUUCUUAUGUACUGUUGAUGGUGACGUGGCAGCAUAUCAGUGGACGAAAAAUCUCGCGUACGGUGCAUGCAUCACACAGGAUUAUUUUCAAUCAAACCGUGUUACUGUUCAUCCGCGUGGUCAAACCGUGGACUGUUGACUGAUGACGUGGCGCAAUCCUGAGCGUCCAAACUGUUUUUAAUCCGAUGGCCAUGAUUUACUCCAUGUAUCUAUAAAAAGGGGGCCUCCCCCCCCUAAUUUGAUAUCUCUGAAUCCAUUUUUGGGAUCCAUUUUCUGUAAUUCCCUCUCCAUCUUGUAUUUUCUUUGUAUUUUAAUAAAUUCCCAUUUUGCCCCUAGUUCAAUUAUGAGUAGCUAAUUUCCUUUCAAGCUUGGGUUGAAGGUGAAGUCUCAACAUGUGUCAUGGGCUUUAUUUGGUAAAUUUAUUUUCUUUUCCCCUCUAGUUUUUGUGGAUGAUUUGACUUAUCGUCGACAAAUAAUACUGAUCUUGUCUAGAUACCGCCUUGGUUACACCGGCUCUCUAGUAUAAGGUUAUUAUUAUUUGGCACGAUAAGCCCUUAACACCAUAUUGAUUAGAGCGUGGUUCAUGAGGUGUGGAUUCCCCCCUCAUGAUUUAAUUGGCAUUAAUACGGAUUAUUUAGCCCAUGAUGCAUGUUGAUACGGAUCCAGAUACCCAAGUACGUCAUUUCAAUAGAAUUCUCUUCAAUUUAUUCUCGCCAUUUCAAUUCCAAUUUCAGAAUUUAUUCUCACCAUUUUAAUUUAAGUUUUAGCAUAUUCCAAAUCAUUUCCACCACAGAUCCAAUCAACCAUUUGCAAAAUUAAUUCUAUACACAAUUAAAAUCCACCUCCUCGUGGGAUCGACACUCGUCACCAUUGAUCUAUACUACAAUAGAUUCGUGCACUUGCGAGUACAUUAAAAUUUGCACAACAAGUUUUUGGCGCCGUUGCCGGGGAGGUAAGUAAUUUUAAUUCAUAGAAUUAAUUUUUGUGAAUAAUUCCAUUUAAUUGUUUUCUUGUAUUUUUUAUUAUUUAAAAAAAAAAGAAAAAAAAAGUAAAUCUAUAUUUAAAGGUUAGUAUUUCUUUUCUUUUUCUCUUCUUUAAAAUUCUGUAAUUUAAUUUUCAAUUUAUUUUUUCUUUGUAAGUUUUGUUUAUUUUAUUAAUUUAAUUUUUAGUUAAUUUAUUUCACGUAUUUAUUUUUGUGUAUUUUUAUAGAAAGGUUGUAACAGCGUAAUAAGGUUAGUAUCGUAAUUUCUCCCUCUUCUUUAUUUUUAUUUGUUUUGUUCUCAUCUUUAUUUUUUAUUUGUUUUGUUCCCAUCUUUAUUUUUUUUGUUUUGUUUGCAUCUUUAUUUUUAUUUUAUUUAUUUUGCAUGCAUGGUCGUAGGUCAUUAUUACCUAAUCUUGAACCUAUAGACCUUGAACUAGAAAAAACACUUCGCACACAAAAACACAUUAAAAAUAAAUUUGGAAUGGAUUUACAAGCACCACAGGAGAGGCCAUUUAAGGACUAUUUUAGUCCCUUAGCUAAUUUGAGCACAUCAUGCAUAAGAUACCCAAAUGUAGCUGCUAGGAGUUUUGAAUUAAAACCUAGUGUGCUAAAUUGUCUCCCCACAUUCUAUGGCCUAGAAAAUGAGGACCCAUAUAAUCAUCUGAAUGAUUUUCAUGCCAUUUGUCAAACUUUUAAAUAUGAAAAUUUUUCAGACGAUGAUGUUAAACUUAGAUUAUUCCCAUUUUCUUUAAAGGAUAGAGCUCGUUCAUGGUUAAAUACUUUGCCUGCUAAUAGCAUUGCAUCAUGGGAACAAAUGGUUACAAAAUUUCUAAAUAAAUAUUUCCCAGUGCAUAAAACCAAUUCUAUUCGCAGGGAAAUUUCAGAGUUUAAACAAAGAGAGGACGAGCAGUUUUUCGAAACUUGGGAGCGAUUCAAUGGGCUACUCUUGAAGUGUCCACAUCAUGGGUACGAGAAAUGGCACCAAUGCCAAUACUUUUUGGAAGGGUUAUUGCCAAAUGUGCAAGAAUGGCUAAUGGCAACAAGUGGAGGAGAGCUAAUGUCAAAAAGCGCAACAGAGAUUUGGGAAUUCUUCCAGCGACAAGCGGAUAAUUCCCAACAACGGAGUCGAUCACUCAGGAAUACUAGAAGAAUUAAAGGAGUGAAUGAGGUUCAAAUUGGCGAGUCAACUUCGGGAAUCAAAGAAGUCAAGGAGAUGGUUGAAGGUCUUGCUCGACAAAUAGCAUCGUUGUCGACUGCUAAAUCAACAGAGCCACAUGACCAUGACUCAUACUCAGAUCAAGCCAAUGCCAUAGGUGUAAUGAGAAAGCCAUCUAAUUACAACCCAUACUCCAACACAUAUAACCCUGGAUGGAGAGACCACCCCAAUUUUUCAUGGUCUCAAGGAUUUCAACAGAAUGGACCAGCAGCUCCAGCUCCACCAAUGCAACAAAUUUCUCAAAAUCCUCAAGCCUCUCAGCCACCAUUCAGACCAUACAAUCAGAACCAGAACUACUCUCAACCCAGACCAUGGGAGGAUGCAUUCCAGAAUUUCAAGAAUGUUACUCACUCCACGAUUGAGCAACAGAACCGCACCAUUGAUGGAUUACGAAAUGAGUUGAGAGCAGGCUUCAACUCACAAGCCCAAUCAGUUUCAAGCCUUGAGAAGAUGGUGGGACAACUUGCUUCUUCAGUUCAGACCUUGGCAAUGACUGUUGAGAAAGGCAAGUUUCCAAGUCAACCAGUGCCUAAUCCUAAAGGAGUACAUGAAGCAAGUACCAGUUCACCACAGCAGCAUGGAGAGGUCAAAGCAGUCAUGACCUUGCGAAAAGGAAAGGAAGUCGACAACAAAGUGGAGAUGCCGGUGACAAAAGAAAAUCAAAUUGUACCUGUGAAUGUUGAGGACUCACCACCGGAGGAAAAAGAAGAAACCAACCCACGAGAAUAUGUUCCUAAAGCUCCAUUUCCUCAGAGGUUAGCGAAAGGAAAGAAGGGAAAAUCCACAGGUGAGAUUCUCGAAAUCUUCAAACAUGUAAGUGUUAACAUCCCUUUACUUGAUGCUAUUAAACAAGUUCCAUCUUAUGCCAAGUUUCUUAAAGACCUUUGUACUAAAAAGAGAAAUAUGCAUGUUCAAAAGAAGGCCUUUUUAACAGAAAACGUUAGUUCUAUACUCCAAUAUAAAAUUCCUCUAAAAUGCAAAGACCCAGGCUCCCCCACUAUCUCAUGUAGUAUAGGGAACCACACAAUUGAGAAUGCUUUGUUGGAUUUAGGAGCUAGUGUAAAUCUGUUGCCUUAUUCAGUAUUCGUGAAACUUGGACUGGGAGAAUUACACCCAACUCCAGUGGUGUUACAGCUUGCAGAUCGGUCCACAAAAAUACCUCGUGGUAUUGUGGAGGACGUGCUUAUCCAGGUAGACAAGUUUUAUUUUCCUGUUGAUUUCAUUGUAAUUGACACUCAACCAAUACAGGAUUCAAGGAAGCACAUCCCCAUUAUCCUAGGCCGACCUUUCUUGGCAACUGCGGAUGCUCACAUUCAAUGCAGGACUGGAAAUAUGCAGUUGUCCUUCGGCAACAUGACUAUGGAGCUAAAUAUUUUCAACAUUGCCAAACAACCUCACAGUGCAGAUGAUGGAAUUGUUGAUGUGGAUUUAAUAGAAACAAUAGUCGAUAAUACUUUUAUUUCAAAUCUUAGUGAUGACCCUUUACAGACAUGCUUAACUCACUUUGGUUUGGAUUUUGAUAUUGACAGAUCAGUUGAUGAGGUCAACGCUCUACUUGACUCAGCACCAUCCAUGGACACUAAUAAAUGGAAGUCAAGAGUUGAACAACUAGCACCAUCAGAGAAGAAACUCAUCCCAUCAUCAGAAUCACCACCGAAACUCGAGCUCAAACCAUUGCCCAACACAUUGGAAUAUGCAUUUUUGGGAGAAGAAAGUACUCUACCGGUAAUCAUCUCAUCAUCCUUAAAUGACGAACAAAAAGGUAAGUUGUUGGAUGUUUUAAAAGAGCACAAAGGAGCAUUAGGAUGGACCAUAGCAGACAUUAAAGGUAUAAACCCAGUAGACUGCAUGCAUUACAUUCACCUUGAUGAAAAUGCUAAAACUACUAGGGAGAUGCAACGUCGGUUAAAUCCUAAUAUGAAAGAAGUUGUUAGAACAGAAGUCCUUAAGCUAUUAGACGCAGGUAUCAUUUACCCAAUUUCUGAUAGUUCAUGAGUCAGUCCUGUACAAGUUGUCCCCAAAAAGUCAGGAGUCACAGUAGUUACCAAUGCUGAUAAUGAAUUGAUACCAACUAGAGUAACUACAGGAUGGCGUGUAUGCAUUGAUUAUAGAAAGUUGAAUUCUGUCACACGUAAAGACCAUUUUCCUUUACCAUUUAUUGAUCAAAUGCUCGAUAGAUUAGCAGGCCAUGAAUUUUAUUGCUUUCUAGAUGGCUACUCAGGAUAUAAUCAGAUUCCCAUAGCACCAAAAGAUCAAGAGAAAACUACUUUCACUUGCCCUUUUGGCACUUUUGCAUAUAGGAGAAUGCCAUUUGGAUUAUGUAAUGCACCUGCUACAUUCCAACGAUGCAUGUUGAGCAUUUUUUCUGAUAUGGUUGAACGAUUCCUUGAAGUCUUUAUGGAUGAUUUUUCUGUCUUUGGUGACUCGUUUGAUCAAUGUUUACAUCAUCUAAUGCUAGUUCUGCAGAGAUGUAUCGAGAAGAACUUAAUCUUAAAUUGGGAGAAGUGCCAUUUUAUGGUAAAACAAGGUAUUGUUCUCGGUCACAUCAUUUCGAGCAAAGGUAUUGAGGUUGACAAAGCCAAGGUGGAUCUCAUUUCUAAUCUUCCUCCACCUAAAACAGUCAGAGAAGUAAGAUCUUUCCUUGGACAUGCUGGUUUUUUAUAGACGUUUCAUUAAAGAUUUUAGCAAAGUUUCUAGACCCUUAUGCAAUUUACUUGCUAAGGAUGUACCUUUUAUCUUUAAUGAUUCAUGUCUUAUGGCUUUUGAAAAAUUAAAGCAAUUGUUGACAUCAUCACCCAUCAUUCAGGCCCCAAACUGGAGCUUACCAUUUGAGCUUAUGUGUGAUGCAUCUGAUUAUGCAGUAGGAGCAGUUUUAGGACAAAGAGUUGAUCGAAUUCCUCAUGUUAUUUACUAUGCUAGUAUGACAUUGAAUGAUGCACAGUUGAACUAUUCAACUACUGAAAAAGAAAUGCUAGCAGUAGUGUUUGCAUUGGAAAAAUUUCGAUCUUAUCUCAUUGGUUGUAAAAUAAUUGUGUUCACAGAUCAUGCUGCUCUUAAAUAUCUUCUCACAAAGAAAGAUGCAAAAGCUAGACUAAUUCGUUGGGUGUUACUUUUGCAGGAAUUUGACUUGGAAUUCAAAGAUAAGAAAGGGACAGAAAAUGUUGUGGCGGACCAUCUCUCUCGUCUCCACUUUGACACAAUUACAGAACCAUUACCAUUGAAUGAGUCAUUUCCAGAUGAACAAUUAAUGAAUGUGGAAGUAUUACCUUGGUAUGCUGAUAUAGUUAAUUAUCUUGUUACAGGUAAACUUCCAGAGCAUUGGACCAAGCAAGACAAGGCUAAAUUCUUUGCGGAAAUAAAGAAUUUCUUUUGGGAUGACCCGUAUUUGUUCAAGUAUUGUGCAGAUCAAAUUGUUAGGCGAUGUGUCCCAGAAAGUGAAAUUCAGAAUAUCCUGUCAUUCUGCCAUGCACAAGCUUGUGGAGGCCACUUCAGUGCUAAGAAAACAGCGACUAAAGUUUUACAAUGUGGUUUCUAUUGGCCAACUAUAUUUCGAGAUGCUUACACUUUCUGUUCUUCAUGUGAUAGGUGUCAACGAAUGGGGAGUAUUACACGAAGGAACAUGAUGCCACUAAAUCCAAUUUUAGUGGUUGAGAUUUUUGACGUAUGGGGUAUCGACUUCAUGGGACCCUUUCCCCCUUCUUUUGGCCAUCAAUACAUAUUGGUUGGUGUUGACUACGUCUCGAAAUGGGUAGAAGCAAUUCCAUGUAGGACCAAUGAUCACAAAGUGGUGAUAGGAUUUUUGAAAAGCAACAUUGUUUCACGCUUUGGAUUCCCUCGAGCGAUAAUCAGUGAUGGUGGUGCCCACUUUUGUAACAAAACAUUCAAAGUUCUUUUGACAAAGUAUUCAAUCACACACAAAGUGGCGACCCCGUAUCAUCCGCAAACCAGUGGCCAAGUUGAGAUCUCCAAUCGAGAAAUCAAGCACAUAUUAGAAAAAAACGGUGAGGCCAGACAGAAAAGAUUGGUCAUUAAGACUUGAUGAUGCAUUAUGGGCAUAUAGAACGGCUUUCAAGACCCGAUUGGGAUGUCACCUACAGGCUAGUGUAUGGAAAAGCUUGCCACCUACCUGUGGAACCGAGCAUCGUGCAUAUUGGGCCAUCAAGAAAUUCAAUUUUGACAUGCAGCAAGCCAGCUCAGAAAGAAGAUUACAACUGGCAGAACUUGAAGAAAAUUCGCAAUGAUGCAUACGAAAAUGCCAAGAUUUACAAGCAACGAAUGAAAGUCUUUCAUGACAAGCACAUUAUGAGAAAAUCGUUCACUCCAGGUCAGAAAGUGCUUUUUAUUCAAAUUCUCGUUUGCACCUAUUCCAGGUAAGUUACGCUCCUCGAUGGUCUGUCCCUUUAUUGUUCAUACUAUUUUUCCACAUGGGGCAAUUGAAAUUAAAGACCCAAAGAACGGUGUCACGUUUAAAGUUAAUGGUCAAAGAUUAAAGCCAUAUCUAGAGUACCAACCACAUGGAGAAGACACCGAAAUAAAUUUGAGUGACCCACCAGAUUUGAAUUGAUUUUUUUCUUUUUGUUGAUUUGAUUUUUCUUUCUUUCUUUUUAUUAUUCUUUUGCUAAUUGAAAUUAUUUUUGCAUAAGUGUGUUUGUUUUACCAUUAAGUUUUCUUUUUUCUUAUCAUUGUUAAUCAUGAGUACCAUACUUAGACCGUUCCUCCUGAACAUUCUUAAACCACUUCAACGUGUCAAAACUCAUCUCAAAAAGCAGAUUCAAUUUUGUAAAACACAACGCAUUUGGGCUCUACAACCACCAGAGUUAGUAGCCUAUGUUGAGGGUUUAGAACGCCAACUCAGAGACAUUGAAGAAGUGUUUACGACAUCCAGUUGGAGCUUGAGGUAAAUUCAAUAAGAGGACGAUUUUAAUUUUCUUUGUGUGUUUUUAAUUUGUUUUUUCUGUUGUGUGCUUUAGUUUGUUACCCCGGUGAAAUGGCGGAUAACGGUACUCCGUGACAAUCAAGUCGGUUACUUCAGUUUCCCACAAUAACUGACAUUCUGAGGUGAAAGUAUGGACAGAAACGAGAUUCUAGCGAAGCUUCACAAGCGAUUCCCUUCACUUCCUCAGAAUGCCCUCCUUACAAUCUAUAAAGCCCGGUCUGAACGCAUGCGAUUGCUCAUGAAGAAUAACAUACCUGCUGACAUCCGUUGGUUAAUCGAGGCUAAAGUACGAUCGGCAGGUGAGUUACCUCCAAAAUUUAUUGCAUUCAUGCUUGGUUGUGGUAAAGGAAAUUAUGCAAAAGAAAACGACGAGCUCGAAGAAUUUCUGUUGCUUGUCAUAAGUGUGCCAGAAUGAGUUGCGAUAGAAACCCAUGUUCUUUAGGAAUGGUGUCUGAUAACAGGGAAGAUAAGAUUCAAUUCAUUAGGGAUGGCUUGAAUAAGGAGUCAUUGGAUGAUAUCCUUUUGUCUCUUGAAACGCAUCCCAGUGGAUAUGUGCAAGGAGCGAUUCUCCAGUUAUGGCCAUUAUUCCAGAAAGAGCAUACACGAUAUAGUCUCGGGAAUCUGACUAUAAACGACCCUGUUUGCCAGUUUAUAAGAAAACUGGAUGGGAAGCCCAUCCUCGACCCAUAGAGGCGUUUCAAGCCGUUUCUGGACGUAAAACCAGAGGAAGAUGUGAGCCACAGUCGCAACUACGUGUAAAUAUCCUUUUACUUUACUGUUAUUUAUUUCAUUUCACUAUUGUUUAUCGUUUGCAUUAUUGCCUUUAAUAAUUUUAUUACUGUUUGCUUUUUCCUUUUUACUGUUCCUUUUUGACUCGCGAGCCACGUGCUUUACGCGUUAUUUGACACUGACAUUCAAAAGAAGGCCUUUUUAACAGAAAACGUUAGUUCUAUACUCCAAUAUAAAAUUCCUCUAAAAUGCAAAGACCCAGGCUCCCCCACUAUCUCAUGUAGUAUAGGGAACCACACAAUUGAGAAUGCUUUGUUGGAUUUAGGAGCUAGUGUAAAUCUGUUGCUUUAUUCAGUAUUCGUGAAACUUGGACUGGGAGAAUUACACCCAACUCCAGUGGUGUUACAGCUUGCAGAUCGGUCCACAAAAAUACCUCGUGGUAUUGUGGAGGACGUGCUUAUCCAGGUAGACAAGUUUUAUUUUCCUGUUGAUUUCAUUGUAAUUGACACUCAACCAAUACAGGAUUCAAGGAAGCACAUCCCCAUUAUCCUAGGCCGACCUUUCUUGGCAACUGCGGAUGCUCACAUUCAAUGCAGGACUGGAAAUAUGCAGUUGUCCUUCGGCAACAUGACUAUGGAGCUAAAUAUUUUCAACAUUGCCAAACAACCUCACAGUGCAGAUGAUGGAAUUGUUUGAUGUGGAUUUAAUAGAAACAAUAGUCGAUAAUACUUUUAUUUCAAAUCUUUAGUGAUGACCUUUACAGACAUGCUUAACUCACUUUGGUUUGGAUUUUUGAUAUUGACAGAUCAGUUGAUGAGGUCAACGCUCUACUUGACUCAGCACCAUCCAUGGACACUAAUAAAUGGAAGUCAAGAGUUGAACAACUAGCACCAUCAGAGAAGAAACUCAUCCCAUCAUCAGAAUCACCACCGAAACUCGAGCUCAAACCAUUGCCCAACACAUUGGAAUAUGCAUUUUUGGGAGAAGAAAGUACUCUACCGGUAAUCAUCUCAUCAUCCUUAAAUGACGAACAAAAAGGUAAGUUGUUGGAUGUUUUAAAAGAGCACAAAGGAGCAUUAGGAUGGACCAUAGCAGACAUUAAAGGUAUAAACCCAGUAGACUGCAUGCAUUACAUUCACCUUGAUGAAAAUGCUAAAACUACUAGGGAGAUGCAACGUCGGGUUAAAUCCUAAUAUGAAAGAAGUUGUUAGAACAGAAGUCCUUAAGCUAUUAGACGCAGGUAUCAUUUACCCAAUUUUGAUAGUUCAUGGAGUCAGUCCUGUACAAGUUGUCCCCAAAAGGUCAGGAGUCACAGUAGUUACCAAUGCUGAUAAUGAAUUGAUACCAACUAGAGUAACUACAGGAUGGCGUGUAUGCAUUGAUUAUAGAAAGUUGAAUUCUGUCACACGUAAAGACCAUUUUCCUUUACCAUUUAUUGAUCAAUGCUCGAUAGAUUAGCAGGCCAUGAAUUUUAUUGCUUUCUAGAUGGCUACUCAGGAUAUAAUCAGAUUCCCAUAGCACCAAAAGAUCAAGAGAAAAUACUUUCACUUGCCCUUUUGGCACUUUUGCAUAUAGGAGAAUGCCAUUUGGAUUAUGUAAUGCACCUGCUACAUUCCAACGAUGCAUGUUGAGCAUUUUUUCUGAUAUGGUUGAACGAUUCCUUGAAGUCUUUAUGGAUGAUUUUUCUGUCUUUGGUGACUCGUUUGAUCAAUGUUUACAUCAUCUAAUGCUAGUUCUGCAGAGAUGUAUCGAGAAGAACUUAAUCUUAAAUUGGGAGAAGUGCCAUUUUAUGGUAAAACAAGGUAUUGUUCUCGGUCACAUCAUUUCGAGCAAAGGUAUUGAGGUUGACAAAGCCAAGGUGGAUCUCAUUUCUAAUCUUCCUCCACCUAAAACAGUCAGAGAAGUAAGAUCUUUCCUUGGACAUGCUGGUUUUUAUAGACGUUUCAUUAAAGAUUUUAGCAAAGUUUCUAGACCCUUAUGCAAUUUACUUGCUAAGGAUGUACCUUUUAUCUUUAAUGAUUCAUGUCUUAUGGCUUUUGAAAAAUUAAAGCAAUUGUUGACAUCAUCACCCAUCAUUCAGGCCCAAACUGGAGCUUACCAUUUGAGCUUAUGUGUGAUGCAUCUGAUUAUGCAGUAGGAGCAGUUUAGGACAAAGAGUUGAUCGAAUUCCUCAUGUUAUUUACUAUGCUAGUAUGACAUUGAAUGAUGCACAGUUGAACUAUUCAACUACUGAAAAAGAAAUGCUAGCAGUAGUGUUUGCAUUGGAAAAAUUUCGAUCUUAUCUCAUUGGUUGUAAAAUAAUUGUGUUCACAGAUCAUGCUGCUCUUAAAUAUCUUCUCACAAAGAAAGAUGCAAAAGCUAGACUAAUUCGUUGGGUGUUACUUUUGCAGGAAUUUGACUUGGAAUUCAAAGAUAAGAAAGGGACAGAAAAUGUUGUGGCGGACCAUCUCUCUCGUCUCCACUUUGACACAAUUACAGAACCAUUACCAUUGAAUGAGUCAUUUCCAGAUGAACAAUUAAUGAAUGUGGAAGUAUUACCUUGGUAUGCUGAUAUAGUUAAUUAUCUUGUUACAGGUAAACUUCCAGAGCAUUGGACCAAGCAAGACAAGGCUAAAUUCUUUGCGGAAAUAAAGAAUUUCUUUUGGGAUGACCCGUAUUUGUUCAAGUAUUGUGCAGAUCAAAUUGUUAGGCGAUGUGUCCCAGAAAGUGAAAUUCAGAAUAUCCUGUCAUUCUGCCAUGCACAAGCUUGUGGAGGCCACUUCAGUGCUAAGAAAACAGCGACUAAAGUUUUACAAUGUGGUUUCUAUUGGCCAACUAUAUUUCGAGAUGCUUACACUUUCUGUUCUUCAUGUGAUAGGUGUCAACGAAUGGGGAGUAUUACACGAAGGAACAUGAUGCCACUAAAUCCAAUUUUAGUGGUUGAGAUUUUUGACGUAUGGGGUAUCGACUUCAUGGGACCCUUUCCCCCUUCUUUUGGCCAUCAAUACAUAUUGGUUGGUGUUGACUACGUCUCGAAAUGGGUAGAAGCAAUUCCAUGUAGGACCAAUGAUCACAAAGUGGUGAUAGGAUUUUUGAAAAGCAACAUUGUUUCACGCUUUGGAUUCCCUCGAGCGAUAAUCAGUGAUGGUGGUGCCCACUUUUGUAACAAAACAUUCAAAGUUCUUUUGACAAAGUAUUCAAUCACACACAAAGUGGCGACCCCGUAUCAUCCGCAAACCAGUGGCCAAGUUGAGAUCUCCAAUCGAGAAAUCAAGCACAUAUUAGAAAAAACGGUGAGGCCAGACAGAAAAGAUUGGUCAUUAAGACUUGAUGAUGCAUUAUGGGCAUAUAGAACGGCUUUCAAGACCCCGAUUGGGAUGUCACCCUACAGGCUAGUGUAUGGAAAAGCUUGCCACCUACCUGUGGAACUCGAGCAUCGUGCAUAUUGGGCCAUCAAGAAAUUCAAUUUUGACAUGCAGCAAGCCAGCUCAGAAAGAAGAUUACAACUGGCAGAACUUGAAGAAAUUCGCAAUGAUGCAUACGAAAAUGCCAAGAUUUACAAGCAACGAAUGAAAGUCUUUCAUGACAAGCACAUUAUGAGAAAAUCGUUCACUCCAGGUCAGAAAGUGCUUUUAUUCAAUUCUCGUUUGCACCUAUUCCCAGGUAAGUUACGCUCUCGAUGGUCUGGUCCCUUUAUUGUUCAUACUAUUUUUCCACAUGGGGCAAUUGAAAUUAAAGACCCAAAGAACGGUGUCACGUUUAAAGUUAAUGGUCAAAGAUUAAAGCCAUAUCUAGAGUACCAACCACAUGGAGAAGACACCGAAAUAAAUUUGAGUGACCCACCAGAUUUGAAUUGAUUUUUUUCUUUUUGUUGAUUUGAUUUUUCUUUCUUUCUUUUUAUUAUUCUUUUGCUAAUUGAAAUUAUUUUUGCAUAAGUGUGUUUGUUUUACCAUUAAGUUUUCUUUUUUCUUAUCAUUGUUAAUCAUGAGUACCAUACUUAGACCGUUCCUCCUGAACAUUCUUAAACCACUUCAACGUGUCAAAACUCAUCUCAAAAAGCAGAUUCAAUUUUGUAAAACACAACGCAUUUGGGCUCUACAACCACCAGAGUUAGUAGCCUAUGUUGAGGGUUUAGAACGCCAACUCAGAGACAUUGAGAGAAGUGUUUACGACAUCCAGUUGGAGCUUGAGGUAAAUUCAAUAAGAGGACGAUUUUAAUUUUCUUUGUGUGUUUUAAUUUGUUUUUCUGUUUGUGUGCUUUAGUUUGUUACCCCGGUGAAAUGGCGGAUAACGGUACUCCGUGACAAUCAAGUCGGUUACUUCAGUUUCCCACAAUAACUGACAUUCUGAGGUGAAAGUAUGGACAGAAACGAGAUUCUAGCGAAGCUUCACAAGCGAUUCCCUUCACUUCCUCAGAAUGCCCUCCUUACAAUCUAUAAAGCCCGGUCUGAACGCAUGCGAUUGCUCAUGAAGAAUAACAUACCUGCUGACAUCCGUUGGUUAAUCGAGGCUAAAGUACGAUCGGCAGGUGAGUUACCUCCAAAAUUUAUUGCAUUCAUGCUUGGUUGUGGUAAAGGAAAUUAUGCAAGAAAACGACGAGCUCGAAGAAUUUCUGUUGCUUGUCAUAAGUGUGCCAGAAUGAGUUGCGAUAGAAACCCAUGUUCUUUAGGAAUGGUGUCUGAUAACAGGGAAGAUAAGAUUCAAUUCAUUAGGGAUGGCUUGAAUAAGGAGUCAUUGGAUGAUAUCCUUUUGUCUCUUGAAACGCAUCCCAGUGGAUAUGUGCAAGGAGCGAUUCUCCAGUUAUGGCCAUUAUUCCAGAAAGAGCAUACACGAUAUAGUCUCGGGAAUCUGACUAUAAACGACCCUGUUUGCCAGUUUAUAAGAAAACUGGAUGGGAAGCCCAUCCUCGACCCAUAGAGGGCGUUCAAGCCGUUUCUGGACGUAAAACCAGAGGAAGAUGUGAGCCACAGUCGCAACUACGUGUAAAUAUCCUUUUACUUUACUGUUAUUUUAUUUCAUUUCACUAUUGUUUUAUCGUUUGCAUUAUUGCCUUUAAUAAUUUUAUUACUGUUUGCUUUUUCCUUUUUACUGUUUCCUUUUUGACUCGCGAGCCACGUGCUUUACGCGUUAUUUGACACUGACAUGUUACCUCAUUCACAGCUGUGAUCCACUGUCACCAAGAUUCUUAAAUGUGAUUUACUUUUUGUCAAGCACUCACAAAUUGUUUUUGAGAAAUAUUCCAAUGGCAGCUACUCCCAAUAGACAAUUCAAGAACAUUUGUGUGCUUUCUGGAUUUACCUAUGGCAAACAUAAAGAGUUCGUGGAGGCAGCCAUAGAUCUUGGUCGAAGCAUAGCAGCGAGAAAAUUACACUUGGUGUAUGGAGGAGGUAACCGAGGGUUAUCAAAAAUGGUUUCAGAAGCAGCUUUUAUCAGAGGAAGUCAAGUGUUAGGCAUCAUCCCAAGAGUCUUAAAACCAUUGGGCAGUUCGUCUGACUCAUCAACUGGAGAAGAGUUAGUCGUCUCAGGUAUGCAAGAAAGAAUAACUGAAAUGCUUAAUCAUGCUGAUGCUUUUAUUUUCCUUCCAGGAGAUCUUGCAACACUAGAGGCACUUAUGACACUAGCAUCUUGGGCCCAUCUACACAUUCACCAGAAACCCAUCGGUUUGUUAAAUGUCAAUAACUUUUAUGAUGGCUUUAUCGCAUUUCUUAACCAUGCAAUAAAAAACUAUUUCAUUCCUUCUAAUGUGAAAAAACUCUUUAUUUGUGCUCACACUGCUAAUGAGCUACUUGAUAUGUUACAAGCUUAUAAACCGGAGCCAGACCCCUGGACCUUUGUGUUGGAGCGACCAAAUAAUGAUGGUAACAGUAGCCGCAGUAAGAAGUACAAAUUAGAUUUAACUCUCCGCCUGUAAAUAUUUUCUUCUGUGUUGCACCACCCAGGUGAUGUCUUCUAAACUCUACUUAUUUCCUUUCAAACAUUGAGGACAAUGUUUCGUUCUGGUUGGGGGGAGGGAAUAGUCGACAAUUGUGGAAUCUUGGUUAAGUUUUUACUAAUUUUUUGUUGUAGAAACUAACUGUUGCUAACUUUUUGUGUUGAAGAUGGCUGAAUAUGGAGUGUAGUUACUCUAGAAACGCAUCUUCAUUGUUCGAAAAAAAAUAAAAAUUCUUUUUCUUUAUUAAGUUUUGAUGUUCAUUUUUCUUCUUCUUUUUAUUUUCUCCUCUAUAAAUAUACAUUUUCCAACUUUUGAGUCGAAGAUGGCUGAAUAUGGAGUGUAGUGCCUCUAGAAACGCAUCUUUAAAAAAAAAAAAAAAAAAAAAAACCAUUUUCUUUUCCUAUCAUUUUAAGUGUAACUUUUCUAAUUAGUUUUUCUACAUCAUUUUCGCAUUUCUGCAUGCAUAUUUUCCUUUCAUGCUUAGAAUAGGUUGGGGGUAGAAUGUUGUUAAAAAAAAAAAAAAAAAAAAAAAAAAUUUGUGUUAUUUGUUUUAACAUUGGAUGACAUGAUUAAUUUCAAAUUUUAGUAUUUGUAUUAUCUUUGGUCUUAAGUGAUGUUACGCUAUGUUUGCUACUUUACAUGUUGAUGUCGGAGACAAAUAUGAGUUGCUUGAAGGAAUGAACAUGUCAUAAAUAAGUGCCAAGUGAGUUGUUGAGCCUAUCAUUUUCUUGGAGAGUAACCCUUUUGCCCAUUCUCUAUACAGCUUAGCAGUUUAUUAUUUUAUACACGAUCUCUAGAUUUCUUUUGAGUUAACCCUUUAAAAAAAAAAUGGUAAAAUUAAAAAAAAAAGAAAAAAGAAAAAAAAUGUGUGUUACUACAUUGGGAGGCCCAUCUAACUAGUAGAUAUGGAUAAUUAUUUAGAGCCCUAAAAGACGAUGGAAAGGCCAUCUUUGAUCCGUUUGAGCCUUUCUAGCCAUCCCUGUUAUUAAAUAUCCAUAGUUACCCCUUUUGAGCCUUUAAAAAAAAAAAAAAAAAAAAAAAACCUUUUCUUUGUCAACUUAUCAUCUUGACCCACUCUGAUUUGGAGUAUUACCCAAUGUCUUUUAAGUUCCAUCACCUAUUUAUGUUUGAGAAAAUGUAAAUAAUUUUGUUGUUCAGUGAAGUUAUGCCAAAUAAAAGCAAAAAGAACAAAAAAAAACAAAAACAAAAUUUGUUGUUUCAAAAGAAUAAGAAUAACAAUAAUAGGUGAAAUCCACCUUGCAACUUCCAAAAAAAAAAAAAAAAAAAAAAAUUUGCAUUUUUCUCAAACAUACACUUUGUUUUCCUUAUUUCCUUUCUUUGUUAGCCAUAUCCCUAGCCUACGUUACGUCCUAAUAAAAGUCCUUCUUGAUUUUAGGGAACUAUAGUUUGAAGUAGAAGCUAGUUAUAUGGGCUAAAAAGAUGUAGUGAUGCAUAAUAAAAAAAAAAAAGAUAAAUAAAGUGGGUUGACUAACAUUUUAUUUGACUUGAGAUCGUAUUAUUUCUAAGCUGAGGGCAUAUUUAUUUCAUCUUGGUGAGAGCAUGUGAUAUCAUUUCUUUAUUAUUUUCUCUCUCAAUUACCAUUCAUUGGAGUGACUAUGUUUAUUGGGUUUUAAUUUCUUUGUGAGAGUGUCACUACUUCCAGUGAGAUUUUGGGGUUUGACAUGUCAUUCUUGAAAGUAGCUAUAACAAAGUCUACUGGGCUAAUUCAUGUGGAUGGUUGAUGUGGGUGUGAUGUUGCUUUAGACUGGAGAUAAUGCUUAUACUUUUAUUUGAUUGCUAUCAUUAAUCUGACGGAAUAAAUACGAGUGUUUCUAUUAAAAAAAAUAUAUAUAUAUUUUAAAUUUGAAUUUUGUUUUCGCUUUAUUUGCUAGGGACUAGCAAUAAGCUGGUUGGGGGGUGUGUUGAGUGUUAGAAAAUGCAUAUUUAUAAAGGAGAAAACCGUCAUUUUACAUUUCAAGUCUUACUAACAACCCUUACUUUUAUGUAUUUAACCUUCUUGUGAUGUAAUUACGUGUGUGUUAUUUUAAUUAAGUAUUUUAUGUAUUUUAGGGGCAUUAUAGUCAUUUCACAAUAAAGGAGAGAUCAGACGGCAAAACGGACAUCACUUUUGAACUCAGGACGGUCGAAAACCUUAGGAGGAGCAUAAAAGGAAAAAUGGCACUAUUCACAUGUACGGUACUAUUCACGUAUACGGUACUGUAUAUGUUACUGUUCACGGCACUGUUCACAUAGACGGAUCGAUGACGUGGCAUUGACCGAUGAUGUGGCAUUGACUGAUGAGGUGUCACGAUCCUGUUGGACUAAAAUUCUUAUGUACUGUUGAUGGUGACGUGGCAGCAUAUCAGUGGACGAAAAAUCUCGCGUACGGUGCAUGCAUCACACAGGAUUAUUUUCAAUCAAACCGUGUUACUGUUCAUCCGCGUGGUCAAACCGUGGACUGUUGACUGAUGACGUGGCGCAAUCCUGAGCGUCCAAACUGUUUUUAAUCCGAUGGCCAUGAUUUACUCCAUGUAUCUAUAAAAAGGGGGCCUCCCCCCCCUAAUUUGAUAUCUCUGAAUCCAUUUUUGGGAUCCAUUUUCUGUAAUUCCCUCUCCAUCUUGUAUUUUCUUUGUAUUUUAAUAAAUUCCCAUUUUGCCCCUAGUUCAAUUAUGAGUAGCUAAUUUCCUUUCAAGCUUGGGUUGAAGGUGAAGUCUCAACAUGUGUCAUGGGCUUUAUUUGGUAAAUUUAUUUUCUUUUCCCCUCUAGUUUUUGUGGAUGAUUUGACUUAUCGUCGACAAAUAAUACUGAUCUUGUCUAGAUACCGCCUUGGUUACACCGGCUCUCUAGUAUAAGGUUAUUAUUAUUUGGCACGAUAAGCCCUUAACACCAUAUUGAUUAGAGCGUGGUUCAUGAGGUGUGGAUUCCCCCCUCAUGAUUUAAUUGGCAUUAAUACGGAUUAUUUAGCCCAUGAUGCAUGUUGAUACGGAUCCAGAUACCCAAGUACGUCAUUUCAAUAGAAUUCUCUUCAAUUUAUUCUCGCCAUUUCAAUUCCAAUUUCAGAAUUUAUUCUCACCAUUUUAAUUUAAGUUUUAGCAUAUUCCAAAUCAUUUCCACCACAGAUCCAAUCAACCAUUUGCAAAAUUAAUUCUAUACACAAUUAAAAUCCACCUCCUCGUGGGAUCGACACUCGUCACCAUUGAUCUAUACUACAAUAGAUUCGUGCACUUGCGAGUACAUUAAAAUUUGCACAACACCUAACACUUGACUUCCUCUGAUAAAAGCUGCUUCUGAGACCAUUUUUGAUAACCCUCGGUUACCUCCUCCAUACACCAAGUGUAAUUUUCUCGCUGCUAUGCUUCGACCAAGAUCUAUGGCUGCCUCCACGAACUCUUUAUGUUUGCCAUAGGUAAAUCCAGAAAGCACACAAAUGUUCUUGAAUUGUCUAUUGGGAGUAGCUGCCAUUGUGAUACUUCUCAAAAACAAUUUGUGAGUGCUUGACAAAAGAUAAAUCACAUUUAAGAAUUUUGGUGACAGUGGAUCACAGCUGUGAAUGAGGUAACAUGUCAGUGUCAAAUAACGCGUAAAGCACGUGGCUCGCGAGUCAAAAAGGAAACAGUAAAAAGGAAAAAGCAAACAGUAAUAAAAUUAUUAAAGACAAUAAUGCAAACAAUAAAACAACAGUGAAAUGAAAUAAAAUAACUGUAAAAUAAAAGGAUAUUUACACGUAGUUGCGACUGUGGCUCACAUCUUCCUCUGGUUUUACGUCCAGAAACGGCUUGAACGCCCUCUAUGGGUCGAGGAUAGGCUUCCCAUCCAGUUUUCUUAUAAACUGACAAACAGGGUCGUUUAUAGUCAGAUUCCCGAGACUAUAUCGUGCAUGCUCUUUCUGGAAUAAUGGCCAUAACUGGAGAAUCGCUCCUUGCACAUAUCCACUGGGAUGCGUUUCAAGAGACAAAAGGAUAUCAUCCAAUGACUCCUUAUUCAAGCCAUCCCUAAUGAAUUGAAUCUUAUCUUCUCUGUUAUCAGACAUCAUUCCUAAAGAACAUGGGUUUCUAUCGCAACUCAUUCUGGCACACUUGUGACAAGCAACAGAAAUUCUUCGAGCUCGUCAUUUUCUUGCAUAAUUUCCUUUACCACAACCAGGCAUGUAUGCAAUAAAUUUAGGAGGUAACUCACCUGCUAAUCGUACUUUAGCCUCGAUUAACCAACGGAUGUCUGCAGGUAUGUUAUUCCUCAUGAGCAAUCGCAUGCGUUCAGACCGGGCUUUAUAGAUUGUAAGGAGGGCAUUCUGAGGAAGUGAAGGAAAUCGCUUGUGAAGCUUUGCUAAAAUCUCAUUUCUAUCCAUACCUUCUCCUCAGAAUAUCAGUUAUUAUGGGAAACUGAAGUUAACCGACUUGAUUGUCACGGAGUACCGUUAUCCGCCACUUUACCGGGGUAACAAACUAAAACACACCAAAAAGAAAAACAAAUUAAAACACACAAGGAAAAUUAAAAUCGUCCUCUUAUUGAAUUUACCUCAAGCUCCAACUGGAUGUCGUAAACACUUCUCUCAAUAUCUCGGAGUUGGCUUUCUAGAUUCUCAACAUAGGCUACUAACUCUGGUGGUUGUAAAGCCCAAAUGCGAUGUGUUUUACAAAAUUGAAUCUGCCUUUUGAGAUGAGUUUUGACACAUUGAAGUGGUUUAAGAAUGUUCAGGAGGAACGGUCUAAGUAUGAUACUCAUGAUUAAAAAUGAUAAGAGAAAACUUAAUAGUUAAACAAACAAACACACUUAUGCAAAAAUAAUUUCAUUUAGCAAAAGAAUAAUAGAAAGAAAGAAAGAAAAAUCAAAUCAGCGAAAAGAAAAAAAAAUCAAUUCAAUUCUGGUGGGUCACUCAAAUUUAUUUCGGUGUUUUCUCCAUGUGCUUGGUACUCUAAAUAUGGCUUUAAUCUUUGACCAUUGACUUUAAACGUGACACCGUUCUUUGGGUCCUUAAUUUCAAUUGCCCCAUGUGGAAAAACAGUAUGAACAAUAAAUGGACCAGACCAACGAGAGCGUAACUUACCUGGGAAUAGGUGCAAACGAGAAUUGAAUAAAAGCACUUUCUGACCUGGAGUGAACGAUUUUCUCAUAAUGUGCUUGUCAUGAAAGACUUUCAUUCAUUGCUUGUAGAUCUUGGCAUUUUCGUAUGCAUUAUUGCGAAUUUCUUCAAGUUCUACCAGUUGUAAUCUUCUUUCUGAGCUGGCAUGCUGCAUAUCAAAGUUGAACUUCUUGAUAGCCCAAUAUGCACGAUGCUCGAAUUCCACAGGUAGGUGGCAAGCUUUUCCAUACACUAGCCUGUAGGGUGACAUCCCAAUCGGGGUCUUGAAAGCCGUUCUAUAUGCCCAUAAUGCAUCAUCAAGUCUUAAUGACCAAUCUUUUCUGUCCGGCCUCACCGUCUUUUCUAAUAUGUGCUUUAUUUCUCGAUUGGAGAUUUCAACUUGGCCACUGGUUUGCGGAUGAUUAGGGGUGGCCACUUUGUGAGUGAUUGAAUACUUUGUCAAAAGUGCUUUAAAUGCUUUGUUACAAAAGUGGGCACCACCAUCACUGAUUAUUGCUCGAGGGAAUCCAAAGCUUGAGACAAUGUUGCUUUUCAAAAAUCCUAUCACCACUUUGUGAUCAUUGGUCCUACAUGGAAUUGCUUCUACCCAUUUCGAUACAUAGUCAACAGCAACCAAUAUGUAUUGAUGGCCAAAAGAAGGGGGAAAGGGUCCCAUGAAGUCGAUACCCCAUACGUCAAAAGUCUCAACCACUAAAAUUGGAUUUAGUGGCAUCAUGUUCCUUCGUGUAAUGCUCCCCAUUCGUUGACACCUAUCACAUGAAGAACAGAAAGUGUAAGCGUCUCGAAAUAUAGUUGACCAAUAAAAACCACAUUGUAAAACUUUAGUCGCUGUUUUCUUAGCACUGAAAUGGCCUCCACAAGCUUGUUCAUGACAAAAUGAAAGGAUAUUCUGAAUUUCACUUUCUGGGACACAUCGUCUAACAAUUUGGUCUGCACAAUACUUGAACAAAUACGGGUCAUCCCAAAAGAAAUUCUUUAUUUCUGCAAAGAAUUUAGCCUUGUCUUGCUUGGUCCAAUGCUCUGGAAAUUUACCUGUAACAAGAUAAUUAACUAUAUCAGCAUACCAAGGUAAUACUUCCACAUUCAUCAAUUGUUCAUCUGGGAAUGACUCAUUUAAUGGUAAUGGCUCUGUAAUUGUGUCAAAAUAGAGACGAGAGAGAUGGUCCGCCACGACAUUUUCUAUGCCUUUCUUAUCUUUGAAUUCCAAGUCAAAUUCCUGCAAAAGUAAUACCCAACGAAUUAGUCUAGCUUUUGCAUCUUUCUUUGUGAGAAGAUAUUUAAGAGCAGCAUGAUCUGUGAAUAUAAUUAUUUUACAACCAAUGAGAUAAGAUCGAAAUUUUUCCAAUGCAAACACUACUGCUAGCAUUUCUUUUUCAGUAGUUGAAUAGUUCAACUGUGCAUCAUUCAAUGUCAUACUAGCAUAGUAAAUAACAUGAGGAAUUCGAUCAACUCUUUGUCCUAAAACUGCUCCUACUGCAUAAUCAGAUGCAUCACACAUGAGCUCAAAUGGUAAGCUCCAGUUUGGGGGCUGAAUGAUGGGUGAUGAUGUCAACAAAUGCUUUAAUUUUUCAAAUGCAACAAGACAUGAAUCAUUAAAGACAAAAGGUACAUCCUUAGCAAGUAGAUUGCAUAAGGGUCUAGAAACUUUACUAAAAUCUUUAAUGAAACGUCUAUAAAAACCAGCAUGCCCAAGGAAAGAUCUUACUUCUCUGACUGUUUUGGGUGGAGGAAGAUUAGAAAUGAGAUCCACCUUGGCUUUGUCAACCUCAAUACCUUUGCUUGAAAUGAUGUGACCGAGAACAAUACCUUGUUUUACCAUAAAAUGACACUUCUCCCAAUUUAAGACUAAGCUCUUCUCGAUACAUCUCUGCAGAACUAAUGUUAGAUGAUGUAAACAUUGAUCAAACGAGUCACCAAAGACAGAAAAAUCAUCCAUAAAGACUUCAAGGAAUCGUUCAACCAUAUCAGAAAAAAUGCUCAACAUGCAUCGUUGGAAUGUAGCAGGUGCAUUACAUAAUCCAAAUGGCAUUCUCCUAUAUGCAAAAGUGCCAAAAGGGCAAGUGAAAGUAGUUUUCUCCUGAUCUUUUGGUGCUAUGGGAAUCUGAUUAUAUCCUGACUAGCCAUCUAGAAAGCAAUAAAAUUCAUGGCCUGCUAUCUAUCAAGCAUUUGAUCAAUAAAUGGUAAAGGAAAAUGGUCUUUACGUGUGACAGAAUUCAACUUUCUAUAAUCAAUGCAUACACGCCAUCCUGUAGUCACUCUAGUUGGUAUCAAUUCAUUAUCGGCAUUCGUAACUACUGUGACUCCUGACUUUUUGGGGACAACUUGUACAGGACUGACCCAUGAACUAUCAGAAAUUGGGUAAAUGAUACAUGCGUCUAAUAGCUUAAGGACUUCUGUUCUAACAACUUCUUUCAUAUUAGGAUUUAACCGACGUUGCAUUUCCCUAGUAGAUUUAGCAUUUUCAUCAAGGUGAAUGUAAUGCAUGCAAUCUACAGGGUCUAUACCUUUUAUGUCUGCUAUGGUCCAUCCUAAUGCCCCUUUGUGCUCUUUUAAAACAUCCAACAACUUACCUUUUUGUUCAUCAUUGAGGGAUGAUGAAAUGAUUACCGGCAAAGUACUUUCUUCCCCCAAAAAUGCAUAUUCCAAAGUGUUGGGUAAUGGUUUGAGCUCGAGUUUCGGUGGUGAUUCUGAUGAUGGGAUGAGUUUCUUCUCUGAUGGUGCUAGUUGUUCAACUCUUGACUUCCAUUUAUUAGUGUCCAUAGAUGGUGCUGAGUCAAGUAGGGCAUUGACCUCUUCGACCGAUCUGUCAAUAUCAAAAUCAAAACCAAAGUGAGUUAAGCAUGUCUGUAAAGGAUCAUCACUAAGGUUUGAAACAAAAGUGUCAUCAACUAAUGCUUCUAUUAAAUCCACAUCAACAAUUCCAUCAUCUGCAUUGUGAGGUUGUUUGGCAAUGUUGAAGAUGUUCAGCUCCAUAGUCAUGUUGCCGAAGGACAACUGCAUAUUUCCAGUCCUACAUUGAAUGUGAGCAUCCGCAGUUGCCAAGAAAGGUCGGCCUAAAAUAAUGGGGAUGUGCUUCCUUGAAUCCUGUAUAGGUUGAGUGUCAAUUACAAUGAAAUCAACAGGAAAAUAAAACUUGUCUACCUGGAUAAGCACGUCCUCCACAAUACCACGAGGUAUUUUCGUGGACCGAUCUGCAAGUUGUAACACCACUGGAGUUGGGUGUAAUUCUCCAAGUCCAAGUUUCACAAACACAGAGUAAGGCAACAAAUUUACACUAGCUCCUAAAUCCAACAAAGCAUUCUCAAUUGUGUGGUUCCCUAUACUACAUGAGAUAGUGGGGGAGCCUGGGUCUUUGCAUUUUAAAGGAAUUUUAUGUUGGAGUAUAGAACUAACGUUUUCUGUUAAAAAUGCCUUCUUUUGAACAUGCAUAUUUCUCUUUUUAGUACACAGGUCUUUAAGAAACUUAGCAUAAGAUGGAACUUGUUUAAUAGCAUCAAGCAAAGGGAUGUUAACACUUACCUGUUUGAAGAUUUCAAGAAUCUCACCUGUCGAUUUUCCCUUCUUUCCUUUAGCUAACCUCUGAGGAAAUGGAGCUUUCGGAACAUAUUCUCGUGGGUUGGUUUCUUUUUUCUCCUCUGGUGAUGAGUCCUCAACAUUCACAGGUACAAUUUGAUUUUCUUUGGUCACCGGCAUCUCCACUUUGUUGUCGACUUCUUUACCUUUUCGCAAGGUCAUGACUGCUUUGACCUCUCCAUGCUGCUGUGGUGAACUGGUACUUGCUUCAUGUACUCCUUUAGGAUUAGGCACUGGUUGACUUGGAAACUUGCCUUUCUCAACAGUCAUUGCCAAGGUCUAAACUGAAGAAGCGAGUUGUCCCACCAUCUUCUCCAGGCUUGAAACUGAUUGAGCUUGUGAGUUGAAGCCUGCUCUCAACUCAUUUCGUAGUCCAUCAAUGGUGCGGUUCUGUUGCUCAAUCGUAGAGUGAGUAACAUUCUUGAAAUUUUGGAAUGCAUCCUCCCAUGGUUUAGGUUGAGAGUAAUUCUGGUUUUGAUUGUAUUGUCUAAAUGGGGGCUGAGAGGCUUGAGGAAUUUGAGGAAUUUGUUGCAUUGGUGGAGCUGGAGCUGCUGGUCCAUUCUGUUGGAAUCCUUGAGACCAUGAAAAAUUGGGGUGGUCUCUCCAUCCAGGGUUAUAUGUGUUGGAGUACGGGUUGUAAUUUGAUGGUUUUCUCAUUACACCUAUAACAUUGGCUUGAUCUGAGUAUGAGUCAGGGUCAUGUGGUUCUGUUGAUUUAGCAGUCGAUAACGAUGCUAUUUGUCGAGCAAGACCCUCAACCAUCUCCUUGACUUCUUUGAUUCCCGAAGUUGACUCGCCAAUUUGAACCUCAUUUACUCCCUUAAUUCUUCUAGUAUUCCUGAGUGAUCGACUCCGUUGUUGGGAAUUAUCCGCUUGUCGCUGGAAGAAUUCCCAAAUCUCUGAUGCACUUUUUGACAUUAGCUCUCCUCCACUUGUUGCCAUUAGCCAUUCUUGCACAUUCGGCAAUAAUCCCUCCAAAAAGUAUUGGUAUUGGUGCCAUUUCUCGUACCCAUGAUGUGGACACUUCAAGAGUAGCCCAUUGAAUCGCUCCCAUGUUUCGAAAAACUGCUCGUCCUCUCUUUGGGUAAACUCUGAAAUUUCCCUGCGAAUAGAAUUAGUUUUAUGCACUGGGAAAUAUUUAUUUAGAAAUUUUGUAACCAUUUGUUCCCAUGAUGCAAUGCUAUUAGCAGGCAAAGUAUUUAACCAUGAACGAGCUCUAUCCUUUAAAGAAAAUGGGAAUAAUCUAAGUUUAACAUCAUCGUCUGAAAAAUUUUCAUAUUUAAAAGUUUGACAAAUGGCAUUAAAAUCAUUCAGAUGAUUAUAUGGGUCCUCAUUUUCUAGGCCAUAGAAUGUGGGGAGACAAUUUAGCACACUAGGUUUUAAUUCAAAACUUCUAGCAGCUACAUUUGGGUAUCUUAUGCAUGAUGUACUCAAAUUAGCUAAGGGACUAAAAUAGUCCUUAAAUGGCCUCUCCUGUGGUGCUUGUAAAUCCAUUCCAAAUUUAUUUUUAAUGUGCUUUUGUGUGCGAAGUGUUUUUUCUAAUUCAAGGUCUAUAGGUUCAAGAUUAGGUAAUAAUGACCUACGACCAUGCAUGCAAAACAAAUAAAAUAAAAAUAAAGAUGGGAACAAAACAAAUAAAAAUAAAGAAGAUGGAGAAAUUACGAUACUAACCUUAUUGCGCUAUUACAACCUUUCUAUAAAAAUACACAAAAAUAAAUACGUGAAAUAAAUUAACUAAAAAUUAAAUUAAUAAAAUAAACAAAAAUUACAAAGAAAAAAUAAAUAAAUUGAAAAUUAAAUUACAGAAUUUUAAAGAAGAGAAAAAGAAAAGAAAUACUAACCUUUAAAUGUAGAUUCACUUUUUUUUUUUAAUAAAAAAUACAAGAAAACAAAUAAAAGAAAUUAUUCACAAAAAUUAAUUCUAUGAAUUAAAAUUACUUACCUUCCCGGCAACGGCGCCAAAAACUUGUUGUGCAAAUUUUAAUGUACUCGCAAGCGCACGAAUCUAUUGUAGUAUAGACUAAUGGUGACGAGUGUCGAUCCCACGAGGAGAUGGAUUUUAAUUGUAUAUAGAAUUAAUUUUGUAAAUGGGUGGUUGGAUUUGUGGUGGAAAUGAUUUGGAAUAUGCUAAAACUUAAAUUAAAAUGGCGAGAAUAAAUUCUGAAAUUGAAAUUGAAAUGACGAGAAUAAAUUGAAGCGAAGAUCUAUUGAAAUGACGUACUUGGGUAUCUGGAUCCGUAUCAACAUGCAUCAUGGGCUAAAUAAUCCGUAUUAAUGCCAAUUAAAUCAUGAGGGGGGAAUCCACACCUCAUGAACCACGCUCUAAUCAAUAUGGUGCUAAGGGCUUAUCGUGCCAAAUAAUAAUAACCUUUGUACUAGAGGGCCGGUGAAACCAAGGCGGUACUAGACAAGAUUAGUAUUAUUUGUCGACGAGAAGUCAAAACAUCCACAAAAAUUAGAGGGGAAGAGAAAGUAAAUUUACCAAAUAAAGCCCAUGACACAUGUUGAGACUUCACCUUCAACCCAAGCUUGAAAGAAAAUUAGCCACUCAUAAUUGAACUAGGGGCAAAAUGGAAAUUUAUUAAAAUACGAAGAAAAUACAAGAUGGAGAGAGAAUUACAGAAAAUGGAUCCCAAAACUGGAUUCAGAGAUAUCAAAUUAGGGGGGGAAGGCCCCCUUUUUAUAGAUACAUGGAGUAAAUCAUGGCCAUCGGAUUAAAAACAGUUUGGACGCUCAGGAUUGCGCCACGUCAUCAGUCAACAGUCCACGGUUUGACCACGCGGAUGAACAGUAACACGGUUUGGUUGAAAAUAAUCCUGUGUGAUGCAUGCACCGUACGCGAGAUUUUUCGUCCACUGAUAUGCUGCCACGUCACCAUCAACAGUACAUAAGAAUUUUAGUCCAACAGGAUCGUGACACCUCAUCAGUCAAUGCCACAUCAUCGGUUAAUGCCACGUCAUCGAUCCGUCUAUGUGAACAGUGUCGUGAAAAGUAACAUAUACAGUACCGUAUACGUGAAUAGUACCGUACAUGUGAAUAGUGCUAUUUUUCCUUUUAUGCUCCUCCUAAGGUUUUCGACCGUCCUGAGUUCAAAAGUGAUGUCCGUUUUGCCGUAUGAUCUCUCCUUUUUUGUGAAAUGACUAUAAUGCCCCUAAAAUACAUAAAAUACUUAAUUAAAAUAAAACACAUGUAAUUAAAUCACAAGAAGGUUAAAUACAUAAAAGUAAGGGUUGUUAGUAAGACUUGAAAUGUAAAAUGACAGAUUUCUCCUUUAUAAAUAUGCAUUUUCUAACACUCAACACUAACUUGUAACACAAUACUCGCAAAAUGGUAAACUUACCAAUUUGAGCCCUGGAAGCAAUUUUCGCUCAGAGAGAAUCCUCAAACCUUGUUAUGACAUGUGGCGAAGUUUGAGAUGCCAUAUUAUCAUUGACUCUUCUCCAUUUGAUGCGACACACGCAUCAGCCUCCUGUAGUGUUUCUCCUUUAAACAUGAAUAGAUUAGCACCGAUCUUUUCUGCCUUCAUCAAUACAAGCACGCCUUUAACGAUCUUCAUAAUUCCAUUCUCCACAUGAGUUUUGUACCCAUGACUAUCCAUUUGUCCCAAAGACAAUAGAUUUUUCUUCAGGUCGUUGACAUGUCGUACCCCCCCCCCCCCAAUUGUGCGAAUUAUACCAUCAAACAUUUUUAUUUUGAUAGUACCAAUAUCAGCGAUCUCCAAGGCAUGAUCAUCUCCUAUAUAUACAAAUCCUCCUGAGAUAGGUUCAUAUGUGUGGAACCAUUCUCUCCGAGAGGUCAUGUGCCAGGUAGCUCCUGAGUUUAUAAGCCAGACAUCAGAUGUCGUUUUCUGCCUUUUGAAAUAGUUGUUGCCUCGCUGUAGAGAAUUUCACCAUCAUCUGAGGUACUUGCUACACACCCUUGAGCAUUUGAUGACUCAGGUUCUUUGCCAUCUCUUCUCUUCUGGUUACUCCAACACUCUUUCUUGAUGUGCCAUUUCUUGCCACAGUUAUAGCAUUUAACAUUCUUCUUACUUCUGGAUUUUGAUCUACCAUGAUUGUGAAUCCCACUAGGGCCACAUUCCGUUGAUCUCCCUCUUGUCACCGAUAGCGCCUUCGCUUGCUGCGAACUUGCUUGUUUGUUUUCCUUAUUUUUCUGCCUGCUCUCCUCAUUUAAUACGGAGGCUGCAACAUCGUCGAAAACUAGAUUGUCUGCUGGAUUGUUGUUCGUCAGGUUGAUGAUGAGUUGAUCAUACGAAUCUGGUAGACUUUGAAGUAGAAGCUCUGCACGUUCAUUUUCCUCUAUAUUAUGACCCAUCGUUGUGAGUUGUGAAAAUAGAGUUUUCAAGGUGUUAAUGUGGUCGGUCACCAUUGUAGAUUCCGCCAUUCAAAGAGCAUAGAGUUUCCUCUUCAAGAAGAUUUUGUUGUGUAGUAACUUGACCUCGUACAAUUUUGUAAGAGUAUCCCAUAUUUCCUUCGCUGUAUUUUUCUCUGCCACACUGGAUAAUACUCCAUCUGCAAGUGCCAAGUGUAGAUCAGAAAUGGCGUUACCAUCUACCUCAUUCCACUUGUCAUCAGUUAUCUCCAUGGGCCUUUCUACAAUUACUGCCAAGCAAUUAUUUUUCCUCAAUACAGCUUUCAUCUUCAUUUUUCACAACGAAAAAUUAUUUCCGUUAAACUUCUCAAUUUCAUACUUUGCCACCAUUUUGUUGAUAAAUACCGCACACAAGCUAGUGUACCACCUUGAAUAGUUGUGAGUAUGUGUGAGAAUGCACAGCAGGAAAGUUCCCAGGAAAGACUGGAGGGGUCACAAUGGUGCCACUUAAAACCCAGACUCCUUAAGCUCUUAUCGCCUUUGUGACAGAACUUUCUUAGACAUGUACAAAACCACACAAUUGUUUUACUCACACCACUAUUCCCUGCUUUGCACCGCAAAAUUAUUGGAUCGCUCCCACCGUUUCACGUGAAUAGUACCAUAUACGUGAACAGUACCAUAUACAUGAAUAGUACCCCUUAUGUGACAGUACCCGACUCUAAAAAUACAACCAAUAGCUUUGAUACCACUGUUAGGAAAUUGGUGGGUGAAGCAGGACUGCAGCUAAAGUAAAAUUGGAAGAAAAAUAAAGAACAAGCACAAUAGAGACACCAGAAAUUACGUGGUUUGCCUUUUAGUCUAUGUUCACGGGCGAAAACAGAAGGAAAAUAUUAUACUAGUGAAAAGGAAUUACAAGUACUGUAGUAUUUUAGCUCACUACCUAAAACCCCAAUACACCCAAACUCUCAAAUCACUAGACUCUUAAAAUCACUCUCUAAAUAAAUAAAAGAACUGAAGAACUCAAUGAUUUACAAAUGAAGGGAGACAACAUUUUUAUAGCCAAAAUUGGCUACUGUUCAUUUAAUAUUUAAUUAUUAUUAUUAUUUUAUUAAUUUUUCUUUUCUUUUCCUUCUUCGGCCUAGCAUCUCUUUUUCUUCUCUCUUUUUUCUUUUUCCUUAUUUUCUUUGGUUUCUUUCUUUGGGCGGUACCUCUCAUUUUUUUUUCUUCUUCAAACUGCUUCGUUUUCCAUUUUCCUUUUCAAGCAUUUCGGUUGGCCCAUUUUCAACAUUUCCAGAAGAGUGGUACCCCAUAUUCAACACAAGAUAAUUUUAUGACCAUCAAUCUUUUGCAGCCAUAUGCAGACUUGAAACACUGUAGUGUCCCUAAGGAACUUGAAAAUUAGAAAGUUUCAGAAUGAGUGACUAAAUAUGAUAAUCGAAACUAAUUUAAUAUACACGCCUUGUAAAUCUGAAACUAAAUUACUCAAAUGUAUAUGCCUCUUCACAGCAAUUGCUCGUGGUGGAAAGUUUACUGCAAAGACUUCCUCAAACCCUUGAAGAUCACACUCUUCCUGGCAACAAAGAAACAGAGUCAAUAUACGAAGAUGAUUUUAUUAACAAGUGAGAGCUUGCAAAUAUUGGAAGGAUAACGAUUAGUCAUAACCCAAAUCCCCAAUGCCUUCUAAUAUCUCACUCACUUGAGUUCAAGCUCCCAAAAUUCACUACAGUGAAACCCUCACAACAAAAUUCUCUUCAAAGAUUCUCUACUCAAAUUUGAUUAAGUUGAUUAGAAUCCUUAACCUGAUAACUUAAACAAAAACAACUUGCCUAAAGUUUAAUAUUUAGAGGCUGAACAGUAAAGAAGAAGAUAUAUAUUGAUACUAAAAUUUGACCUGUAUUAUUCUGACGUAAAAAAUCACGACAUCUCAUAUGGGCAAAAUCUUCACAAUACGAGAUGCUUGCAAAAUUGAAGCAGCAUCUUAUCACCUGUAAUUUAAUUAAGACAAUAACUUUCCCCAACUAUUUCAAUGCAUUAUUGGCAACUAAAUUCAGAGGGCGCUAAUUAAAUAUCCUUUUAAUAAUAUCUUCUUAUUCUUCUCCAAUCUAACAGUUAUUUGGAAAUCUGAAAAGAGGUUCAACAUUUUACAACCAAUAAAAAAUCACUGAACCAUUGGAAAGUGAUUUACGUAUAAUUUUUUUUUUCCAAAUUUUGUCCAAAGUGAUGAAUGAGAUAGGAUGACACAAGAAACAAAUUUAAAUUGACCGCAAGUAGAAAUAUACUUCUGUUAUAUUUGCAACAUCUUCUAGGGUCAAUUGCUUUUCCUUGAGCUCUGUUUCUGCAUGUGCUCAAAUGCAACACACAUACCACAAGAUAUAAUUAUCAACAUGAAUCUUUUGCCGCCAUAUGCAGCACUUAGAAAACUGUUUAUGGCCAUAAAGAACGGGAAAAUCAGAAAUCAUUAACAACGAGAGAAAUCAUUUUAAUCACAGGCAAACAUACACACUAAGAAAAUCUAGAAUUGAAUUUCUCCUAAUGAAUGUGCCUCUUCACAGCAAUUGCACAAGCUAAUCCCAGCAGCCUGCAUCAUCGAGCUUCUCCCAAUGAGUGAGUGAGCCUUGAACAGUUAUCACUUAGCUCAAACUAAAAUGAAAUUAUUGUGGACAUCUGAAUUAAAUAUACAUGUAAAAGGAGUUUUCUCAAAGCAAGGUCAAGAUAAGAGAUUAACUCUGCUCCUUAUUUACAGUAAAAAUAACAAACAAUGAAAAACAGAGCUAGAGAAGAACUUACCUGUGCAUUGAGACCAUGUGGAGAAUGUGAGAUAUCUUCUUAUAUUUGGUUUGAGAAACUCCAUCUUCUUCUGAAAGUUCUGGCAGUUCCCUAAACCCAGGCCAAUACAAUUGCAACAGAAACUGCAUGCUUUAACCAGCAUCUUAUCAUCUCUUCUUAUUUCAAGACAAGAAUAACUUAAUUGCAAGUUUACAACAUUGCGUGAUUCCACCAUUAACCUUUUCAAUUUCAACACUUCUUUUGUCCCCCGCCCGAUGCCCUUUUAAAAAUUCUAUGAAUCAGAUAAAUCAUUCUUCAACCCCAAAUUCCUUCCGAAUCCGUGGAAGCAUUUCAGCCCACAGACGGUUUGCUUUGUCAAUAUACAGCAACUCAGGAUUCUAUAUUUAAACUAUGAUGUUUGAUGACUUGCUGAUGCAAAAAACAUUGCCCCAAGCACUUUUUUACAGGAAUUAAAAUCAAGCCAGUCACUUCCAUUUGUUGCAGUUUUAAUGCAGAAAGAAAAAGGGGCAAAAAAAUCCGCAAGAUGCCACUUGUAAUACCGCAUGUUCGCAAAAGCAGAGUUAAAUAAUUACAAAAUUACAUUCUUGAUUGCACAGAAAUAAUAUAUAGCAAAACAAGCAUAAGGAAAUAACAAUAUAAUUUUACAUUUUUCAGCUUUUGGACUACGUCACAGUCAGAGACGUGAAGAGAAUUUUACUAAGAAAUAAGAGUGUACUAAUAUUAAAGAAAACAUUCACUAAUCGCUAAUAUAUGCUUAAUUUCUCACCCACUAAGAAUGUUCAAUUCACUCAAAUGAAACUUUCACAAGAAAGUCUCAUUAUUAAGGCUUUAGCUUUACUUCACAUGCUCAACAAUUCAAAUUUGAGGAUGAUAUUUCUCAAAAUGGAGGGCUCUAUUUGGCUUGCCAACAAUCUUCCUCACUACUAUCAUCCUUGCUAUACCGGUUGCACUGGACAAUCUUCAUUCUGACAUUUGCCCUGUUAACCUGAGUACACAAGAAUCCAAAACAACUGUUAGAAAUUUUAAUCUUUAUACAUAGCCAAAAUGGUGAAUAAAAUGAUGUACUUGAUAACAAAAACCUGAUUUAAUAAAUAAUUAAGCGGCCGAUAACAAGCACAGAAUCUCAUCGUGUGGGGAAAGCCUUGACAACAGAAGAUGGUGCUUUCAUUCAAGCAAUGAUAACUUUCCAAUUUCAUAAGGUAGCUUAAUGCCCUUUUAAGAAUAUCUGCACCAGCCUGACAAUUAUUGAUGAAAAUUCAAAUUCAGAAUCAUGUUCGUAUGAGAGAUGAAAUGUAAUGAGCAACUUGGCCACCAUGUAUGCAUUUAUCACUUCAAUUUGCUCAUCUUUGUCUAGAUUAUUGCUUAUGCGUUAACUGAAUUAGCGUGCAAGCCACCUGAAAAUGGUUUUAAAUAAUGAGAGUCUGGAUUCGAAUGAAUUAAUCAAAUAUGAUGACAGAAAAUACAAAUGUAAAAUAACCACAAGAAGUAGAAAUAUACUUUUGUUAGAUUUAGAGCAUAAUUCUUCUGUCAAGUUCUUUUCCAUUAGCCUUGUUUCUGUGUGUGCUCAAACGCAAUUCCUCAACACUUAAGAUAGUUUCUGCAGACCUGAAAAACUGGUUGUGGCCCUAAGGAACUUGAAAAUUAGAAAAGAUUCAGAAUGAGUGAAAAUCUAAUUAAACAUACACGCCCUGAAAAUCUGAAACUGAAUUACUCAAAUGAAUAUGCCUCUUCACAGCAAUUGGUUGAAACUUUACUGCAAAGACUUUUUGAAACCCUUGAAGAUAAUACACUACCUGAUAACACAAGGAAACACAAUCAAUAUAAGAAGAUGAUUUUACAAACAAAUGAAAGCUUGCAAUUAUUGAGAGAGCUCUACUCAAAUUUAAUGAGAUAUCUCUCAGAAUGGAGAGCUCUAAUAAUAUAUAAAGCCAAAAAUCUAACACUCAUCAAAUUGGCUUGUGAACAAUUAAUCUUCCUUGCCAUCAUAAAUGCCAGGUAUGGUGAACAAUCUUCAUUCUGACAUUUGCCUUAAUAAGCUGCUUAGUAUCCUUAACCUGAUAACUUACACAAACAAAAACAACUUCACUAAAGUUUAUUCUUUAAAGGCAAAACUGUAAACAAGAUGAUAUAUGCUGAUACAAAAAAAUGACCUAAGUUAUCCUGAUGUCAAGAAUCACAGAACCUCAUGUGGGCAAAAUCAUCGCAAUACAAGAUGCUGAAUUCAAGCAACAUCUUAUCACCUAUAAUUUAAUUAAGACAAUAACUUUCCUCAACUAUUAGCCUUCUCAAUUUCAAUGUAUUAUUGGCAACUAAAUUUAUAGGGGACGUAGCUAAUUAAAUGCCCUUUUAACAAUAUCUUCCCCACCUAACAAUUAUUUGGAAAAUCUAAAUGACAAUCAUGCAUUGAUGGCAUAAAAAAUUGGCCACAAAGCUGCCUAGAAAAAGGCUUUAAAUUCUUAAUGAGACAACGUAUUCGAACAAAUAUGCUGAAUGAAGAGACAAAGGCAUAACACCUCAGGAAGUAAAGCUCUGUUUCUGUAUGUGCUCAAACCAAUGGAAACCCAUGGAAAUGAAUUUCUACAAAUUAGAUAUGUCAGCCAAAACAGGUACUCUAUACAAGCAAAGUAAAAGAGAGUUAACAAAAAAUUUUAAGAUAAUUAAACUUUUAGUCACCAUAUAAUUAAUAGAAAACUUUGUACACAAUGAUUUAUAUGAGAUUAAGAUUGUAUACCUAAGUUUUAAUUGCAAACUAAAUACACACAAAAUGAUAUUAGCAUUAGAAGACUGCACCAAAACGUACCGAAUUGAAUGUACCUCUCAACGGCCAUUUUACAUGCAUUGAAAGUUUACCGCAAAAGCUGUUUCAAACGUGAUGCAUCUUAGAGAUGCAAGAUGAGAAAUUGUUAGUACAACUAGCAUUGAAACAUGUGUGAAAACUGUUAAUGGACCUAAAUAACUUGAAAAUCAGAAAAGAUUAGGAAUGAGUGACUAAGCCUGCUAAUCGCAACUGAGCAAAUUAUUGAAGAAAUAUAUAUCUCAUUUUCUCUUCUUUUAUAAUAGGAUUACAUAAUACAUUUAUAGAUUCUAAACUACAUAACGUGCAAGAGUAGGAAAGUAAACAACUGCAGACCAAGAAACUAGGAAACAAACUCUAUCAAAAAACUGAAAUUCUAUCCCUAUCUUUUUUCUUUUCUAUCCCUAUCUUUUUUCCUUAAAAAUAGGAUAGAAAACAUGUGACUUUUCCACACUCCCCCUCAAGCUGGUUCGAAAAUAUCAAUCAUUCCUAGCUUGCUAGUUAGUGACUCAAAGCUUGAUUUAUGGAGUCCUUUAGUAAGAAUAUCGGCUAGCUGCUUUAUUGUUGGAAUAAAGGUCAUGCAUAUCAAACCACUUUCUAUUUUCUCCUUGAUAAAAUGACGAUCCACUUCAACAUGUUUAGUUUUGUCAUGAUGAACAGGGUUAUGAGCAAUGUUUAUUGCUGCCUUGUUGUCACAAUACAACUUCAUAGGAACAUCAAUAAUAAUCUUUAAUUCUUCAAGUAGCUUCUUUAACCAAAAAAGUUCAAAAAUACCAUGUGCUACUGCUCUAAAUUCAACUUCGGCACUACUUCUUGCAACCACUGAUUGCUUCUUACUCCUCUAAGUUACCAAGUUUCCUCCCACAAAUGUGCAAUACCCUGAAGUUGACCUUCUAUCAAUAACAGAUCCAGCCCAAUCUGCAUCAGUAGAUACUUCAACUUGCAGAUCGUUAUUUUUCUUGAAUAGCAGACCUUUUCCUGGAGUUUUUUUCAGGUACUUAAGAACCUUGUAAAUAGCUUCCAAGUGCUCUUUACAUGGAGAGUGCAUAAAUUGACUAAUAACACUUACUGCAAAGGCUAUGUCUGGCCUAGUAUGAGACAAGUAUAUCAACUUACCAACCAACCUUUGGUAACUUUCUCUAUCCACUGAUUUUCCUUCAAUUGCAUAUCCCAAUUUGUGAUAAGGAUCAAUAGGAGUGUCUCCAGGUUUGCAUCCCAACAUGCCAGUUUCCUUGAGCAAGUCUAAAGUAUAUUUCCUUUGAGAAACAAAAAUGCCUUUACUGGAUCUUGCAAUUUCCAUGCCCAAAAAGUAUCUUAAGGGUCCAAGAUCCUUUAUCUCAAAUUCUCUAGCAAGAACCUUCUUGAGAUUUUCCAUUUCUAUUACAUUGCUUCCAGUCAAGAUGACACCGUCUAUAUAUACAAUGACGAUCACAACACUACCAUCAGUGAAGUGUUUAAAAAACAUUGUAUGAUCUGCUUGACUCUGUAAAUAUCCAAAGCUACAAACAGAUUUGGUAAAUCUAUCAAACCAAGCUCGAGGAGAUUGUUUUAAGCCGUAAAGUGAUCUCUUCAGCUUGCAAACUUUUUCAAUACCAUAUUCAUUCUCAAAACCUGGUGGUAGAUCCAUAUAUACCUCCUCUUCAAGCUCUCCAUUAAGGAAUGCAUUCUUAACAUCUAACUAUUGUAAUUGCCAUCCUAGGCUUGCUGCAAGAGACAACAAAACCCGAAUGGAAUUCAUCUUUGCCACGGGAGCAAAUGUUUCUUGGUAGUCAAUGCCGUAUGUUUGUGUAAAACUUUUCGUGACGAGCCUAGCUUUGUACCGCUCAAGUGACCCAUCUGCUCUGUAUUUAACUGUAAAAAUCCAUUUGCAACCCACUGGUUUUUUUCCUUCUGGUAACUUGACUAGUUCCUAAGUUUUUUUUUUUCUAGAGCUCUCAUCUCUGCAUACACAGCAUCUCUCCAUUCUGGAAUAGAAAGAGCAUCUUGUACAGAUUUUGGAAUUACUAUAACAGACAGGUUAGCUGUAAAAGCUCUAAAAAAUGGAGAUAAUCUAUGAUAUGACACAUACUUAGAAAUUGGAUGAAGAGUACAAGACCUAGUUCCUUUCUGUUGUGCAAUUGGAACAUCUAGAUCAUUUGUAGUUUCUAAAACAGAUUCUAAAAUGUUACCGGCAAGUUCCAAGUUGCCUGUGUUUGGAUCCGAGUCUUGGCAGUGAGGAGAGGAAUGAUGAUUUGACCUUUUCGAAUUUCGUCGUGUGUAGACUUAAAGCUCUGGUUCUAGAACUCUCUCUAAUGAUUUUUCAUUAUUCACAAUUGAUGGCAUUGUAGAAGGAACACGAGUUACACAAGACAUAAUAGGCAUUGGAAGAGAAAAUUCCCAAAAAUGAUCUUCCUGAGUAUGAUCCUCCCCCUGAAGAGAAGUGUUGAGUGUUAGAAAAUGUAUAUUUAUAAGGAGAAAAUCAUCAUUUUACACUUCAAGUUUUACUAACACCCUUACUUUUAUGUAUUUAACUUUCUUUUGAUUUAAUUCCGUGUGUUUUAUUUUAAUUAAGUAUUUUAUAUAUUUUAGGGGCAUCAUAUAUAUUUCACAAUGAACGAGAGAUCAGACUGCAAAACAGACAUCAAUUUUGAAUUCAGGACGGUCAAAAACCUUAGGAGGAGCAUAAAAGGAAAAAUGGCACUAUUCACAUGUACGGUACUAUCUACGUUACUGUUAACGAUAUUGUUCAUAAAGACGGAUCGAUGACGUGACAUUAACCGAUGAUGUGGCAUUGACUGAUGAGGUGCCACGAUCCUGUUGGACUAAAAUUCUUAUGCACUGUUGAUCGAUGAUGUGGCAGCAUAUUAGUGGACCAGAAAUCUCGCGUACGGUACAUGCAUUACACGGGAUUAUUUUCAACCAAACCGCGUUACUGUUCAAGCCGGGUCAAACCGUGUUACUGUUCACCCGCGUGGUCAAACCGCGUACUGUUGACUGAUGACGUGGCGCAAUCUUGAGCGUCCAAACUGUUUUUAAUCUAAUGGCCAUUAUUUACUCCAUGUAUCUAUAAAAAGGAGGCCUCCCCCCCUAAUUUGAUAUCUCUGAAUCCAUUUUUGGGAUUCAUUUUCUGUAAUUCCUCCAUCUUGUAUUUUCUAUGUAUUUUAAUAAAUUCCUAUUUUGCCCCUAGUUCAAUUAUGAGUAGCUAAUUUUCUUUCAAGCUGGGGUUGAAGGUGAAGUCUUAACAUGUGUCAUGGCUUAAUUUCGUAAAUUUAUUUUCUUCUCCCCUCUAAUUUUUGUAGAUGAUUUGACUUUUCGUCGACAAAUAAUAAUAAUCUUGUCUAGAUACCGUCUUGGUUUCACCGGCUCUCUAGUAUAAGGUUAUUAUUAUUUGGCACGAUAAGCCCUUAAUACUAUAUUGAUUAGAGUGUGGUUCAUAAGGUGUAGAUUCCCCCCUCAUGAUUUAAUUGGUAUUAAUAAAGAAUAUUUAGCCCAUGGUGCAUGUUGAUACGGAUCUAGAUACCCAAGUACGUCAUUUCAAUAGAUUUCUCUUCAAUUUAUUCUCGCCAUUUCAAUUCCAAUUUUAGUAUAAUCUAAGUCAUUUUCACCCUAAAUCCAACCACCCAUUUAGAAAAUUAAUUCUACACACAAUUAAAAUCCACCUCCUCGUGGGAUCGACACUCGUCACCAUUAAUCUACACUACAAUAGAUUCGUGCACUUGCGAGUUCAAUAAAAUUUGCACAACAAGUUUUUGGUGCCGUUGCCGGGGAGGUAAGUUAUUUUAAUUUGUAGAAUUAAUUUUUGAGAAUAAUUUCUUUUAUUUGUUUUCUUGUAUUUUUUUCUUAUAAAAAAAAGAAAAAUAAAAAUGAAUCGACAUUUAGAGGUUAGUAUUUCUUUUCUUUUUCUCUUCUUUAAAAUUAUGUAAUUUAAUUUUCAAGUUAUUAUUUUUUUCUUCUUUGUAAUUUUUGUUUAUCUUACUAAUUCUUUUUAAUAAAUUUAUUUUACGUAUUUUUUUGUGUGUUUUUAUAGUAAGGUUGUAAUAGCGCAAUAAGGUUAGUAUCGUAAUUUCUCCUUCUUUUUUUAUUUUUAUUUGUUUUGUUCUCAUCUUUAUUUUUAUUUUAUUUGUUUUGCAUGCAUGGUCCAAGGUCAUUAUUACCUAAUCUUGAACCUAUAGACCUUGAACUUGAAAAAACACUUCGCACACACAAACAAGUCAAAAAUAAAAUGGAUUUGCAACCACAGGAGAGGCCAUUUUAGGACUAUUUUAGUCUCUUAGCUAAUUUGAGCACAUCAUACAUAAGAUACUCAAAUGUAGCUGCUAGGAGUUUUGAACUAAAAUUUAGUGUGCUAAAUUGUCUCCCAACAUUCUAUGGCUUAGAAAAUGAGGACCCAUGUAAUCAUUUGAAUGAUUUUCAUGCUAUUUGUCAAAAAUUUAAAUAUGAGAAUUUUUCAGAUGAUGAUGUAAAACUUAGACUAUUCCCAUUUUCUUUAAAGGAUAGAGCUCGUUUGGCUUAAUACAUUGUCUUCCAAUAGUAUUUCAUCAUGGGAACAAAUGGUACCAAAAUUUUUGAAUAAAUAUUUCUCAGUGCAUAAAACCAAUGCUAUUCGUAAGGAAAUUUCAGAGUUUACCCAGAGAGAAGACGAGCAGUUUUUCGAAACAUAGGAGAGAUUCAAUGGGCUACUCUUGAAGUGUCCACAUCAUGGGUACGAGAAAUGGCACCAAUGCCAAUACUUUUUGGAGGGAUUAUUGCCGAAUGUGCAAGAAUGACUAAUGGCAACAAGUGGAGGAGAGCUAAUGUCAAAAAGUGCAUCAGAGAUUUAGGAAUUCUUCCAGCGACAAGCGGAUAAUUCCCAACAACGGAGUCGAUCACUCAAGAAUACUAGAAGAAUUAAGGGAGUGAAUGAGGUUCACAUUGGCAAGUCAAGUUCAGAAAUCAAAGAAGUCAAGGAGAUGAUUGAAAGUCUCGCUCGACAAUAGCAUCGUUAUUGACUGUUAAAUCAACAAAGCCACAUGACCAUGACUCAUACUCAGAUCAAGCCAAUGCCAUAGGUGUAAUAAGAAAACCAUCAAAUUACAACCCAUACUCCAACACAUAUAAUCCUGGAUGGAGAGACCACCCCAAUUUUUCAUGGUCUCAAGGAUUCCAACAGAAUGGACCAGUAGCUCCAGCUCCACCAAUGCAACAAAUUCCUCAAGUUUCUCAAGCCUCUCAGCCACCAUUUAGACCAUACAAUCAAAACCAAAACUACUCUCAACCCAUACUAUGGGAGGAUACAUUCCAGAAUUUCAAGAAUGUUACUCACUCCACGAUUGAGUAACAGAACCGCACCAUUGAUGGACUACGAAAUGAGUUGAGAGCAGGCUUCAACCCACAAGCUCAAUCAGUUUCAAGCCUCGAGAAGAUGGUGGGACAACUUGCUUCUUCAGUUCAGACCUUGGCAAUGACUGUUGAGAAAGGCAAGUUUCCAAGUCAACCAGUGCCUAAUCCUAAAGGAGUACAUGAAGCAAGUACCAGUUCACCACAACAGCAUGGAGAGUAAAAGCAGUCAUGACCUUGCGAAAAGGAAAAGAAGUCAACAACAAAGUUGAGAUGCCGGUGACAAAAGAAAAUCAAAUUGUACCUGUGAGUGUUGAGGACUCAUCACCGAAUGAGAGAGAAGAAACCAAACCACGAGAAUACAUUCCGAAAGCUCCAUUUCCUCAGAGGUUAGGGAAGGAAAGAAGGGAAAAUCCACAGGUGAGAUUCUUGAAAUCUUCAAACAGAUAAGUGUUAACAUCCCUUUACUUGAUGUUAUAAAGCAAGUUCCAUCUUAUGCCAAAUUUCUUAAAGACCUUUGUACUAAAAAGAGAAACAUUCAUGUUCAAAAGAAUGCAUUUUUAACAGAAAACGUUAGUUCUAUACUCCAACAUAAAAUUCCUCUAAAAUGCAAAGACCCAGGCUCCCCCACUAUCUCAUGUAGCAUAUGGAACCACACAAUUGAGAAUUCUUUGUUGGAUUUAGGAGCUAGUGUAAAUCUGUUGCCUUAGUAUUUUUGAAACUUGGACUUGGAGAAUUACACCCAACUCCAGUGGUGUUACAGCUUGUAGAUCGGUCCACGAAAAUACCUCAUGGUAUUGUGGAGGACGUGCUUAUCCAAGUAGACAAGUUUUAUUUUUCUGUUGAUUUCAAUGCAAUUGACACUCAACCAAUCCAGGAUUCAAGGAAGCACAUCCCCAUUAUCCUCGGCCGACCUUUCUUGGCAACUGCGGAUGCUCACAUUCAAUGCAGAACUGGAAAUAUGCAGUUGUCCUUCGGCAACAGGACUAUGAAACUGAACUUCUUCAACAUUGCCAAACAACCUCACAAUGCAAAUGAUGAAAUUGUUGAUAUGAAUUUAAUUGAAGCAUUAGUUGAUAACACUUUUCUUUCAAACCUUAGUGAUGAUCCUUUACAAACAUGCUUAACUCACUUUGGUUUAGAUUUUUAUAUUGACAGAUCGGUCGAUGAGGUUAACGCCCUACUUGACUCAGCACCAUCCAUGGACACUAAUAAAUGGAAGUCAAGAGUUGAGCAACUAGCAUCAUCAGAGAAGAAACUCAUCCCAUCAUCAGAAUCACCACCGAAACUCGAGCUCAAACCAUUGCCCAACACUUUGGAAUAUGCAUUUUUGGGAGAAGAAAGCACUCUACCGGUAAUCAUCUCAUCAUCUCUCAACGAUGAACAAAAAGGUAAGUUGUUAGAUGUUUUAAAAGAGCACAAAGGAGCAUUAGGAUGGACUAUAGCAGACAUCAAAGGUUUUCAAGACCCCGAUUGGGAUGUCACCCUACAGGCUAGUGUAUGGAAAAGCUUGCCACCUACCUGUGGAACUCGAGCAUCGUGCAUAUUGGGCUAUCAAGAAAUUCAACUUUGACAUGCAGCAAGCCAGCUCAGAAAGAAGAUUACAGCUGGGAGAACUUGAAGAAAUUCACAAUGAUGCAUACGAAAAUGUCAAGCAACGAAUGAAAGUCUUCCAUGACAAGCAAAUUAUGAGAAAAUCAUUCACUCCAGGUCAGAAUAUUUGUGUGCUUUCUGGAUUUAACUAUGGCAAACAUAAAGAAUUCGUUGAGGCAGCCAUAGAUCUUGGCCGAAGCAUAGUAGAGAGAAAAUUACACUUGGUGUAUGGAGGAGAUAACCGAGGGUUAUCAAAAUUGGUCUCAGAAACUGCUUUUAUCAGAGGUAGCCAAGUGUUAGGCAUCAUCCCAAAAGCCCUAAAACUUUUGGGCAGUUUGAUUGACUCAUCGAUUGGAGAAGAGUUAGUCGUCUCAGAUAUGCAAGAACAAAUAACUAAAAUGCUUAAUCAUGCUUAUGCUUUUAUUUUCCUUCCAGAAGAUCCUGCAACACUAGAGGCACUUAUCACACUAGCAUUUUGGGCCCAUCUGCACAUUCACUAGAUACCCAUCGGUUUGUUAAAUGUCAAUAACUUUUAUGAUGGCUUCAUCGCAUUUCUUAGCCAUGCAAUAAAAAAUUAUUUCAUUCCUUCCAAUGUGAAAAAAUUUUUUAUUUGUGCUCACACUGCUAAUGAGCUACUUGAUCUGUUACAAGCUUAUAGACCGGAGCCAGACCCCUGGACCUUUGUGUUGGAGCGUCCAAAUAAUGAUGGUAACAGUAGCCGCAGUAAUUAGUAUUAAAAAUUGUUUAAUUAUCAAGCGAUAAUAUGUUAUUUUAUGCUUAUGUUAUAAUUUAUAUUUGUGUUUAUGUAAUAUAUUAUGAAUUAUUAAUUAUGUGUUCAAUAUAUUUAAUUUUGUGUAUUUUUAUGUGUUUAUUAGGAAAAUAUUAAUUUCACGUACUUCGAGGCUCCAAACAAAUAAACGGAGGUCAAAUUUAGAUUUCAGAGGUUCGAAAACCUUAAGAUCAGUCAAGAUCGGCUUAAAAUUGGGCUUGUGUAAAAAAAAGUUGACUUUUCCUGUUGACCGAGCACUGAUUGGAUGAUGAAAUGAGCUUACAAUAGAUAUGAGUGCAUGGGAUAGCUGGCAAUCUUGACUAAAUCUCAACCGUUCAUGAUUCAAUGGUCAUGAUUGUGCCCCGUGGCAAUGGUUGGUGAAGCAAGUUGGAGGAUCCGAAUCUUUGUAUUCGGGUCGACCCGAUCCACCCAUUAACCCGCCAAAUCUCAACCGUUCUUUGGGCAAAUCGGACGAGUCAAAUGAUACCACGUGUGAUGUUGACUUUUGAAGUUUGAGCAGCCAUUGGAUCUUGAUCUAAGGGUUGUGAGGAGCACAUGCAUGAAGCCUAUGAUGGACCGCAAAGCACUGGAUUAUGAAUUUAUUUUUCUAUAAAUAGAGCCUUAUUUUUAUGUUUUAAUCAUCUCUCUACAACUCUCUUCUUCUCAAAUUAUCUCCAUCUCCUUGUAAUCUUGAUUUCCAGGUGUGUUUUUAAUAUUUUAUAUAAUUAUUUUUAUAAAUAAAAUUAGUUUUAUUUCCAAUUUUAGUUGUUUUUAUUUCUUUUAAUUAUAAGUAAUUCAAUUUUAUUACUUCUUUUUAUUUUAAUUAUGCUUAACUAAAUAAUAUUAAUUAGGGGAAGGUGAAACUCUUAGGAAAUAAAUAUGAUUUAAGCAAAUUCUAUUCUUAAUUUUAUAAAUUAAAUUAUUUUCUAUUUAAUUUUAUACAUAUUUUAUAUUUUGAAAUUUUGAUUUAUUGUAGACAAACAAAUGAAUUUGGCACAAUAAAUUCUUAAUAUCUUAAUAUAAGGUAUGGUAAAAUGGUAUUUUGACUUAUUGUAGACAAAUUAAAUUUUGGCACAAUAAAUACUUAAUCCAUCAUAAAAUUAAAGGGAAAAUAACAAUAAUUUAUAUAAUUAAUCUUUUGGGCAAUAAUGUAAAAAAAAAGGGCAAAAAGAAUUUAUUAAGUUUUAUUUACUUCUAAGAGUUGAUCCAUAACCCUAACUAGUUCAAUUUCAUAGUUUCAUUUAAAUUAAGUUUUUUGUAUUUAAGUUUUAAUUUCAAUUUUUAGUUAAAAUAAAGUAAACUAAUUAAAUCUUUUCUCUGUGGAUCGACCUCGAACUCACCGAGUUAUAAUACAACAAGACACUUUUAUACUUGAGAGUUAAAAAUUACUUUUAAGUUGUGUCAAGUUUUUGGCGCCGUUGCCGGGAAAAGUUUUUAUUUUGCUUUAUUUUUUUGGUUUUUGAUUUUUCUCUUUAUGUAAAUUUUCGUUUGUCCCCUUUUUUUUUCUUAAAUUCUCUUUUGUCCUCAUAUCUUUCAUAAUUCUCGUUUCACCCCAACAAGCCCAUUUCUAGCCCAAUUUCUAGUAAUUACAUUCUGACCCCAACAUCUUUCAGUCGUUUCAUUUUCAUCCCAAAUUGCUAAUUCUAAACUUCUAAAAAUUACAAUUUGACCAUAAAAUUAAAAAUAAUUUGCAAUAGAAUCCCUAGACGAUUCCUCAAAAUAAUUAAGACUUGGACAUACUUUGGACAUAUUUGGACUUAUUUUGGACUUAAUUUGGACCAAACUAACUUUAACUACUAACUCUAAUUACUAACUCUUAACUUACUAACUGCUAACUCCUAACUUUUUUUUAAUUUCAUUUAUUUAAUUUUCUGCAUUUAUUUUAUUUCGUAUUUAUUUGUUUAUUUUUGCUUUAUUGGUGGGUUUAACCACCAAACUAACUACUAACUACUAACUCUUAACUUUUAUUUUCAGUUAUUUAAUUUUAAGAAUUUAUUUAAUUUUGCUUUUUUUUUAAUUGGUGGGUUCAACCACCAUUUUUUUUCUUUUUCUUUUUCUUUCUCUUGCAUUUAUUUUAUACGUAAUUUAUUGUUAAUUGGUGGGUUCAACCACCAAAAUUGUUAUUUAAUUUUCUUUUGUACACUUAUAUUAUUUGCUUAUUUUUUAUUUAUUUUUUUAUUUUAUUAUCAAUUUGUGUAAAUAUUAUCUUUAUAACAUAACCAUUGCAUGAGGCGUUGGUCUCGAUCUUCAAGUGAGAAUCAAGGAUGGAUGAGAAUCAAGGCGAAAACGUUUUGGGCAAACUUAAUCCUCAAAUUGAUCAGGGAGACAACCAAUCUCAACAUGGGCAUGAUCAGAAUCAACCAAGGACUCUGAGAGACUACAUGAAUCCAACCAGAACCGGAGCACCGUCGUGUAUAGUAUUUCCUCCAGAAGCAUCUCGAUUUAAUUUUAAACCAGGUAUUAUCCAACUUUUACCAACAUUUCAUGGUUUAGAAUCUGAGAAUCCGUACUUGCAUCUAAGAGAUUUUGAGGAAGUUUGUAAUACAUACACGGACCAAAAUUGUAGCAUGAACAUAAUUAAAUUAAAACUUUUUCCUUUUUCAUUAAAAGAUAAAGCUAAAACUUGGCUACAAAACCUUAGAUCUGGAUCAGUAAGAACUUGGAAUAACAUGUAAGAACAGUUUUUGAAAAAAUUCUUUCCACCUCAUAGAACAAAUUCUUUUAAAAGGCAAAUCACUUCUUUCACUCAAAAAAAUGGAGAAACAUUAUACCAAUGUUGGGAUAGGUUUAAAGAGUUGCUUAACAUAUGCCCACAUCAUGGUUUUGAAACUUGGCGAUUGGUCACUUACUUCUACGAGGGCUUAAUACCCCAAAGUAGACAGGUUGUUGAAAUGAUGUGUAAUGGUGAAUUUAGGGAUAAAAAUCCUGAAGAUGCACUAGAUUACCUUGACCAAUUAGUUGAAAAUGCACAACAUUGGGAUACUGUUGGAACUUUUGAAUUGACAAAUAAGCAACAAUUAUCUCCAUCUAGUGGAGGAAUCCAUAACCUUAGGGAAGAUCAUGAUUUACAAGCAAAAUUUGCAUCCCUAGUUAGGAAAGUUGAAGCUUUGGAGUAUAAAAAGAGUGAUCAAGUAAAAUAUGUUCAAGAAAUUAUAUGUAACAUAUGUAAUUCGAAUGAUCAUUUCACUCAAGAGUGUCCCACUUUGCCUGCACUUAAAGAAUGUCUAAAUGAUCAAGCUAAUGUCAUUAACACUUUCAAUAAACCAAACCCAUAUUCACAGACUUAUAAUCCUGGUUGGAGAAAUCAUCUGAAUUUCAGUUGGAGGAAUAAUAAUAAUGCACAAUCUUCACAAGCACCACCUCUACAAAAUUUUCAAAAUCCUCAGCCUUAUGCACCAUAUGUUCCACCACCCUGGAAAAAUCUGGAAGACACAAUACAUUUAUUCAUCAGAAAGCAAGAUGUUAUUAACAAUCAAAAUGCACAAACUUUUUCUGAUUUGAAAGAUACUCUUGCUAAAAUUGCUUCUGCACUCACCAUUCAAGAAAAAGGAAAAUUUCCAGCCCAACCACAACCAAAUCCUAAAAUUCAACAAAAUCCACUCACAGACCAAGUCAAGUCAGUUAUAACUCUUCGUAGUGGUAAGGUUGUUGAUAGACCUAUGCCUGAACCUUAUGAAAAUGAUGAAAAUUCAAAGGGUAAGGAAGGACUAAAUGAACUUACACCUAGUGAAGAAAUAACUAGUGUUCCAUCUGAACCACCAUUUCCGCAUGCAUUGAAUAAACCAAAGAAAUCAAACCACUCUUUUGAAAUUUAUGAAAUCUUUAAGCAAGUGAAAGCUAACAUUCCUCUAUUAGAUGCAAUCAAGCAGGUUCCUUCAUAUGCCAAAUUUUUAAAGGACUUGUGCACUAUUAAGAGGAAAUUGAAGGUAAGAAAGAGUGCUUUCAUGGCCGAACAGGUAAUUACAAUUUUGUUUACUAAUAAUAAGUUGAAAUAUAAAAGAUCCUGAUUGUCCUACUAUUUCUUGUAUUAUUGGUAACCACAUAAUUGAGCAUGCUUUACUAGAUCUUGGUGCUAGUGUUAAUUUACUUCCAUAUUCAGUUUAUCUUCAACUUAAUCUUGGUGAGUUAAAAUCAACUUCAACUACAUUUUUACUUGCCGAUAGAUCAGUUAAAGUACCAAAAGGAAUAGUGAAAGAUGUUUUAGUAUAAGCUGAUAAAUUUAUUUAUCCUGUGGAUUUUAUUAUCUUGGAAACUGAACCUGUUGUGAAUAAUUACAAACCAAUUCUUGUAAUUUUAGGUCGACCAUUUUUAGCAACUGCUAAUGCUUUGAUUAAUUGUAGGAAUGGUUUAAUGAAUUUAUCCUUUGGGAAUAUGACUUUGGAAUUGAAUGUUUUCAACAUGUGCAGGCAACCUAAUGAAGAAAAUAAGAAUGAAGAUGAUACUGAUGAACAAAAGGAAUUGUUUGAAUCUUGUAUCGAGGAAAAUAUUCAAAAAGGGGAUUUUUCUAAACUCUCAAAUGUUUGUUUAGUUAAUUCAAUUGAGUCAAAUAAGCAACUUGAACUUAAUAUUUCUAAUAUAAAUUCGUUGCUUGAUUCUGUGCAGACUUCACAAAAUUAUGAUGACGAGCCAAAAUUUGAGGAGCUUGGAAGUAUUGAAAAGACAGAACAACAAGAAGUGCCUAAAAUGGAAUUGAAACAUUUGCCUGAAGGAUUGAAAUAUGCUUUUCUUGGAGAAGAACAAACUUAUACUGUUGUGAUUUCUUCUAUUUUAACAAGCGACCAAGAAGGUAAGUUACUAAAUGUUCUUAAAAAGUAUAAAAAUGCAAUUGGAUGGACUUUAAAUGAUAUUAAAGGCAUUAAUCCCCUAAUCUGCACUCAUAGAAUUAAUUUGGAAGAAAAUGCUAAAACAUGUCAACAACCUCAAAGAAGAUUAAACCCACACAUGAAAGAGGUAGUCAAAACAGAAGUCUUUAAAUUGCUUGAUGUGGGAAUUAUCUACCCUAUUCUUGAUAGUAAGUGGGUAAGUCCUACACAAGUAGUGCCAAAAAAAUCUAGAAUCACUGUUGUUAAAAAUGAAAAAGGUGAAUUAAUUCCAAUACGAAUUACAUCUAGUUGGCGCAUGUGCAUUGACUAUAGAAAAUUAAAUGAAGCCACUAGAAAAGAUCAUUUUCCAUUACCAUUCCUUGACCAAAUCUUAGAAAGAGUAGCAGGACAUCCCUACUACUGUUUUUUAGAUGGAUAUUCGGGCUAUUAUCAAAUUCCUAUAGCACUCGAGGACCAAGAAAAGACCACAUUUACAUGUCCAUUUGGAACAUUUGCAUUUAAAAGAAUGCCAUUCGGGCUUUGUAAUGCUCCUGCAACAUUUCAAAGAUGUAUGUUAAGCAUUUUUUGUGAUAUGGUUGAACAUUGUUUAGAGGUCUUUAUGGAUGAUUUGAUUGUGUUUGGGAAUUCUUUUAAUGAUUGCCUCGAUAAUUUGGAUAAAGUUUUAAAAAGAUGUGUUGAAAAAGAACUCGUGUUGAAUUGGGAAAAAUGUCACUACAUGGUUACUUCUGGAAUUGUUUUGGGUCAUGUUGUUUCUAUUAAAGGAAUUGAAGUUGACAAAGCAAAAAUCGAAGUCAUAUCUAAAUUGCCACAACCAAAAACAGUUAGAUAUGUGCGAUCUUUUUAGGACAUGCAGGAUUUUAUAGGAGGUUUAUAAAAAACUUUAGUGCCAUAUCUAAACCACUUUAUAACCUCUUAUUAAAAGAUGCAUCGUUUGAAUGGAAUGAUGAUUGCCAAAAAUCUUUUGAAAAAAUAAUUUGUCUUUUAACAUUUGCACCUAUUAUGCAAUCUCCUAAUUGGUCUUUGCCAUUUGAAUUAAUGUGUGAUGCAAGUGAUUUUGCUGUUGGUGCUGUUUUAGGACAAAGAAGGGAUGGUAAGCUUUUUGUGAUUUAUUAUGCGAGUAAGACUUUGGAUAGUGCUCAAAUGAAUUAUUCUACAACUGAAAAAGAAUUACUUGCUGUGGUAUUUAUAUUAAACAAAUUCCGUUCAUAUUUGCUUGGCUCUAAAUCUGUUGUGUUUACUGACCACGCUGCUGUGAGAUAUUUGAUGAGUAAACAGGAUGCCAAACCGAGACUAAUUCGUUGGAUUUUGUUACUACAAGAAUUUGACCUUACCAUCAAAGAUAAAAAGGGUGCUAAAAAUGUUGUUGCUGAUCAUCUAUCAAGACUCGCAUAUGAAUUCUGCAAUGAUAUAACACCUAUAAAUGAUUCUUUCCUUGAUGAAUUUUUAUUUUCUGUUACUUCAAUGCCAUGGUAUGCUAAUAUUGUUAAUUUUCUUGUUAUAGGUAAAAUACCUUUGCAAUGGAAUGCUCAAGAGAAGAAGAAAUUUUUUGUUGAAGUAAAGAAAUUUUAUUGGGAUGACCCUUAUUUGUUCAAGUAUUGCCCAGAUCAAAUUUUUCGGCGAUGUAUUCCUGAUAAUGAGAUAAGUAGUGUCAUUAAUUUUUGUCAUUCUAAAGCAUGUGGUGGUCACUUUUCUUCAAGAAAAACUACUGCUAAAAUUUUACAGUGUGGAUUAUUAUUGGCCUACUAUGUUUAAAGACACAUAUGAAUUCUGCAAAAGUUGUGAAAAAUGUCAAAAAUUGGGAUCAAUUACAAAAAGAAACAUGAUGCCCUUAAAUCCCAUACUUGAAAUUGAAAUAUUUAACUGUUGGGGAAUUGAUUUCAUGGGUCCAUUUCCAUCAUCUUUUAGAUUUGUGUAUAUAUUAAUUGCAGUUGAUUAUGUCUCAAAAUGGAUUGAAGCAAUUUCUUGUCGAAAUAAUGAUAUUAAAACUGUGAUUAAAUUUUUAAGAGAAAACAUUUUAAGUCGAUUUGGAAUCCCUCAAGCCAUUAUCAGUGAUGGAGGUAAGCAUUUCUGUAAUAAGUCAUUUGAGUCUUUAAUGAAGAAAUAUGAAAUUACACAUAAAAUUGCUACCCCUUAUCAUCCUCAAACAAAUGGUCAAGUUGAAUUAGCAAAUAGGGAGAUAAAACAAAUUUUGGAAAAAACAGUUAACCCAAACCGAAAAGAUUGGUCUCUUAGACUUAAUGAUGCACUUUAGGCUUACCGUAUUGCAUUUAAAACGUCAUUAGUAAUGUCACCCUAUCAGUUAGUUUAUGGUAAACCUUGUCAUUUACCUGUUGAACUUGAACAUAAAUCACUUUGGGCUAUUAAAGCUUUUAAUUCAAAUUUGGAUGAUGCUGGUAAUGUGCGAAAAUUGCAAUUGAAUGAACUUGAGGAAUUAAGGAAUGAUGCAUAUGAAAAUUCAAGAAUUAUUAAGGCAAGAAUAAAAGCAUUUCAUGAUAAAAGAAUUUUUCGAAAAACAUUUGAGAUUGGUCAAAAAGUGUUGCUUUAUAAUUCUCGUCUUCAUUUAUUUCCAGGGAAGUUAAAGUCAAAAUGGAAUGGUUCAUUUGUUGUAAAAAAUGUAUAUUCACAUGGGGCCAUAGAAAUUGAGAAUCCAAAGAAUGGUGUCACAUUUAAAGUUAAUGGUCAAAGAUUAAAAUCAUAUCUGGAACAUCACCCACAUCACGAGGACACCGAAAUUAAUUUGGGUAACCCACCAGUUCUUGAUUAAGUCUUUAAUGAUUUAUUUUAUUUUAAUUUUUUUGUUUUACAUUCUUUUACUGUUUCAUUGUUUGAUUUUUUUUCUUUUUCUCUCGAUUGAUGCACUGUACAUAGUUUUUGUUUAACAUUAUUUUUCUUGUGUAAGCGUGUUUGUUUGACAGUUGUACAUUCUCUCAUCAAUUUUCAUUUUACAUCAUGAGCACCUCAAUGAGAAAAUUCUUGUUUGCACAUCUUAAAAGAUUUCUGCAUAUAAAAUUUCACUUAAGAGGCCUGAUACAAAGCUGUAAAUCACAUCCACUUUGGGAUCUGCAACCACCAGAAUUCGUGUCCUAUGUUGAGGAUCUAGAGGGACAACUUAGAACAUUAGAGAGUGGCAUAUAUGAAUUUUAAAUGGAGCUUGGGUUAACUCAAUGAGAGGACGAAUGUAAGUUCAUUUUCCUUUUAUAUUGUGUGCUUCUUUUUGCUCGCUUUCACGCUUGAUUUGAUUUUACAAAUUUGAUUUUGGUGUGUUUUGAUUUAUUUUCCCGUAUAAAUGGCGGAUAACGGUACUCUGUGACUUCUUAAGUCGGUAUCUUCAGUUUCCCACAAUAACUGAAACCCCAAAAUCAAACAUAGAAGAAAUACAACAUAAACUCCAUAAGCAUUUUCCCUCUCUCCCUCAGAAUGCCCUCAGGAAAAUUUACAAAGCUCGUUGUGAACGACUGCGUUUGUUAAUGAUCAAUGGCAUUCCUUCUGACAUUCGUUGGUUAAUUGAAGCAAAGGUCCAAUUAGCAGGUGAGUUUUCUGGUCCAUUUGUUUCUUACAUGGCUGGUUUUGGUAAAAGUACGUUUGCUAAGAAAAGGAGAGCUAAACGACUUGGCUCAAAAUGUCAUAACUGUGUAAGACUUGGUUGCAAACGACCAGAUUGUAAAUCUUUAGGAAUGGUUUCUGAUACUCGUGAAGAUAAAAUUAAAUUCGUUAAAAAUGGCAUGUGUAAAGAAUCGUUGGAUGAUAUCUUACGAUCUCUUGAGACGCAUCGAAGCAGAUUUGUGUAACGUGAGAUUUAUAAUUUGUGGAUACUAUUCUAAAAAUAAAGUGCACAGUUUAGUCUUGGGAAUCUGACUCAAAAAGACCAUGUUUGCCAGUUUAUAAGAAAACUGGAUGGGAAGCCGAUCCUUGACCCAUAGAGGGCGUUCAAGCCGUUACUGGACGUAAAACCAGAGAAAGAUGUGAGCCACAAUCACAACUACCAGUAAAUAUCCUUUCACUUCACUGUUAUUUUACUUUACUGUUAUUUUAUCAUUUGCAUUAUUGCAUUUAGUGAUGUGAUUUUGUAUUUAAUAAAUAUUUGGUUUCUUUUACUGUUUACUUUUUCUAAUUAUUAUUUUCUUUUCACCGUUUGUUUUUGAAUUAUUGAGCCACGAGCUUUACUCGUCAUUUGACAAAUAUGCCAACCCAUUUACAGCUAUUUCUUAUUAUUUAUAUCACCAAGAUCUUUAAAUAUGAGCUCAUUUUUCAAACACUCAUAACUUGUUUUUGAAAAAUUUGUCCAAUGGCAGCAUCUUCGAGUAAACAAUUCAAAAAUAUUUGUGUGCUUUCUGGGUUUCAUUAUGGAAAGUACAAAGAGUUUGUUCAGGCAACUGUAGAUCUUGGUCGUGUCAUAGCAGAGAGGAAACUGCAUAUUGUAUAUGGAGGAGGUGAACGAGGGUUAUCAAGACUUGUCUCAGAAGCUGUUUUUACCAGAGGAAGCCAAGUACUCGGCAUUAUCCCAAAACCCAUGAAACCGCUAGUGUGCAUGUCUGGUCUACCAAUUGGAGAAGAAUUAGUGGUAUCAAGUAUGCAAGAGAGAAUAUCUGAAAUGAUGAAUCAUGCUGAUACUUUUAUUUUCUUGCCAGGAGAUCUUGCAACUUUUGAGGCACUGAUUACAUUUGCAUCUUGGGCCCACUUGAACAUUCAUCAAAAACCCAUCGGUUUGUUAAAUGUUACUAAUUUUUAUGAUGGCUUGCUAACUUUUAUUAACCAUGCAAUAAAGAAUCAUUUUGUUCCACAUUCUUUGAAAAAACUCUUUAUCUCUGCUUCUACUGCUAAUGAGUUACUUGAUCUUUUACAAGCUUAUACACCAGAGCCAGAUCCAAAGACUUUUGCACUGAAUUGGUCGACUGAUGAUGGUAGCAGUAACAGUAGCAGUAAUAAGAAGUGCGAUUUAGAUUUAACUCUCCGUCUGUAAAUAUUUUCUGUUGUAGUGUUCAUGUGUUGUCUUCUAAACUCUUUCUCUUUCCUUUUAAAACAUUAAGGACAAUGUCUUUUUCAGGUUGGGGGGAGAGAAUAGUUGAUAAUUGUGGAAUGUCUUAGUCCUGGUGAUGUGUUUACAAAAAUAAAAAUAAAAAUUUUUUUUUCUGUAAAGACUAACUUAGGACAAAUUUGAGUCGAAGAUGGCAGGAUAUAGAGAAUGUAGUACCUCUAGAAACGCAUCUUCUUAAUCUUAAGGGUGUUAUUAAAAAAAAAAUUGAAUUUCUCUUCAUCUUUGUUAUCUGCUUGUAAGCUUCUGCAUCAAGUUCAGGUGAGAUCUCCUCUUCUUCUUCUUUUAUUAUUCUCUUUUAUUUUUAUUUUUUUUGCAUAUUUGUAAAAUUAUAAAAUGUUAAGAUAAUGUUUAGAUUAGGUUGUGGGGUGGGGAUAAUUGACGAAUGUUUUAAAUAUGUGGGGUGUGUUGUUUUUCACUUUUCUCUUUUCUUUUCUUUGUUGAAAAAAAAACAAAAAAAAAACAUUUUUAUUUUGUCUAGGAUGGCCGUGUAAAGAGUCACGACUUUUGAGACGCAUCCUAAUAGUCUUGUUGUAUUAUAUUUUGAUUUUGAGAUUCAUAGUAAAUUAUUUUUGUUCCCUUUUCUUUGAAUUACUCGAAUUUGUGAACUCUCCAAUUGGUUAUUAAGUUAUUUAAUUGUUUACUCAUUUAACAGGUAUUAUUGAAUCAUUCUUGAUGCAGCGGAAGUUUAAUGUUCAAAAUAUUCCGUUGAUUCUAGAGAAUACCAGAAUAAAAGAACAGCUAAAUUCACGUUGAUUCAAAAGAAUACCGCGAACUUAGGGAUUUAAGACUCAUUGAUUCCGCAGAAUACCGAGAAUUAACUGUUCAAAUACUCACAAAGAGAUUUGAAAAUUGAAAUAUUAUUGAACUCAAAAUUCUGCCUCUAUAGGCUACAAGAGGGAGCUAUUUAUAGUAGUAGUAAUUAUCCUAAUUUAUGAAGUAAAAACAAAAUCCUAAAUUGAAAGAGAAACAAAAUUCUAAAUUAGAAAGGAAUUUAAAAGUCUUAAACUUUAGUUAAUAAGGAAACUAAUCCUCGUAUAAUAUAGAUUCCUACUCUUCAUCAAUUCUUUACACACACACACUAUGACACAUACUAGUGGGUUGUAAGUUAAAAUUUUACAGCAUUUAGUUCUUUUGAUUUAUUAGGAAUAGUAUCUAAGGUAGUAGAAAGUGUAUAUUUCCAAAAAAAAAAAAAGUAGAAAAAAAUUGUUUUUAAUUUUUCCAUGUCUAGAACCCGAGUAAUUAAGUCCAUAGGGGUGCUUCAACACCUAGUGUCCUAAAGUCAACUGGUCUAGGAGUCACUGACCUAAAGCUCACUACAUGGGUAAUAGAUAUAUUGUUUGUUUAUUAGAAACCCGAGUAAUUAAGUCCGUAGGGGUGCUUCAACACGUAGUGCCAUAAGGCCAACUGGUCUGGGAGUCACUGACCUAAAGCUCGCUACACGGGUUAGAAAUGUAAUAUUUUAAAAAUAUGUGUGAAUAAUAUAUUGCUUAAAGAUAUAAUUUCUAAUGAAUUUUGGAACGAAAAUGUUGUUUUUCUUUUAAUGAAGCCUCAUAAGUAUUGUGUUAAUUACUUGAGCACAAAAGAAGGUUUAAUGAUAUUUUAGAUAAUGAGUGAACAUCAAUGUGGUAAAGAAAUCUGGGAGAGUUCAUUUAUUUAGUAAUUUGAAGGAUGGAUGAACAACUAUUAACUUGCAUGUGAAUUUUAUAAAUCUUAAUUUAAUAUAACGCUUUAAUUGCUAGAGGGCUAGCAAUAAGCUGGUUGGGGGGGUGUGAUUAGUAUUAAAAAUUGUUUAAUUAUCAAGCAAUAAUAUGUUAUUUUAUGCUUAUGUUAUAAUUUAUAUUUGUGUUUAUGUAAUAUAUUAUGAAUUAUUAAUUAUGUUUUCAAUAUAUUUAAUUGUGUAUUUUUAUAUGUUAUUAGGAAAAAUAUUAAUUUCACGUACUUCGAGACUCCAAACAGAUAAACGGAGGUCAAAUUUAGAUUUUAGAGGUCCGAAAACUUUAAGAUCAGUCAAGAUCGGCUUAAAAUUGGGCUUGUGUAAAAAAAAUUAACUUUUCCUGUUGACCGAGCACUGAUUGGAUGAUGAAAUGAGCUUACAAUAGAUAUGAGUGCAUGGGAUAGCCGGCAAUCUUGACUAAAUCUCAACUGUUCAUGAUUCAAUGGCCAUGAUUGUGCCAUGUGGCAAUGGUUGGUGAAGCAAGUUGGAGGAUCCGAAUCUUUAUAUUCGGGUCGACCCGAUCCACCCAUUAACCCGCCAAAUCUGAACCGUUCUUUGGGCAAAUCGGACGAGUCAAACGAUGCCAUGUGUGAUGUUGACUUUUGAAGUUUGACCAGCCAUUGGAUCUUGAUCUAAGGGUUGUGAGGAGCACAUGCAUGAAACCUACGAUGGACCGCAAAGCACUGGAUUAUGAAUUUAUUUUUCUAUAAAUAGAGCCUCAUUUUUAUGUUUUAAUCAUCUCUCUACAACUCUCUUCUUCUCAAAUUUUCUCCAUCUCCUUGUAAUCUUGAUUUCCAUGUGUGUUUUUAAUAUUUUGUAUAAUUAUUUUUAUAAAUAAAAUUAGUUUUAUUUCCAAUUUUAGUUGUUUUUAUUUCUUUUAAUUAUAAGUAAUUCAAUUUUACUACUUCUUUUUAUUUUAAUUAUGCUUAACUAAAUAAUAUUAGUUAGGGGAAGGUGAAACUCUUAGGAAAUAAAUAUGAUUUAAGCAAAUUCUAUUCUUAAUUUUAUAAAUUAAAUUAUUUUCUAUUUAAUUUUAUACAUAUUUUAUAUUUUGAAAUUUUGAUUUAUUGUAGACAAACAAAUGAAUUUGGCACAAUAAAUUCUUAAUAUCUUAAUAUAAGGUAUGGUAAAAUGGUAUUUUGACUUAUUGUAGACAAAUUAAAUUUUCGCACAAUAAAUACUUAAUCCAUCAUAAAAUUAAAGGGAAAAUAAUAAUAAUUUAUAUAAUUAAUCUUUUGGGCAAUAAUGUAAAAAAAAGAAGGGCAAAAAGAAUUUAUUAAGUUUUAUUUACUUCUAAGAGUGGAUCCAUAACCCUAACUAGUUCAAUUUCAUAGUUUCAUUUAAAUUAAGUUUUUUAUAUUUAAGUUUUAAUUUCAAUUUUUAGUUAAAAUAAAGUAAACUAAUUAAAUCUUUUCUCUGUGGAUCGACCUCGGACUCACCGAGUUAUAAUACAACAAGACACUCUUAUACUUGGGAGUUAAAAAUUACUUUUAAGUUGUGUCACGCAGUAAGAAGUACAAAUUAGAUUUAACUCUCCGCCUGUAAAUAUUUUCUUCUGUGUUACACCACCCAGGUGAUGUCCUCUAAACUCUACUUCUUUCCUUUCAAACAUUGACGACAAUGUUUCGUUCUGGUUGGGGGGAGGGAAUAGUCGACAAUUAGGGAAUCUUGGUUAAGUUUUUACUAAUUUUUUGUUGUAGAAACUAAUUGUUGCUAACUUUUUGUGUUGAAGAUGGCUGAAUAUGGAGUGUAGUGACUCUAGAAACGCAUCUUCAUCAUUUGAAAAAAACAAAACAAAAAAAAUUCAAAAAAAAUAAAAAAAAUUCAGACAUUUUCUUUUUCUUUAGUAAGUUUUGAUAUUCAUUUUUCUUGUUCUUUAAUUUCUCCUUUAUAAAUAUACAUUUUUAAAUAUUUGAGUUGAAGAUAGAUGAAUAUGAAGUGUAGUGCCUCUAAAAACGCAUCUUCUUAGUAAAAAAAAAAAAAAAACCAUUUUCUUUUUCUAUCAUUUUAAGUGUAACUUUUCUGAUUAGUUUUUCUACUUCAUUUUCACAUUUCUGCAUGCAUAUUUUCCUUUUAUGUUUAGAAUAGGUUGGGGGGUAGAAUAUUCUUUAAAAAAAAUUGUGUGAUUUGUUUUAACAUUGAAUGACAUGAUUAAUUUCAAAUUUUAGUAUUUAUUUUAUCUUUGGUCUUAAGUGAUGUUACACUAUGUUUGCUACUCUACAUGUUGAUGUCGGAGACAAAUAUGAGUUGCUUGAAAGAAUGAACAUGUCAUAAUAAGUACCAAGUGAGUUUUUAAGCCUAUUAUUUUUCUUGGAGAGUAACCCUUUUGCCCAUUCUUUAUACAGCUUAACAGUUUAUUAUUGUAUACACGAUCUCUAGAUUUCUUUUGAGUUAACCCUUAAAAAAAAUUGUAAAAUUAAAAAAAAAAAGAAAAAAAUGUGUGUUGCUACAUUUGAAUGCCCAUCUAACUAGUAGAUAUGGAAGGUUAUUUAGAGCCCUAAAAGACGAUGGAAAGGCCAUCUUUGAUCCGUUUGAGCCUUUCUAGCCAUCCAUUUUAUCAAAUAUCCAUAGUCAACCCUUUUGAGCCUUAAAAAAAAAAAAAAAUUUCUUUGUCAAACUUAUCAUCUUGACCCACUCCGAUUUGGAGUAUUACCCAAUAUCUUACAAGUUCCAUCACCUAUUUAUAUUUGAGAAAAAUGUAAAUAAAUAAUUUGUACAGUGAAGUUAUGCUAAAAAAAAAAAUUGUUAGUUCAAAAAAAAGAAGAAAAAAAUAACAAUAAUAGGUGAAAUCCACCUUGCAACUUCUGAAAAAAAAAAUUCCUCUGCAUUUUUCUCAAACAUACACUUUAUUUUCCUUAUUUCUCUUCUUUGUUAACCAUGUCCCUAGCCUACGUUACGUCAUAAUAAAAGUUCUUCUUGAUUUUACGGAAUUAUAGUCUGAAGUAGAAGCUAGUUAUAUGGGCUAAAAAGAUGUAGUGGUGUAUAAAAAAAUAAUAAUAAUAAAUAAAUUGGGCUGACUAGCAUUUUUAUUUGACUUGAGAUCGUAUUAUUUCUAAGCUGAGGGCAUAUUUCUUUCAUCUUGGUGAGAGCACGUGAUAUCAUUUCUUUAUUAUUUUCUCUCAAUUACCAUUCAUUGCAGUUACUAUUUUUAUUGGGUAUAAUUUCUUUGUGAGAGUGUCACUAUAUCCAGUGAGAUUUUGGGAUUUAACAUGUCAUUCUUGAAAGUAGCUGUGACAAAGUCUACUGGUCUGAUUCAUGUGGAUGGUUGAUGUGGGUGUGAUGUUUCUUUAGAUUGGAGAUAAUGCUUAUACUUUUAUUUGAUUACUAUCAUUAGUCUAAUUGAAUAAACAUGAGUGUUAAAAAAAAAUAUUAUUUUGGAUUUAAAUUUUGUUUUCGCUUUAUUUGCUAAGGACUAGCAAUAAGUUGGUUGGGAGGUGUGUUGAGUGUUAGAAAAUGUAUAUUUGUAAAGGAGAAAAUCGUCAUUUUACACUUUAAAUUUUACUAACACCCUUACUUUUAUGUAUUUAACUUUCUUUUGAUUUAAUUCCGUGUGUUUUAUUUUAAUUAAGUAUUUUAUGUAUUUUAGGGGCAUCAUAGUCAUUUCACAAUGAACGAGAGAUCAGACUGCAAAACGAACAUCAAUUUUGAACUCAGGACGGUCGAAAACCUUAGGAGGAGCAUAAAAGGAAAAAUAGUACUGUUCACAUGUACGGUACUAUUCACAUAUACGAUACUGUCUACGUUACUGUUCAUGACACUGUUCAUAUAGACGGAUCGAUGAUGUGGCAUUGACCGAUGAUGUGGCAUUGACUGAUGAGGUGUCACGAUCCUGUUGGACUAAAAUUCUUAUGUACUGUUGAUCGAUGACGUGGCAGCAUAUUAGUGGACCAGAAAUCUCGCGUACGGUACAUGCAUUACACAGGAUUAUUUUCAACCAAACCGCGUUACUGCUUAAGCCGGGUCAAACCGUGUUACUGUUCACCCACGUGGUCAAACCGCGUACUGUUGACUGGUAACGUGGCGCAAUCCUGAGCGUCCAAACUGUUUUUAAUCCGAUGGCCAUGAUUUACUCCAUGUAUCUAUAAAAAGGGGGCCUCCCCCCUAAUUUGAUAUCUCUGAAUCCAUUUUUGGAAUUCAUUUUCUGCAAUUCCUUCUCCAUCUUGUAUUUUCUACGUAUUUUAAUAAAUUUUCAUUUUGCCCCUAUUUCAAUUAUGAGUAGCUAAUUUUCUUUCAAGUUUAGGUUGAAGGUGAAGUCUCAACAUGUGUCAUUGGCUAAUUUGGUAAAUUUAUUUUCUUCUCUCCUCUAAUUUUUGUUGAAAAUUUGACUUUUCGUCGACAAAUAAUAAUAAUCUUGCCUAGAUACCGCCUUGGUUUUACUGGCUCCCUAGUACAAGGUUAUUAUUAUUUGGCACGAUAAGCCCUUAACACCAUAUUGAUUAGAGUGUGGUUUAUGAGGUGUGGAUUCCCCCCUCAUGAUUUAAUUGAUAUUAAUAAAGAAUAUUUAGCCCAUGACGCAUGUUGAUACGGAUCCAGAUACCCAAGUACGCCAUUUCAAUAGAUUUCUCUUCAAUUUAUUCUUGCCAUUUCAAUUCCAAUUUUAGUAUAAUCCAAGUCAUUUUCACCAUAAAUCCAACCACCCAUUUAGAAAAUUAAUUCUACACACAAUUAAAAUCCACCUCCUCGUGGGAUCGACACUCGUCACUAUUAAUCUACACUACAAUAUAUUUGUGCACUGAGUUCAAUAAAAUUUGCACAACAAGAAGUUUUGGGAAAGAAAGACCUAUUUUCAAAAAAUGUAACAUCCAUUGUGACGAAGAAUUUUUUAAACAAUGGAUCAUAACAUUUGUAGCCUUUUUGAGUAGGAGAAUAGCCAAGAAAUACACAUUUUAAAGCCCUAGGAUCAAGUUUGCUCCUGUUCUGUUUAUGAACGUGAACAAAAGCAAUGCACCCAAAAAUCUUUGGUGGUAAAGAUGUGAAAACCUUAGCGAAGGGAUAGAAUUUUGUGAAAACAUUUAAUGGAGACUGAAAAUUAAAGAUUCGGGUAGGCAUACGAUUUAUCAAGUAUGAUGCUGUGAGAAUGGCUUUACCCCAAAACUGUUUUGGCACUUUAUUUGUGAACAUAAGAGAGCGUGCAACUUCUAAUAGGUGUCGAUUUUUCCGUUCAGCAACACCAUUUUGCUGAGGAGUAUCUACACAAGAGAAUUGGUGCACAAUACCAUUUUCCAUGAAAUAAUGACCAAGGGCAGUAGCAAAAUACUCUCUCCCAUUAUCAAUUCUAAAGACUUGAAUUUUUGCUUGAAAUUGUGUUUGAAUCAUGGUAUGAAAGGUUUUAAAAACUGUUGCAGUUUCUGAUUUUUCUUUAAGCAAGUACACCCAACAAACACGAGUGAGGUCAUCAAUAAAAGUUAUGAACCAUUUAGCCCCCGAAAUGUUUGUAACACGAGAGGGUCCCCAAAUAUCAUUGUGUAUAAGAGAAAAAGGUGCAGAUUUUUUAUACGGCUGUGAAGGAAAAGAUGCACGAUGAUUUUUGGACAAUACACAAAUUUCACACUGAAACAAAGAAAGAUUUUUAUUCUUGAACAGUAAAGGAAACAAAUGUUGUAAAUAAGAAAAACUAGGAUGACCUAAUCGGAGAUGCCACAACAUUAUUUCAUCUUCAAUAGAGAAAGUUAGUUCAUUAUUUGCUGACUGAGCUUCUCCACACAAACUAACAUCCUCCUCGAAGUAGUACAAACCAUCUACCUCUCUAGCACUGCCAAUCUUCUUCCCCGAACACAGGUCCUGAAAUUCACAAUAGGAACGAGAAAAUUUAGCAAUGCAAUGAAGAUCCUUGGUAAUUUUGCUAACAGAUAAAAGGUUACAAGACAAAUUAGGAACAUGAAGAACAGAUGUUAACACCAAAUUUGUGGAGAUAGGAAUAGAUCCUUUUCCUGCUACGGAAGAUAGUGAACUGUUGAAUGUUAGAAAAUGUAUAUUUAUAAAGGAGAAAAUCGUCAUUUUACAUUUCAAGUCUUACUAACAACCCUUACUUUUAUGUAUUUAAGCUUCUUGUAAUUUAAUUAUGUGUGUUUGAUUUUAAUUAAGUAUUUUAUGUAUUUUAGGGGCAUCAUAGUCAUUUCACAAUAAACGAGGGAUCAAACGGUAAAACAGACAUGACUUUUGAACUCAAGACGGUCGAAAACCUUAGGAGGAGCAUAAAAGAAAAAAUGGUACUGUUCACAUGUGCGGUACUGUCUACCUUACUGUUCACAUAGACGGAUCGAUGACGUGGCAUUGACUGAUGAGGUGUCAUGAUCAUGUUGGACUAAAAUUCUUAUGUACUAUUGAUGGUGACGUGGCAGCAUAUUAGUGGACCAAAAAACGCACGUACGGUACAUGCAACAUAUGGGAUUAUUUUCAACCAAACCGCGUGGUCCAACUGUGUUACUGUUCAAACCGCGUGGUCAAACCGCAUACUGUUCACGCGUACUAUUGACGCGUACUGUUGACUGAUGACGUGGCACAAUCUUGAGUGUCCAAACUGUUUUUAAUCCGAUGGCCAUGAUUUACUCAAUGUAUCUAUCAAAAGGGGACCUCUCCCCCCUAAUUUGAUGCCUCUGAAUCCAUUUUUUGACUCUGUUUUCUAUAAUUCCUUCUCUAUCUUGUAUUUUCUAUGUAUUUUAAUAAAUUUCCAUUUUACCCCUAGUUCAAUUAUGAGUGACUAAUUUUCUUUCAAGCUUGGGUUGAAGGUGAAGUCUCAACAUGUGUCAUGGGCUUUAUUUGGUAAAUUUAUUUUCUCUUCCCCUCUAGUUUUUGUGGAUGAUUUGACUUCUCGUCGACAAAUAAUAAUAGUCUUGUCUAGAUACUGCCCUGGUUUCACCGGCACCCUAGUACAAGGUUAUUAUUAUUUGGCACGAUAAGCCCUUAGCACCAUAUUGAUUAGAGUGUGGUUCAUGAGGUGUGGAUUCCCGCACUCAUGAUUUAAUUGGCAUUAGUAAGGAUUAUUUAGCCCAUAACGCAUGUUGAUACAAAUGCAAAUACCCAAGUACGUCAUUUCAAUAGAUUUCUCUUCAAUUUAUUCUCGUCAUUGCAAUUCCAAUUUUAGAAUUUAUUAUCGCCAUUUCAAUUCCAAUUUUAGGAUAAUUUAAAUCACUUCCACUACAAUUACAACCACCCAUUUACAAAAUUAAUUCUACACAUAAUUAAAAUCCACCUCCUCGUGGGAUCGACACUCGUCACCAUUAGUCUAUUCUACAAUAGAUUCGUGCACUUGCGAUUCAAUAAAAUUUGCACAACAUGAACCAUCAGCAAUUUUAAUUUUUUGACUACCAGAACAUGGAAUAUAUGAAGAAAAUAAUUUAGAAUGGCUGGUCAUAUGAUCGGUUGCUCCUGAAUCGAUGAUCCAUGGAUCUUGUUUCUCAUAAACAACUCCUAAAGCAGUGAAAUUAUUACCUUUCUGGGCUAAAGAACUAAAGGACGAAGGAUUUGGGAGAGAUUGUGACUGAUUUAGAAACCUGUACAGUUGCUCUAACUGCUCUUUAGUGAAGAGUUGAGAUUUGGUUUCUCCAGUAUUGGUUGUCGGCCGAUUCUCCCCAACAACUUGGAAACCACGACUAUGUUUACCAGAGAAUUUAUUGUUUUUCAGAUUUGGAGGUUUUCCAUGAAACUUCCAACAUGCAUCUCUAGUAUGUCUUGGCUUAUGGCAAUAAUCACACCAAACUCUGUCCUUCUCAUCACUCUUCUUCAAGUUUUUUGUUCCACCAACCAGUGGAGCUUCUGGUGUAACAGAGAUCAAGGUUGAGUUCUCUGCUGAAGAACCUCCCAUCAUCACAUUCUUUCUACUUUCCUCUCUUCUUACAUAAGAAAACACUUCCCUGGUAGAAGGAAGAGGUUCCUUUCCAAGUACUCGCCCACGGACUUCAUCAAGGUCUAAACUCAAACCUGCUAAGAAUUCAAAUACACGCUCUUUUUAUAACAUCUUCUUGUAUUUAGCACUAUCAGCAGCACAUUCCCACUCGCCAUCAUAGUAUUGAUCUAACUCUUGCCAUAAGCCCUUCAAAAUAUUGUAGUAUUUAGUCACUCCUUGACUACCUUGUUUGGUUUCUCACAUUCUGGUUUUUAGAUCAUAAAUCUUAGCAGAAUUUCCCAAAUCAGAAUAGGUCUCGGUGACAGCAUCCCACAAAUCUUUUGCUGUUGGCAGAAACAAGUAAGUUUGACCUAUUUCUUGUUCCAUUGAAUUCACUAACCAUGACAUGAUCAUUGAGUUAUCAGCAUCCCAAGUUUGAAACUUUGGGUCGUCUUCAGUUGGUUCUUUAAUUGAACCAGUAAGGUAACCAAUCUUCCCUUUACCUCUGAUAAACAUCUUCACAGAUUGGGACCACUGAAGAAAAUUUUGACCAUUCAAUUUAUGGGUUGUGAUAUGAAGUGAUGGACUAUCAUUAGAAACAUAACUUGAUGGUCGUAGAUGCCAUUGCAACUGCUCUGAAGAUAACUCAGAAGUUUCUUGGUCGCUAUACUUUGACUUUGGUAUUCAAAUAGAAUUGAAAACUAAACCCAAGAAUCAAAGAGCGGCUAUGAUACCAUGAGAAAAUUAUUGAAGAAAUAUGUAUCUCAUUUUCUCUUCUUUUACAAUAGGAUUACAUGAUAAACAUAUAAAUUCUAAACUACAUAACGUGCAAGAGUAGGAAAGUAAACAACUAACUGUAGACUAAGAAACUAAGAAGCAAACUCUAUCAAAAAAUUGAAAUUCUAUCCCUAUCUUUUUUUCCUUAAAAAUAGGAUAGAAAACAUGUGACUUUUCCACAGCAACUAAACAUACAAACCUUGAAAUCCAAAAUUGUACUCGAUGAAUGUGCAAUUGCUCGAGCAGGUAAAUUUACUGCAAAGGCUCUUACAAACCCUCAAAGAUGAUACUCUGCAUACCAUGGUAACCUGAAUAACAAAAAGAAACACAGUGAAUAUUAAAGGGCAAUCUGACAAUGCAAAUUUGUGCAAAUUAACAACUGUGGUUACCUGCAUAAUAGUCUUAAUUCCGAAUUCCUUCCUCCAUGGAAGCAUAUGAUCAGCCCACAUGUGCUUUGCUCUGUAGCUUUUGAGUACCUGAAAUUGUUAUUACAACCAACGGUGAAAAUUGGGUGAAAAAAUGGUAAUAUUAGCAUAAUUGAAUUUGCUUAUAGAGGAUAAACCGAUCAAAGAAAAAAACAAGAUAGAAAUGAUUAUCUUAGUACCUUAAUAUCAUGCAAUAAAAAUCAUCAUGCCAUCCAGGCAGCUAUCCAUCCUCAAUUGAAACAGAGCAGACCUGGCCAUCACUUUCUUCUUCAAAGUCCAGCAACUGAACGUUGCACACAACACCACAGUGGAAGUAGUUACAUCACCAGCCUAAUCCUUGAUUACCCCAAUGUUCUCCAUAGGGUCUUCAAAGUCAACCUAAAAAUAAAAUGAAAAUGCAAUGCAUUAUUAUUAGGGAUCUAGUGCUUGAGCUUGCUUUGACAUCAUGGUAUUAGCAAAUUCUGAUAUUGCCAAAAUGGUAAACAAGAUGAUGUACUUGAUAAGAAAAACCUGAUUUAACAAAUAAUUAAGAAGCAGGUACCAAUCACAUAAUCUCAUCAUGUGGGGAAUGCCUUGGCAACAGAAGAUGGUGCUUUCAUUCAAGCAAUAGCAACUUUCCAAUUUCACAAGGUAGUUUAAUGGCCCUUUUAAGAACAUCUGUACCAGCCUAACAAUUAUUCAUGGAAAUUAAAAUUCAGAAUCAUAUUAGAUUAAGAGAUGAAAUAUAAUAAGCGAUUUGGCCACCAUAUAUGCAUUUAUCACCUUCAAUUCGCUCAUCUUUGUCUAGAGUAUUGCUUCUGCAUUAACUUAAUUAGCUUCCAAGCCACCUACAAAUGGUUUUAAAUAAUGUGUGAAAGUGUGAAUUCGAACGAAUUAAUCAAAUAUGCUGACAGGAGAAACAAAAGUAAAUAACCACAAGAAGUAGAAAUAUACUUUUGUUAUAUUCAGAGCAUCUUCUUGCGUCAAGUUCUUUUCCUUUAGCUCUGUUUCUGUUUGUGCUCAAACGCAAUGGCUCAAGGGUCCAGAUAAUUUUAUGACCGUCAAUCUUUUUGCAGCCACAGCAAACUUGAAAAAAUGAUCGUGGCCCUAAGGAACUUGAAAAUUAGAAAAGAUUCAGACUGAGUGACUAAAUAUUAUAAUCGAAACUAACUAAAUAUUAUAAUCGAAACUAAUUAAACGCCUAGAAAAUUUGAAACUGAGCAAUUGCUUCUGGUGGAAACUUUACUGCAAGGACUUUCUCAAACCCUUGAAGAUCACACUCUACCUGAUAACAAAGAAACAGUCAAUAUACGAAGCUGAUUUUACUAACAAGUGAGUGCUUACACAUAUUGGAAGGAUAAUGAUUACUCAUAACCCAAAUCCCCAAUACUCCCUAAUAUCUCACUCAAGUGAGUUCGAGCUCCCAGAAUUCACUACUGUGAAACUCUUACAACAAAAUUCCCUUCAAAGAUUCUCUACUCAAAUUUGAUGAUGAUGUCCCUCGAAAGGAGGCAAAAAAUCUAACACUGAUCAAAUUGGCUUGUGAACAAUUAAUCUUCCUGGCCAUCAUGCAUACCAGGUGUGGUGAGCAAUCUUCAUUCUGACAUUUGCCUUAAUAAGCGGCUUAGUAUCCUUAACCUGAUAACUUACACAAACAAAAACAACUUGAUUAAAGUUUAAUAUUUAGAGGCAGAACAGUAAAGAAGAUGAUAUAUAUUGAUACUAAAAUUUGACCUGCGUUAUCCUGUCGUCAAGAAUCACGGCAUCUCAUGUGGGCAGAAUCUUCGCAGUACAAAUGCUUGCAAAAUUGAAGCAACAACUUAUCACCUGUGAUUUAAUUCCAUGCAUAAUACGACCAAAAGUAAAACUUUUUGCCAGGGCUCUGUGUUUCUGUUUGUGCUAAAACCAAUGGAAACCGAUGGAAUGAAUUUCUAGGAAUUCGACAUAUCAGCCAAAACAGGUACUCUGUACAAGCAAAGUAAAAUAGGGUUACAAAAAAUUUUAAGAUUGAUAUGAUAAUUAAAAUUUCAGUCACCAUAUAAUUAAUAGAAAACUUUGGACACAAUGAUUUAUUGCAUAUUAAGAUUGCUAUACAAAAUAUAUUAUUAGCAUUAGGAGACCGCACCAAAGCAUACCGAAUUGAAUGUGCCUUUUUACAGCCAUUUUACAAGCUUUGAAGCUUUACCACAAAUGCUUUUUCCAACCCGUGAACAUGAUGCACCCGAAAGAUGCAAGCUAUGAAAUUGUUACUACAGCAAGCGUUGGAACAUUUGUUAACGAAGGAAGUUUAUGAAAAUACGCCUUUGGAUACCCGUCUUCAGGAAUCAAUUCAUCCGUAAUAACAAUUUUCAAGAAGUAUCAACUGCUUUAAGUUCAUCGACAUCACAGAGAUCUUCAACUAAAAUAGUGUAGAUCCGGCCAUCACUAUCCCUUCUACUGCUCUUUUCCUUUAGAGAAUGCUUGAAUUACAUAAUGCGUGUAAGGCAUUCUUAUUCAAGGUCCAAUGAUCAAACCUUGCACAAUAACAACUGAGGUAGUGGUUCCUUCGCCAGCCUAACCCUUGGUCUCAGGAAUGUCCUCAACAGGGUGCUCGAAAUCAACCUAAAAAUCAAGAAUGAGUUGGAAAACUGUUUAUGGCCCUAAAGAACUUGAAAAUCAGAAAAGAUUAAGAAUGAGUGACUAAACAUUUUAAUCGCAACUAAACAUACAAACCUUGAAAAUCUAACUUUGAAGUACUCUUGAAUGAAUGAGCAAUUGCACGAGCUGGUGACAACUAAGGUUACUGUGAAGUCUCUUACAAAUCCUUAAAGAUGAUACUUUACAUACCACGAUAACCUGAUAACACAUAGGAACACAAUGAACAUUAAAGUGUAUUCUGACAAUGCAAAUUUGUGGAAAUUAUCAGCUGUGGUUACCUGGACAAUAUUGCCAACACCAAGCUCUUUCCUCAAUUGAAACAUAUGAUCAGCCCACAAAUGCUUUGCUUUGUAGCUUUUGAGAGCCUGAAAUUGUUAUCACAACCAACAGUGAAAAUUGGGUGAAAAAAUUGAUAUUAGCAUAAUUCCGUAUGUUUAUAUAGGAUAAACCGAUCAAAGAAUAAAAAAAGAUAAAAACAGAGCAGACCCAGCCAUCACUUUCUUCUUCAAAGUCGCACAAUAACCACAAUGGUAGUCGUUCCACUGCUAGCCUAAUCCUUGGUCACCCCAAUGUUCACCAUGAAGUAUUCAAAGUCAACCUAAAAAUAAAUAAAAAUGCAAUGCAUGUGGAAAUGAAAAUUCUAUAAAUUAAAUAAAAUAAAAAUGCAAUGCUUGAGCUUGAGCUUGCUUUAGCAUCAUCGUAAUAGUAAAUUUUGAUAUAUCUUUACUUCUCUGUUCUUGUUUAUUCACAACAAGAUAUCAAUAGAAGAAGAUGGAAAUGAAAUUCUAUAAAAUAAAGCAAGUGAAUUACCAGCAGAACAUUUUAGCAAUCCUUUGGCUAAACUUUUCAUUUUCUUAGCAUACUCUCCUGCCUGCAUCAUUAAAACCAAAUUAGAUUGGACCUGUGAAUUGCUAGUGUGGUUCUGACAUUUCCUCGAGUCCCUGGUGAACAUAACUAAACUCGUAUGAAACAAUUACACAAUUACUUUAAAGAAUUAAUGUCACAUAAAUUAUAUAUAAAAAAAUACGAUUAUCAUUAUACAAGAUAAAAUUGAUAAUUUAGUUUUCAACAUUACUGCAAAUGUAUCACAGAGAUUUUUUCUCUCAGGAAGUUACACAUAACAACUUUUCGUACAUUAAAAAAUAAAUUACAUUGGGAUUUUCUAUUAUGUUGUAUCAAAUUUUAUAAAAGAGCACAAAUUUUUUAAAAGAAAAUAUAGAAAUUUCAACAUACUACGCUUGGUUUUUUUUUAAUUAUUUAAUCUUUAGAAAACAAGUUUAACAGAUUUGAUAACUAGGAAGUUUUACAUAUUUAUACCAUGAUUGAUUCUAUAUAGAAUUUUAAUUCAAAAUAUAAUUAUUUUUAUUAAUUUCAUUGUAAGCAACAACGAAGUAAAUCAGAGGAGGAGAAAUUACCAGCGAGUGAUAUCUUACGGCGACCACUUGAUGUGGGGAAUGUGGGAUAUCUUAUACCAGUCUUCUCCUUCCCCCUCUCUAUAACGGUUUUCCAGAAUGAGACAUCUCCAAAUUGUCAAUUCCUGCAGCGUCGUCGUCCGAAGAAGGUAAUCCGGCAGCACCUUUAAUUUGGGGCAAUCCCAAAUUCGCAAGGAAGAAAGACGUAGUAUGUCUGUUGUCCUGCGAUCUUCUAGAACGGGCAGUUCUUCUAGAAGAUAACAAGAAUAAAUACUCAGUUCCUGCAGUGUCGUCGAUUGAAGAAGGUAAUCCGGCAGCACUUUUAAUCUGGGGCAAUAAGAAAUCUCCAAGGAAGAAAGACGUGGCAUGAUGGAGAUGUUUUCCGUCCUCGUAAUCCUGUAAUUCCACUCUUCCACUUCAUCAAAUUCGCCAAUUUCGAGAGAUUUCAAUUUGGGGAAGGCAAUAACUGAUGAUGACGAUGAAGAUGAAGAUGGGUCGUCCUCACUGCUUUCUUUUAUUCCCAAAAACUCAUUACCUACUCUUUUUACACUUUCAAAGCCGCGUAGUUCGAGUUUUUCCAGAGGCAAUUUUCCCAAAGGAGGCAAAUGCUCACAGUUUACGCAGUAGAAAAGGCUUAAAUCCCUUAGAUUGGUUAGUGAAGUCAACCAUUUGGGAAAAAUGUUGCCUCCGUAGAAUAUAAUCCUUAACUCCUCUACAUUCAAAGGCGGUUGUAAGGCUUCAAGAAGUUGUUUAUCUUUCUCGUUCUUCCUCCUCCCUUCUUCGCCCUCCCCAUCUACGACUCCACCAAACUCAAGAUGCAAACGAAGGAGGUUUUUCUUAUUGUAAAGUUGUAACCUCUCAGCCUCAUCUACAUGCGAUACAUUACUCAGCCCUUCUACUCUACAUUCACGAAGGAGUUGAAGAUUUUUCAGAGAUUCAAGCCUACACGUAUUGCUACCAUCAACACCUCCACCCACCACAAACUUUUCUAAUGUUCGAAGGCUAGUCAAUUUGGAAAUCCCUAUUGGCAGGUACUUCAACGAACGAGUUUUAUCAUUCAGUAAACUCCUCAUGUUCAUUAACUUCCCAAUCCCUGCAGGCAAUUCUCUAAGAUAUUCGCACUGCCUAAUAUCUAGCUUUUGUAAAUUAUAUAAUUGACACAAAGUCUCAGGUAGUCUCUCUAACCUUAAUCCAGACAAAUUAAGAUAUUUUAAAUGUAUCAAUUUUCUAACUUUUUCUGGAAUUUCUAUAAUCAAAUUUGCCUCAGGAUGAAAACCUAAAAUGUGAUAUUGCCUCAUAACUAAUGCCCUCAAACACGCCAAUUUACUAAAUAACUCCGAAAGGAUGCUACUACUAAGAGGCCGACUGUAAGGACUUUCAUCAUAAAUUAAUAAGGUACGCAAUCUAUUAAGUCCAUGAAUGGACAUAGGAAAUGAAGUGCCUCUUUGAAAAUUUAACCCUAAGUGACGGACUUUGUCACCAAAAGAGUUUAUGACUGAUUCUUUGGUACCAUUAAUUUCUACCCACAAACAUUCUUUUCUACUUACAAAUUGGGCAAAAUCAUGUACUAUGUCAUGCAUCUUACACCCCAGAAUAUCAUCAUUGUCAUCAUCUUUUUCAAACUCUUGAAAGAAAGAGCGUGUUGCUAAGAUGUUGAAAUAUUCUUCUCCGAUCAUCUCCAUUUCUUCGUCUUCAUCUGCAUUAAGGUAACCUUGAGCCAUCCAUAGAUUAAUCAAUUCCCUUUUAUUCAUAUUGUAGUCUUUUGGAAAGACAGCACAAUAUGAGAAACACCGUUUUACCAUAGAAUUGGAGGGCAAAUCGUUAUAACUCAACAACAAAGGAGCCAAAAUACCUUGCCCAAUCUCUUCUACUUUCCACAUUUCACUCUCUAAAAUUCUUUGCCACUCUUUUAUUGUACUUUUAGAGCGCAAGAGAUUCCCUAUUACCUUUGCAGCAAGAGGUAGGCCUUUGCACUUACAUGCAAUUUUUCGCCCGAUUGGUUCUAAUUUUUCACAAUCCUCAAAGGACCUACGUAGAAAUGCUAUCUGCUUAAACAGUAACCAACAUUCCCCUUCACCCAACUCCUUGACAGGGAUAAUAUCUAUUGAUCCCAACUGCAGUGCAACUGACCUAUCACGUGUGGUAAUUAGAAUUUUACUUUCAUGGUGGCCAUUCUUUAGACAAGAAAAGAAUGGGUCCCAUUUUUUGUAAUCUCCAUCCCACACAUCAUCUAAAACAAGAAAAAAUUUCUUCCCCGUAAUAUAUUCCUGAAUCUGUUUCAUAAGAGAUUCGAAUUCGCUUAAACCAGAAGCUGACGCGCCUAGACUUUCAAUGAUUGCUUUGGCGACCCUAAUCUCCUCAAAAGUGUCUGAUACACACACCCAUAUAACUUUUUCAAAAUUUCUUUUCACCUCAUCAUUAUUAUAGGCCAGUUGUGCAAGAGUGGUUUUACCUAUACCCCCUAACCCAACUAGUGAGAUGACAUGAAGGCCUUUUUGUUGUUCACUACUUUCACACAACAACUUGCUUAAGAGCUCAUUUUUCUCAUCAACUCUACCGCAAACCUCUCCCUCAUCAAUCAAGGAGGUGGUUCGCACUCGCUCUGGUUUCUUAACAUUGCUGCUCACAUUCUCAACAAAUUUAAACGUAUCUUUUUGGGAGGCAAUAUCAUCUAGCUUUCCAUUGAUUUCCCUGAUCUUGACGGCAAUGUCAUGACGAAGACUAAGUUGUUUGAAACUACCAAAGCAGUUUGAUACAGCACAAAAGAAGGAGCGUACCUUCUUAUGAGGAGCAAGAGCAAAAGCAUUGUCAUCAUCAACGCCCUCAAUCUGCAAUUUGAGCCUUGCAGUGGUCCACUCCUCCAACACGUCUUCCAUGUCGUAAGAUGCGUCUUUGAGUUGAUCCAGCCAAAAAGUAACAGCAUUGUCGCGCUGCAUUUGCCUUUUCUCUGCAUCUUCCAGCACAGCUCGAAUGGCUCGAAGAUUGCUGGUAAGCUUUUUCACUUCUUCUCCGACACCAGUCACAAGCCUCACCUGUUGUUUCACUUCAUCAGCCGCAACGGAGAUCAGCUGCUCCAGGAGAGAGGAAACGAUCGCAUCAACCAUUCUGACAAAGAAAACGAGAAUUCUGAUGAGUUAUUAGAUGUGCUUUUGUUGCGAAGAUAUGAAAGAAAGGAGUUAUUGCAUUCUUUUAUACUGCAUAGAAAAGGUUUAUGCUUAUCCCCAACCCACACGUCAAUGAUUGUAGAAUGUUUAAUUUCCCUGAUUCUACUCCACUAGUUGUAAUAUUCUCAAGUUAUGUAUGAAAAUAGCACAAAUUUGGACCUACUGAUGAUUUUUAUGUAUUUUUUCAUAAUCUUCUAAAAUACUGUAUCUGCAUGUUAUUUCGUGCAGAAAUAUGGCAUUGGGUGAAAAAAGUUAUGCUUAUCCCCACCCACACGUUAGUAAUUGCAGUAGCAUCUUUAAUUUCCCUGAUUCUACUCCACGGACGAACACAUUUUUUGUACUAAUAUCUUUAAAUUCCCACACGUUAGGAAUUUGGCACAUAAUCUCAAACUCGUCCCAUCUUUAACGUAUGAGGUUGAUGAAUGAAUUCUUUUCUCAUGUGAAUUUAAAACUCCGAGAUUAUGUGCCAAAUUCCUAACGUGUGGGAAUUUUACCUCCUAAGUAAUCCGGCCCACUGCCAAGUGCCAACUUUUUCUCUGUCGAGUUAAUGAUGUUGUUUUGUUUUCCUUGUUUUAAUUAAUGUUGCGGUGAGAAAAAGAUCGAUGUAAAUGGCUAGCCAGGUUUUGCAGAAACCAUGAAUGGUCUUGCAUGCAUGGGUGGCUUUAAGUAUAGGCCAAAAAGAUGGUCGUCUAAGGCCCCAAAUUUUAAAAAAGCUACAAUUUUUUAAUAUUAAUAAUAAUUCUCUUAUUAAUAAAAUCUUUUAAAAAAAUUAUAUGUGUGGUAGAAAAGCCUAUUAGACAUAUCUCUAAUUAAUAAUUAUCCUAUAAUUAAUAUUUUUUUUAUAUAAAAACCUAUAAUUGGUUAUCUUAUUGUUAAAGAGAUAUAAUUAAUAAUAUUGUUUAACCAUUAAUUUAUUCAUUAUUAGUUUUUCUAAUAAAAAUAAGUAAAUUUUUUUAUCUUUUCAACUUCUUAAAAAAAAACUUAAUUAUUCAACAUUAGAAUAUUUGGCUUUGAGUAUUUCUUUUAAUUUCUACUAAAAAUCUUAUAAUCUAAAAAAUUAUAGAUGAAAAAUUUCUUAUUAUCUUCUCUACGAUGAAGAUUAUUACAUGCAUUAGUUCAUUCAAAAAAGAAAAAUAAAAAAUUAGUUACUUGAAAUACAAAGUCCAUAUCCAUUAUCUAAAAUCAGUUCAUAAUCUCAACUUUUUAUGUGCUACCAUUCUAAAUAUUCUAUUUGAAAAUAGUAUUGUUCUCAUUUAUUCGUUUGCUUCUUUUUGUAAAAUUUCUAAUGAUAAAUUUUAGAUUUUGUUUUCAAAAAUUUUUAGAAUCUUCUUGAUUAUUUGUUGAAAUUCAAGAAUAAAAACUGAAAUGGAUUUUCAGUUCUUUAUUGUUUUAUUGAAUAUUGAAAUUACUAAAUAAAAAGAGGUCUCAUAAAAAAAAAAAAAAAAAAAAGUUCGUCUAAGGCCCCUAAUACUAUAAGCCGGCCCUGCUUGCAUGUGACAUAAAGCUUUAUAGCUUAUUCCUCCAUCAACAUUUCAAUGGUUCCAUCUCACGUGCACUUGGCUAUGAAUAAGGUCCAUGCAUGGAUCGAUCGAUUUAGGAGUUUUGGACCAUCUCAUGCUGCAGAGUUAUGUGUCAUGUAUGUGUGUUGACACUUGCCAGUUCAUUUUUGUUAUAAAGAUUAUUGAUACUCAUAAAUGCACUACUUACAAAUCAUAAAUUUUGAGUUUGACACUUUAGUUUCAUUUUGUAAUCCCUACGCUCUUUAAAUAUUUGUAACAAUAUAUUUCAAACUUUAACUCAGACGUAAUGAAUGAAGGGGGAUCCUCUUCUUAUAUAAAUUUUUAUUUUUUAACGUUCAAGUUACAUUUGAUUACGUGUACUUAUUAUCUAGUUUUGACUAUCUAAUUACAUUUGAUUACGUGUACUUAUUAUAUAAAUUUUUUUAAAAAUGAUGGGUUUGGUGAGAUUUUUUACAUCUUGGAUCAGUAGGUCAAGAACAGGCAGGGCAGGGCCUUCUCUGAAGUCAAUCUUGUGAGCAACACCAGCUUUUUGGAUAAUUGGCAGCCCCAAUUCAUAAUUUUCUCUAUUGAUGUCCAUGGCCAAAAUCUGCAACCGAAGCUUAUUCUACUCUUAUUAAUCGAGAGAUAAUUUUACCUCUAAUUAAUUUAAUUGGGAGGAAAAUCGAGAGAGAUAUCCACUCUGUCCUUAUUAAUUGAGAGAUAAUUUUACCCUUACCCAAUUUAAUUGGAAAGGAAAUCGAAUUCCAACAAUAACUAGGACUUGAAUCCAUGCACUUAAGCUAACUUUAAGUUUUUGGACGCAUGGUUAUAAUGUUCUUUAUUUAAAUCCUAACAAAUGGUGGGACUUGAACUUGUGCCUACAAACAUUGAGUGCUUAGGGGCUGCAAAAUUUCAUAACUUAAUUUUAGUUGAUGUGGCAUAUGCCCUAUCACAUAAAUGUAGGUAAUAAUAAUUAAUACAUUAACAAAAUGAAAAAUAUUAGUUUACAAAACACAAAUCCAAAAUUUUUGUGUGACAGGGGAUUUAAAAGGGAGAGACUAAAUAAAUGUGGUGAAAAACGACAUGUAUUACUAAAAUUGAAAAUACGAAGUCUAGGCAAUUGAAAACAUCGGGUUUUUUAUUUAAAUAUCCCCAAUUUGUCCUUAAAUACCAAAUUUAUACUCUAUUAUAUACAUAUACCUUACGAAGAUAGGGAAGGUAAAAAAUAACCUUAAAAAAAUCAAGAAUCCACACAUUUCUUCCUCUCAGUGCAGGAAGAUGUCGAGUACGAAGUCGGGUAAGUCGAGAAUUUAGUUGAGCAAGAAUUGGAGAUAAGUAAGUCGAGUAUAUAAUCCAGUAGGAAAUUGAGUAAGCAUAUUAAAUGAGUCGAGUAUUAAGUGGUCGAGUAUUAAAUAAAAGUCAAGUGAAUUUUUUGAACAAGUCGAGUAAAAUUUAUGUAAUUUUUAAAAAGGUCAAGUAUUAAGUCGGGCAAGUACAUUGGGUCGAGUAUUAAUAUUUUUAAGGAAGUGAAGUCUAGUAAGUUGAGCAUUCAGUCGAGUGAGAAAUGAAGGCAAUUGAAUAAGUCGAGUAUCUAGUCGAGUACGAAGUCGGGUAUGAAGUAUGGUAAGUUGAGCAUUCAGUCGAGUGAGAAGUUAAGGCAAUUGAAUAAGUUGAGUAUCUAGUCGAGUACAAAGUCGGGUAUGAAGUUUGAUAAGUUGAGCAUUCAGUCGAGUGAGAAGUGAAGGCAAUUGAAUAAGUCGAGUAUCUAGUCGAGUACGAAGUCGGGUAUAAAGUAUGGUAAGUUGAGUAUUCAGUCGAGUGAGAAGUUAAGGCAAUUGAAUAAGUUGAGUAUCUAGUCGAGUACGAAGUCGGGUAUGAAGUUUGGUAAGUUGAGCAUUCAGUCGAAUAAGAAAUGAAGGUAAUUGAAUAAGUCGAGUAUCUAGUCGAGUACGAAGUCAAGUCUGAAGUCUGGUAAGUUAAGCAUUCAGUUGAGUAAGAAGUGAAAGCAAUUGAAUAAGUCUAGUAUCUAGUCGAGUAAGCAGAUUGAAUGAGUCGAGUAUUAAUUUUUUGUUGGCAUUUUGUUGAGGUUAUUUUUGUACUUUCUUCGGUUUUUUAAGUAUGUAUAUGUAAAGUUACAGAUUUUAAUAGAUUGAGAUAUAUUUUGGAUGGUACGAGAGAAACGGGGUAUAUCCCACGCAAUUCCUUCGAAAACAUAUCUGUCAAUUGCAAUGAAAAGAUCACAACCCUUCGUAAUUAAACAAAAUCAAACUUGAAAAAAAAAAAUCACACACACAAAACAAUCACAAAAACUAUUUGUUCUGAUCAUCCCUGCUUUUUUUUAGCGUAGCUCUUGGAAUGAAAAUUAACAAAAAGUGUCAAAAGAGAAGCAUUAAACACAGCAUUGAAGCACCAACCCAAAAUCCCAGAGCAACCAAAUCCCGUAAAAUGAUAAUACAGCAUCAAAACCGAAACAACAAAACUAAACACAAACUGAACAAUCUGACAAUCAGUGACCAAUCUCUUCCACUUUGGCCGCAACACCAUCACACACAAUAGAUAGUACCCGUACAUGAUCACAUGCACACUUGCAUUGGUCACAAGUGCAAUAGGAAACAAAGACUGCUUCGUCUGUAACCAAAGGUAGCACAUUACGACGACGGUUGCAUGGUGGUAGACGUGGAGGAACGUGAGCCGUUGGAUGGAGUUUGACAAAAUGAUCAAAAGGGUGUCUAGGAAUUCGAGUAUUUUGGAGAGGUAGAAGAUGUAAGCGUAGAAGAAGAGGGGACCGGAGGGAGAAAUGGUGGGGGGAAACAGAGGGUGUGACGGAGGUCGGGUGAAUGGAGGACGAUGGAGAGAGUGCAACCAACGGCCAUGACGAGGGAGAGGAGGAGGAGGGUAAGGUUAUGGACGGCUGUGAUGGGCUUGAGGAUGUGGGGUCCAAUGAGAGGUGAUGAUGAUGGUGAUGUUGGCGUUAAUUUGUGGUAGAGGAUGAAUGUGAGGGAGAGGAAAGUGAGGAUGGAGAGAAUGAGGAAGUGUGGGGAGGAAGCUGGGGUUUGGUUUUGAGUCCACGUGAAGUAGAGGAUUUGGGGAUGGUUUACAAGCCAAUAUUGGAGUGUUGAGGUGAUUGAAUUUGAAGCCAUGGCUGGUUUUUAGGGGGAGGAAAGAUUAGAAAGAGAUGAUGUUGAGAGGAGUGGGGGAGUUUAGAAAGUUUGGGAUAAUGUGAGGGGUAUUUUGGGCAUAUAAUGUUGUCUGAGCUUAAAUUUUUGUUAAAAAGAAAUAAUAAUAAUAAUAAUAAUAAUAAUAAUAAUAAUAAUAAAUUCUUUUCUCAUGUCAAUUUAAAACUCCGAGUGUGUUUCCAACAAUUGCUUUUCUUUUUCUAUUUUGGGAUUUUGAAUCAUUUUUUUUUCAAUUCAAUAAUGGCCUCUUCAAUUAUAAACUAUGGUCAAAGGGGAUGGGGUGUAGUGUCUAGGCCUCCGUGACAACGGCAUCUUUGAACGUGGGUUCCAUCAGUUUUUUUUUUUUUUUUUGACUAUUUCUGCUCAAAUCAAACUUGUGGAUUUCGUGCACUCAACGUGGAACCCUUUUGAAUGGACGCAAUGGUUUUGGUGGGAUCACACAAUCCGAAGAAGCAUGGAACUGCGACCAAUUUGUUGACAAAAAUUAGGCAUAAAAUUUACAAAUCGAAGUCAAGAGUAAGAUUUAAGUAAAAUUGAGUAACAUCUUGCACAUCGAGUAAGGAUUUCUACAAUCGGGCUAGAAAGUGCAACUAAAAUUUGGUAAGAGUUUCAUAGAGCAUAAUUUUUAAGAUACAACGUUAAGAGUAUUUAGUCGACAGUUAUAAUAUUACUUGAAUUGAUUUAAUUUCAUACUCUAAUAUAAAAAAUUUAAAACAUACUCUUAUAAUAUUACUUGAAUUGAUUUAAUCUCGUACUCUAAUAUAAAAAAAUUUAAAAUUUCUUUACUAAUUUUAUCGAAAGUAUUAUUUGACAAUCCUAUUUAUUACAUAAUAUCAACGUUUAUAUUAUAAUUACCGCUAAUACUAAAAGCUGAUCUCGUAAUUAAAAGUUAAACAAAAACUCGAGUACAAUCUAGUAAUUAAAAGCGCUAUGGUUUUUUGGCAUUACAAGAUGAUUCAAACUUGAACUUGCCAUCAAAAGUGUAUCAAAACAAUCACAGAGACUCUGUUUGACAAAUCUGCAGUAGAAUUUGCACAAUUUGACUGGGUUACAGAGAGUGAAUAAGAUUCCAAAGCAACAGGCCAUUAUUAUUAUUAAGAAAACAAUUCAUCGCUAGAACAAAAUUAACUUUUCUAACUUACUAGAAUUUAACUGGAGAAAAAUUGGAAUAUACGACGUUGUAUCACAUAUAGUAUUUAGACAUCAAGAAAAGAAUCCCUCUAUCAGUGAACUAUACUUGCCAGGAAACACGGUGAAAUACCACCACCUCCCUACUAGUUCUUAGAUGUCUCAAAAGAGUUUGAUGACGACUUCCGUGUUGUACCUCUUCGACAGGCAGCAAAAUUGGGCUAUUGACUAGGAUUAACUCCCAAGAAAUUUAUGCGGUCACCUUCUUCCGGACUAUCCUCUUUCUUCGCACUUUAGGAGCCCGUGCUUCCCCUUCAACAGAGCCGACAUUCCCUUGUUUGAUGCCAAGGAGCCCAAGCCCAGAGACAAUGGCAUUCUUUGAUAUCAACCACUUUGGGGACUUUUGAGUUGAGCCAUUGACAUCCUGAGCCGCCCCGUUGUAAGCCUUCUUCAAAAGGUCAUAUGAUUGAAGUAGCGGAUCCGCUUCCACUCCUAGCCAAGCAAGCCUUGAUCUUUCUCCUAAUUGGACAUUCAAAAAAUCCAUUUGAGAAGUUGAAGAAUAGUGUAAGUCCAACACAUAUAGGCAGUAAAGAAGAAUUUGGACGGCAAUUACUGAUUUUUUAUGCACAGGGCUGAACAAAUGGAGAUAUUAAGGCACUUAAAAGUUGGAACCGUAUUCACCACUUGUAUUUCCUUAGAGAACUAUCUCAGAGUUCAGUUAAUUUAAAACCAUUCUUAUGUAUUUAACUGUCAAACUAGAGAAAUUGUACUUCUGUAGCGAUGUCGCACUAUUGUUAAGGAUCUGGACUUGGAAAGGAUGCAAGUUGAUUAAGUCAAGAAAAAUUGAAAUAAUACUUGGUGAUAGAUCUGCACACUUCAAUAGAAACCACACUAACCUCUUAUCAGACAAAUAAACAGAUUCCCCAGUCAAAGUUUAACAAACAAAACAUUAAAACAAGGGUAAUUUGGUACGUCCAGAAUAGUCUAUCAAUGUAUAUAGAGGUGUAGAUCAAUAAACAAAUACGUAGAAGAGGGAGAGGGAGAGAUAACCUGGUAACAUCAAAAUGGUUGAAGACCGCUCUAUCAAAUCCACACAAUAGCUGAUAUCUCAUGUUUGCAUAUAGUCCAAGGAAAGCACCAAAACCAAGCUGAUCCCAUUCUUGCUUUAUCCCAUCCCGACAGAAACAAACAUUUAUUAGCUUAAUAUGUAAGAUGAAAAUAAAAAGGAAGGGAAGAGUUCCUUUGUUAUGAGAGAAAAAACACACCUCUCCUUAUGAUUCUCCAACUCCCACAAAACAGUGCAACCAAUUGUGGCAGCCUGCUCUAGUAGAAGUUUAUACAAAAAAGCAGGAUCUGCGAGCAUCCUGUGGCAACAGCAGUCAAUACAUAAGAAAUCUGAUGAGAGAUCCAACAUCUUUAAACCAAUCAAACAUCACCGAACCAUUGGAAAGUGUAUACCUAUAAUUUUUUUUUAUCCCCAAAAACUUUGUCCAAGAUAAAUGAAUGUAUAAAUCUCUUCUACUAGUCUAAGCUUUAACUGUUUUCAACUCCAAACUUCUAAAUCCAACACAGAUUCAAAACAGCCAAGAUUAAUGAGCGACAAAGCGAUAAUAACACAAAUCCCAAAGCAAUCAAAAAGCAAAACCCAAAAAAUGAUAAAUUAAAAGUAAUUCCAGGAGCUCAACAAGAAAGACUACCUGCCAAUGAAUGCCCUCGAGAUUCCCUGAGGAAGUGAACGAGAGAUGAACCUAGUAGUUGUUGGUCUGGCAUUAAUAAGACUUCAGAGGAACAUGGCAAUUAUUAUUAUUAAGAAAACAAUUCAUUGCUAAAACAAAAUUAACUUUUCUAACUUAUUAAAAUUUAACUAGAGAAAAAUUGGAAUACACGAUGUUGUAUCUCAUACGGUAUUUAGACAUCAAGAAAAGAACCCCUCUAUCUGUGAACUAUACUUGCCAGGAAAUUAACACCAGGCGAAUACCACCCCCUCCUACUAUUUAUUAGGUGUCUCAGAGCUUGAUGAGGACUUCCAUGCUGUGUAUCUUCGACAGGCAGCAAAAUUGGGCAAUUGACUACAUUAACUCCAAGAAAUUCAGAGGGCGUUAAUUAAAUACCCUUUUAACAGUAUCUUUUUAUUCUUCUCCAAUCUAACAGUUAUUUGGGAAAUCUAAAUGACAGUCAUGCAUCAAAGGCGUCAAAGUUUGGCUACAAAGCAGCCUGGAAAAGGCUUUACCCUCUGAAUGAGAGCAUGAAUUCGAAAAAUAUGAUGAAUGAAGAAACAAAGGCAUAAUACCACAAGAAGUAAAACUUUUCCCCAGAGCUCUGUUUCUGUUUAUGCUAAAGCCAAUGGAAACCGAUGGAAAUGAAUUUCUACGAAUUAGACAUAUCAGCCAAAACAGGUACUCUGUACAAGCAAAGUAAAAGAGAGUUACAAAAAAAUUUAAAUUGAUAUGAUAAUUAAAAUUUCAGUCACCAUAUAAUCAAUAGAAAACUUUGUAUACAAUGAUUUAUUGCAUAUUAAGAUUGUAUAGCUAAAUUUUAAUUGCUAUACAAAAUAUGAUAUUAGCAUUGGGAGACCGCACCAAAAAGUACCUAAUUGAAUGUGCCUUUUCACAGCCAUUGUACAAGCUUUGAAGCAUUACCACAAAUGCUUUUCAAACCCUUGAACAUGAUGCACCCAAGAGAUGCAAGAUAUGAAAUUGUUACUACAGCCAGCAUUGAAACAUAAUAUUAGCAUUAGGAGACCGCACCAAAGCAUACCGAAUUGAAUGUGCCUUUUCACAGCCAUUUUACAAGCUUUGAAGCUUUACCACAAGUGCUUUUUCCAACCCAUGAACAUGAUGCACCCGAGAGAUGCAAGCUACGAAAUUGUUACUACAGCAAGCAUUGGAGCAUUUGUUAAAAGAAGGAAGUUUAUGAAAAUAUGCCUUUGGAUGGAUACCCAUCUUCAGGAAUCAAUUCAUCCGUAACAACAAUUUUCAAGAAGUAUCAACUGCUUUAAGUUCAUCGACAUCACAGAGAACUUCAACUAAAAUAGAGCGGAUCUGGCCAUCACUAUCCCUUCUACUGCUCUUUUCCUUUAGAGAAUGCUUGAAGUACAGAAUGCGUGUAAGGGAUUCUUAUUCAAGGUCCAAUGAUCAAACCUUGCACAAUAACAACAGAGGUAGUAGUUCCUUCGCCAGCCUAAUCCUUGGUCUCAGGAAUGUCCUCAACAGGGUAUUCGAAAUCAACCUAAAAAUUAAGAAUGAGUUGGAAAACUGUUUAUGGCCCUAAAGAACUUGAAAAUCAGAAAAGAUUACGAAUGAGUGACUAAACAUUUUGAUCGCAACUAAACAUUCAAACCUUGAGAAUCUAAUUUUGAAGUACUCUUGAAU